rnacentral:lncRNA from 1 species
GACUAUCACUUUUAUAAGCUUCUCCUUGGUUCUGGCGUUCAUAUAAAUAAAAGAGACAAACAUGUAUGAGUUACAACUCUAGAUUAACCAACCCAACUGAUUCAACAUGUUUAGUCCUUUAAUCUUUGUUCCUAGUACUACCUCCAUGAUCCCACACUCCUAAUCAUAUGAGCUAAUAUGUUACACAUUCAAUCUUUGAGAGAUAUAAAGAAAAAGACAUAUACAUAGAUAGAUUAUCUUUCCAUAAGGUUGAGCGAUCUGAUCUGAUAAAUGUUAUAAAUGCUACGCUCAUGAACUUAUCAUUCAUCAACUUUGUCUUGCUCACCAUGCUUAAGGUUAGAGAAGAACAAAUACACUUUUGGUUCUGUUGGUGUUUUCCACCAAUAGGACCCAUGCACUUGAUCUCUGCCUUGUCUCUAUGAGCAGGUACACUUUGAGCAAAACACGGAGAAGUUUUAUAACGCUCAGACUCUACCAAGUAAAGGACCUGGAUCUACGAGCACAAACACACUGAGUAGGAUACUGCCAACGCCGCACUUCGAACUGCUGGGCAAACGAAGAGGUGCAGACGUCAAGGUCUGCACCUGAAUCAAAUGACGCACCUGAAGAAUGAACACGGUGAGAUGUCUUGUUAAGAAGACUUAAAACAUUGAACCCUCACCGAAAGGUAAGAUCGGUAGUUAUCCAUAUUUAUCCUUUCUGCAUUCCCUUUUCCCUUUAAUUAUUGACUUUCCUUAAAUAGAUUAUUAGUUAAUCAUGCUAUCUUGAAAAGAAAAUAAAAAUGUUAAAAAUACUAAGCCCCAUGUGAGUAUGCUCGUGGCAUGAAACACAUAAGUACAUUCACUGUAGUGGCGUAAAAAUAAAAUAAAUAUAUUCCUAUCCUAUAGAAAUGAAAAUAUAAAAAUAAAUUUAUGAUCCUACCAAAGAGAGUAAUAUUUAUCAGAGGAAGCUCAACAUGAUAAAGGCGAAGAGAUUUUAUGCUAACACUUAACCAGUUCCACAAAGCUUUGUUGUCUAUUUGAGCUCCACAGAAUUGAAGGAUCAAAGAAGACUAGCAGACGGAGGACAUUCUAAUCGCUGUCAGAAUGCUGCUGACUUUCAAAUACACCUCUGCCAUCUGCUAGCUACAUCAAGAGAAAUUACGUCAAAAUUCAGCUUGGGGGAGAGCACCCCCAUUUAUCUCGCUAAGUAUUUCUACCUAUCUUUAUACUUAUAUUAUAUUAGAAUAUUAAAAUACAUGAACUAUGAAAAACCAAAUAAAGAUUUUGUGCUUAUAUAUAUAUAUAUCUUUUUCUUAGUGUGUUUAAUAAAUAAAGUGGCUAUGCUAAUCUGAAUCUUAAUAAUAACACUCUAGCAUGGAUAUGAUGAAUAGUUGCUCUGCCUAAUUUGCAAAUUUGAAGUUCUCUCUCAAGUUUAGACAUAACUGUUAUAAUUUAAAGCUAGCUCUAGAUCUAAACUUGUGGGAUGAAACCUUGAUCUGAAAUCUAAGUUGUUAACGAAUAUGAUAUGGGAAGGUUGAGCUGCUGUUUAUCUGUUCCUAGAGAUGCUAGAAUUCUAGAGAAUUUUAUCUUUGACAAAUGUUUAAAAUAUUGCAUGAUGAGUUCCUGUAUGAUGAAAGUUUAAAUUCCUACCACAGCCAUAUAUACAUGCUUGCUAGACUUUGAACCACACAUUUAAUAUUUACUGCUUAUGAGCAUUGAGUGUGGUCAAGCUGUGUAGACCCUUAGGAGCAUGUCAUGUGGUUAAAUCAAGAUUUCACUUGCACAUUCACUCAUAUAUGCUACUUCUACUCCGGAAGUACCAUCCACAUAUAUCCACUCAUUUCCAUCUCCAGAACCACCCAAAAAUAUUCUACUCCUAAUCCGGGAGAGUAUAACCAAAAAUAUUUCUAUUUUUCCUUGUGAAAUAAAUGCUCAAGUUAUCUUGCUACUACCACUUGCCAUAUUAUCUCAAGAGAUGAGUGCUCUGAAAAAAAAUAAAAAAAAAUAAAAAAAUAAUAAUAAACAAGGAAAUAAAAAGGGGCAAGUGCCCGGAACCUCGAAAGAAAGAAAAAGUGAGACGAGAGGUAAAAAUGGACAAGUGUCCGACAGUAGAAUUAGAGGUACAGGAUACCCACCUGAGAGGAAAGAAAAAAAUGAAAGAUAGAGCAUCUCAUUUUCCUCAUAAAGUUUCAAAAAGCAAGGAAGGUAUGUAUCCCCUUAAAAGAGCAAAAGUAGAAUUAGACUUUCACCAUUGUUAUCACCAUCAUCACCAUACACCAUUCAUUCGCCACACAUGCACAUCUUGGUUUGACUUAUUGACUUGUUUCUCUGGAUCCAUGGUUUGACUAUGCAAUAAAUGUCUUGUAAGUAUGUAUUAGCUGUCUCCCACCUAUGAGCUCCAGAUAUUAAAGCCUUAUUAGAGUAGGGUGAGAGAGAAGGCAAUGUCACUAUGCCUUAUACCACAAAUACCAUAUAUCUUGAGAGAAGGCAUAUACCAUCACUGCCUUGGUAAGGAUCCAGAAAUACCACAAAAGAGUGAUUUAGAGAGUCAUACAAGGAAUCUCUGAGUUUUAUUUGAAAAUCUGCAAAAACUCCAGAGCUAUAGCUGAUCAAGAAUAAGAGACAUGGCACUUGGCUAGACUGUUCUAUCUUUUAACUACUCAAGACAGAAGUGACGGUUACAAGUCCCAUGAUGAAACAUAAAGUAAGUAAGUUUUAGUUCUUGAUAGUUUACUCUAACUUAGAGAUGAGAUCUUAUUUAAAAGCAUGUGUACCGUCAAAUUUUUAAGAUAUUGCAACAACUUCUGAUCCAUUGCUGAGUCUAUCCUUGCUCAGGGACGAGCAAGAGGUAAGCUUGGGGGAGUUUGUUGACGGUCCUUAAGUAUCAAAUUUAACUAUCAAAUAAACAAAGAAAAGGAUCCAAAUGCAACCAACACCCAGACUUAUCUGACAGAAUUCCACGAGUUUUGGUGUUUGUCUAUUUCUGCAGGGGGGUUAUCAGGAAAUACGGAAGAAAGGCCCACACGUCGGGAUUACAUAGAGAUAUCAACGUACCGCGCAAUUAUUUUACAUCUAGAAGACUCGAGAAGCCACGGGAAGGAAGCGGAGGCCGAACGGAGCCAGGACCUGGGCGCCCGCCCUGCUACAGUGGCCAAUCACGUUCAACCUCGCGGAUUAUGCUCCACCGACCUAAAGGAUCAAGAAUAACCGUUCAAUUAAUGUCGGUUUGAUCCGACGGCCCAGGUUCACUUGAGGGGACUAUAUAACCAGACCCCCUGGCCCCUGGAGGAGGCAACCCUUGAUCAUUAUUCAUUAUUCAUAGACAGAGCAAAAGCUAGGGUUUAGAGAUGAGAGCACUCCUCUCUUCUCUAAACUAGAGUAGAUCUAGAUAGUAGCGAGAUGGAGAGCGAAGGAGGAUUAGAGGAGAGGCCGGCCUGUCGGUUCUUCCUCCGGUUGUACUUCGUCAUGAUCAAGCUCUAAUCAAGCUUGCUCAUGGGAUGACUCUGGUAAUCUACUUCCAAUUCAUUAUGCAAUUGAUUUCAGUCUUUCAGAAGUCAGAUUGAUCGAUUUGCUGAAUUUCUCCUCCCACUCCCCCUUCCCUCCCCCCCCCCCGCCCCCGCGGCGCCCGGCCCAGAUCCCCCGCCAUAGCCCAACCUCCAGCCUNNNNNNNNNNNNNNNNNNNNNNNNNNNNNNNNNNNNNNNNNNNNNNNNNNNNNNNNNNNNNNNNNNNNNNNNNNNNNNNNNNNNNNNNNNNNNNNNNNNNGCCCUUCCUCCCCGCGCCGGUCGGUCGCCGGAUGAGCCAGCGCGGCAGCCGCGUCUGAGCUCCAUCGUGGUGGGCUCGAUCCCCAUCCCAAUCGACGUGACGGCCUCCCCGCUGCGCCCCUAUGCUACUCCGCGUCGCGUCUCCUUCGCCACCAGUCCUCGCGCCCCCCAGGUCAGCCUCCCCCCUCUGCGACGCCAUUACUCCCCUCCUCCUGCUCGCCACCAACCCAGAUCCUGCCUCAAAUCCCCCUCUGCUGCCUCUGUUGGGGGCAGAUCUGGCCGUUGCAGGGCCGUUGCGAGCUCCAGCACCUACAAUAAUGGCGACAUCCCAUCCCGAAGCUCUGCUGAUAGGACGCCUAUUCAAGUCGACGUGCAAGAUGAAGCGGGUUGGUCUCCGGUUCGCCCCAAGUACUGGUGGCGCCGCGCGGACUUCACUCCUCAGACAAAGGUACGCCCCCUGCCGUCUCGCGUUCCGUCGCCUCGACCUGCCAUGGUAGAUCGCCUCCGGGGUAAAUGCCUGCGCUGCCUGGCUGGAGGGCACUCCGCAGCUGCUUGCCGAGACCCGGUACGCUGUCUUCGCUGCGGGCGCUCCGACCAUAAAUCUUACGAGUGCAAGGCCCCUUCUCAACGACGACACCAGGGUCUGCUAGCCUCGCCCCCUCUGGCUCGGCCUCCGAGGUCCAACUCCUUCUACCCCCACUGCCUACCCAGCUCGGUCAUGGCGUUGGCCGGCGAUCCGGAGUUGCGCCCCCAGGAGACCUCGGCCGUGGCGGCUUCCAACAGCGCCAUGGAUGAUGCUCUGGCGCACUUCUCCACACACGCCGUGGUGGCAUGUCUGUGCCGGGACAACGACGACAUCGGGCCAGAUCAAGUCAAGAGGGCCCUCUGUUCGCGGCUGUGCAUCCGCGAGGCUGACAUCAAGGUGGUUCGCCACAAGCCAGAGGACUUCUUCAUCGUGUUCGAGCACCCUCACCACCGCGACGCAGCGUUGGACCUGCAUCGCCUUCCCGCAGGCAACAUCGUCAUCAGGAUCCUGCCUUGGCGCGUCCUCCCCUACGGCGACCACUGCGACCUCCGGCACCACGUCCGCAUCUGCCUCGAGGGCAUCCCCGUCCAUGCCUGGAACGAAAGCAUCGCCAAGCGUGCGGUGGCAAGAUCAUGUGACCUCGACUACGUCGACCCGCGCUCGCUGCGACGCGACAGCAGAGCCCUUUGCCCAGAUGACACCAGUGCUCUGUGUCUUUGGGCAUGGACCUACAAUCCGUCCGACAUUCCAAAGGUAACAUGGCUGACGUUAACUGGCGAUGUAGUGACGGCACAUGAUGGACCGUCUCCACCAAAGGGGCGGCGUGGGCUCACCUUCCGAGUCCUAGUCCACCUCGACCUCAUCGAGUCCCCGGUGGACGGCCACGGCACAACCUCGACUCGGGAACUCACGUGGCACUACGGGGUCGUCGACAGCGAACGACGCCCUCGGGAGCGGCACGCCUCACCACCACCACCCGACGCCAGGCAUAGGUGCCAUAGGGAUGAUGAGGACGACGACGACCACCGUGGACGGCGCCGCGACAGCAGCCGCAACUGGGGGUCCCGACUCCUUCGCAGCCUAUCCCGCGCCCCUGCAAGAGAGCGGGAGCGCUCCGAAUCAAGGCAUGGACGGCGCCAUGACGACCGGUCCCAUGGGGGCCACCGGAGGCACGACCUCCUGGAGGUGGCGAAUGGGGUCGCCGCCGCACAUCUACACCGACCUCGGGACACGAACGACUACGCGGCUUCCCCGACGACGCGCGGCCGCAGCCGUGAGCGCAGCAACCGUCGACACAAGGAAGGACAGCGCCGCUCCCCGGCACGCCUAGAGCCUAGAGAGCCAUCGUCACAGAACCGCCGCCAGACCUGCAACCCAAGGCGCUCUCAUGGAAGCACGAACAGGCACAACGAUGGCUCACCGAGCCCGCCGACCGUGACAGAGUCUCCGCCACGCGCGAUUCCACCAUCACCUGACAAUUCUCCGAUGCGCAGGGACGUGUUGCUGACUCCUGACGGGACCCUGACGCAGCCGGCGCACCCGCCUCCUCUCGUACAGCCGGCUUUGCCUCAAAGGCCUGCUGUCAUCGGAUGCUCCCCUGCACGGCGGUUCAGGCCCGGCGUCGUUUACGUCAGACGCCGGCCCAACCAGACUGCGUCGCGCCAGCCGCGUGACACGCAGUCUUCCCCACCAACCGAGCUGGACGGAUCGCGCCUGGAAGAGGGGAGCAGCAUGGACCCUGCAACACUGACCUUUGUCCGUGCUGUCUCACGCCCUCUCCCUCCGGCGCUGCUGCAAGCGCCCCCACGCACAGCUGCCCAAGCAAGGCGCCUCCCAAGGAGGACAGUACCAGCGACCCGCAAGAGCACACGCAUUGCAGCCAAGAACUGGCCUAGGGGAGAUGCCCACGCCAAGGCUCGACAGGUCCUGAUGAAGAAACUGGGUGUCCCGGAAGACAGGGCGCUGUCCCCAGAUGAUCGCUUCCUGCAGUACCUGGGCCUCUUCCAGGGUCCCCUGACCAACGAGGCCAUCCAAGCGAUGACGGCGCUAUGCGGUCUCGACGGCGACGACGGCAUAGUCACGGCGUCCCAAGCCUAAUCAGCUUAAGGUCUCCAAGGGCUCCUCUCCCUACAAUUAUGUUAUGCUGCAUGUUGCCCCUGUCUGCCCGUAAAAGCUGCAGUGUUCGUUUGUCUCCCUGCUCAUCGUUUGUAAGGUCCGUCGGGGUGAAGGCCAGGGGCCCAAAGUCACCACCGCAACCUCCCAAUGAGCUGGAGCGUCUAGAUGUGAGUCAUCCGUCGUCGGGAAGCUUAACUUCCUCGUGUCAACACCUCCUGCUGGCAGCCUUCGGCAUUCAGUCAAGCUGGCUAGGAGUCCAACUUUGUAUGGGUUUUGCUGCAGCUCCUCUUUUGCUAUCAUCUUUGCAACAUGGGCCUUUAGUCGUUUUUUUAUGGCACAAAUUAAUUGUCAGCUUCUGAAUUGGAAUGUGCGAGGGUUAAACGACGAUGCUAGAAAGGAUGCUGUGAAUGAACUUGUGAGAGACACCCGCGCCACCAUAGUCUGCCUCCAAGAAACAAAACUGCAGCUUGUGGACCAGCAUACUGUGACCCGCACGAUCGGUGCUAAAUUCGCCAACUCCUUUACAGUUCUGCCGGCUCAACAGACUAGAGGUGGCAUCUUGCUUGCAGUGAACGAGGACUUCUUUGACCUCUCAAAUAUCCUGCUAUCUUCACAUGCUGUUACGGCAACAAUCACCAUGAGAGCUGACGGCCUUCAAUGGCAAAUUACAGUGGUGUAUGGCCCCCAAGGAGAUGCCCAGAAACUGCAGUUUUUGCAGGAUCUCCAAAACAUUCCACGCCCAGAUCAUGACAGAUGGCUCAUCCUCGGUGAUUUCAAUCUAAUUUACCAAACGGAAGAUAAAAAUAACUCAAAUCUUAAUCGUCAGCUGAUGGGCUCCUUCAAGUCAACGUUAGAUGUCCUUGGCCUCAAAGAAAUUAGAUUAAAUGGUCGGCGUUUCACCUGGAGUAACGAGCAGGAUGCUCCCACCAUGACCCGAAUUGACCGAGUCUUCUGUACCCCAGAUUGGGAGCUGCUGUUUCCCACCUGUUACCUUCACUCCCUUCCUUCCCUAAUGUCAGAUCACACCCCACUACUUCUCCAAGGCGAGCUUGAUUAUCGACACGCCCCGUCCUUCAAAUUUGAAAAUUUCUGGACAGCAAUGCAGGGCUUCCAAGAAACAGUCCAUGAAGCCUGGAACAAGGAGGUCUUUUCAGCACUGCCUCUAAAGCGCUUGCACAUCAAAUUGUCUAGAACAGCAAAAGCUAUCAAUCGAUGGCGCAAGGAUAAAGUGGGGGACACCAAAUUGCAGCUAGCCAUAGUUAAAGAAAUCUUGUUACAGCUUGAGGCUGCUCAGGAGUUCAGAGCACUCUCGGAUCAGGAACUCCAACUUCGGCGUCAGCUAAAAACGCGAAGCAUCGGACUGGCUGCCAUAGAGAAAGCAAGAAUCAGACAAAAAUCGAGACUCACCUACAUCCGUUGUGGGGACGCAAACACAAAAUACUUCCACAUAUGCGCAAGCUCUCGGCGCAGGAAAAACUAUAUUCAUUGUCUGCACACAGAUGAAGGAAUGGUCUUCGCUCAUGAAGACAAGGAAAAAGUGAUCCAAGACUACUUCUCUAGCCAUAUUGGUUCGUCCAUGCCAAGACAGUCAAGCCUGGAUUGGCACUCCCUUGGAUACACGCCGAGAGACCUCUCGGACCUGGAGCUUCCCUUCACAAUGGAGGAGGUCAAGAGCAUUAUAGAUUCUAUGCCACCUGAUAAGGCGCCAGGGCCUGACGGGUUCACUGGUGCAUUCUUCAAAGCCUCCUGGGAGAUCAUAAAAUUCGACAUCAUGGCCGCCUUAAACAGCCUAUAUGCAAUGAACUCCCAAAGCUUCCACUUACUAAACUCGGCAAACAUCGUCCUCCUGCCCAAGAAAAGUGAUGCACGCAAGGUCACAGACUACAGACCCAUUAGCCUCAUCCACAGCAUUGCAAAGAUCUUCUCCAAACUCCUAGCCAAUAGAUUGGCAAACAAGCUGGACUCCAUGGUCUCUAAUUGCCAAAGUGCGUUCAUCAGAAAGAGGAGCAUUCAUGAUAAUUUCCUAUAUGUGCAAAACACUGUCAGGAAAAUGCACAAGCUCAAAAUGCCGGCCCUCUUUCUCAAACUUGACAUACAUAAGGCCUUUGACACGGUGAAUUGGAGCUACCUCUUGGAGGUCAUGCAGGCAUUGGGCUUUGGACAAAGGUGGCGGGAAUGGAUGUCUAUCCUUUUUAACACAGCCAAAUCAGCAGCCUUGCUCAAUGGACAUCGUGGCCCAACCUUCUGCCAUGGCAGAGGGGUUCGCCAAGGUGACCCGCUAUCCCCCAUGCUCUUCAUCCUCGCCAUGGACCCCUUGCAACGGCUGCUUGACCUCGCCACCGAGCAUGGAGUCCUUUCCCCGCUUCCACCAGCGGCUGCGAGAUGGAGAAUCUCCAUGUAUGCGGACGACGCAGCCAUUUUCACCAAUCCGUCCAGAGAUGAUAUUCAAGCACUCAAAGUGAUUCUCCAAAUCUUCGGUUCAUCCUCAGGAUUACACAUAAACCUGCAGAAAAGUUCAGUGCACCCGAUUAGGUGCAAUGAGGUUAACUUGGAGCAAGUUCUCUCCUGCUUCCCUGGGGUCAGAGGCUCCUUCCCCUGCCCUUACCUAGGCUUGCAACUCCACACUAGGAAUCUCCAAAAAGUCCAUGUACAACCGCUCAUCGAGCGUAUUGGCAAAAGACUCCCCGGUUGGAAGGGAAAGUGGCUUAACAGAGCGGGCCGGCUAACGUUGGUUUCCUCCGUCCAUGCCAACCUAUCACCUCACAGUUUUCUCGCUGGCCGCAUGGGCCAAGAAGAAAAUUGAUAAAAUCAGGAGAUCUUUUCUUUGGAAAGGGGAGGAAAAUGCAAAUGGCGGGCACUGCCUAGUCAAUUGGCCAACAGUGGCUAGGCCAAAAGACCUAGGUGGCCUAGGAAUCCUUGACCUUCAGAAAUUUGGAAGGGCUGUCCAUCUGCGGUGGCUUUGGCAGGAUUGGACCAAUGAAUCCAAACCAUGGGUUGGCUCAGAAAUCCCCUGUAACGAAGAAGACCGCCUCCUCUUUAAAGUCUCAACCUCGAUAACAAUUGGGGACGGGGCCAAGGCCCGCUUCUGGCAUGAUAACUGGCUUGAUGGUGAGGCACCCAAAAACCUCGCCCCACACUUGUUUCAGCUAGCUGCAAGAAAAAACAGAUCAGUGCAGCAAGAGCUGGACAAUGACAGAUGGAUACACUUCCUAAGUAACCGUAUCAACACCACGGAGCACUUGGAAGAAUUUGUUUCACUUUGGAUAAGAAUCCAAGCCAUACAACUGCAGCCGGGCGUAAAGGACUCCAUCAUUUGGCGGUGGACCGCAGAUGGAUGCUACUCCACCCGCUCUGCGUACAGGAUUCAAUUCAGAGGGUCUUAUGCCACUUUCAAAAGUGACCUCAUUUGGAAAGCCCGAGCAGAAAAUAAGUGCAAAGUAUACACUUGGAUUCUAGUGCAAGGCAAGAUACUAACGGCGGAUAACCUUCAGAGAAGAGGUUGGCCUCAUCAGGAUCGCUGCGUUCUGUGCAACGGCCCUUUAGAAACAUGCUUACACCUUUCCCUUCUAUGCCCGUACGCCAAGGCGGUGUGGAAUCAUAUCCUAAACUGGGAGCACUUCGACACCCAGUUAACCCAAUUCCACCAAGACCCUUCUAGCAUCAAGUCAUGGUGGGAGGACGCUGUAACGAAAAUCCCAAGGGAACAAAGAAGGCGCUUCAACGGCUUGGUCAUCUAUACUUGCUGGAAUCUUUGGAAGGAGAGAAAUCGUAGAAUUUUCAACAAUGCAUAUGAGGCGGCGCUGCAGGUUGCUUCAAAGAUUAAAGAGGACAUAGCGCAAAGAGAAAGGGCUAUUCAGAGAGCAGGCUAGCUUUUUUCUGGUUUUUGUUUCUUCUUCUCUGAGUGCUCUGCUUUUAAGCAGCUGUUUACUCAAGCUGUACAUAAAACUUCCUCUUUUCUAACUUAAUAGAGAGGCAGAGCUCCUGCCAUUCCUUUCAAAAAAAAAAUUCAUUAUGCAAUUACUAAUCAUGUAUGUUCUGGUUCACAACUCUUUUGAGUACUUCUAAUCUAUAGGACGCUAUAGGUUAGAGUUGUAGUAUAGGUGUAAGUGUGGUGCUUAGACCUAGAUUACUUGUGGAUAUCCCCUGUCUAGCUGGAUUGUGUGGUAGGCCGCGUAGGUGACAGUUACGUUGGUCCUCUGUAGUCCACCUCUUGUUAGCAGGACGGGUAGGGUUUAUCGGCCUAUGGAUAAGCAUCCUUUGUGGUGUAAUCUUAUCACGUGGUUCGUCCCACACAUAGACAUACCCCUUUGAAGUAGAGAAACCACAGUUAUCCUCUCUAUUCUGCUACCAUCGCCCAUAUAUUAGAAUUGCUCUAUUCUCUAUUCCCAUAUUAUCACUCACUGUUAUCUUACCUUUAAUAUUGUUCUUAUUUGAUUCUACCAUCUUUCCUAUUUGCACCUAUUUAUUUAUCUUGGUUAAGUUAGAGCGUAGUUGGUUCUCCCGUUUCCCUGUGGAUACGAUAAAACCUUUAACCGGGUAAAAGCUUCAACGGUAUCCGUGCGCUUGCGGAUUAUCUGUGUGCGUAUAAAUACCAUAGUACACUCUAGUGCCAUGCUAGGGAUGACAACCUAGUAUUCGAGUGGUGUUAGCAAGUGUCAACAAAGACCACCAUCAAGGUGCCAACCGGCACGAGGAUCCUUCCACCUAGACCCAAUGAGAGGGUCGUUGGAGUCAAGACCAACCGGAGCGGCGAGAUCAGCAGCAUAUGCUACACUACGGAGGAGGAAAGGCCUUACUUUGAAGGGAUUAGAGGAGCCAAAGUACGUUUCAUCUCUCCAAAGGCAGCCCCGAAGCACGCUCUCAAAGCUUUUGAGACACCUCCCAAGCGUCGCAAGACUAUAGUAGAUAUUGAUGAGGACGUUUGCAGGCUAGACAGUUAUCAUAGACCUCGAGUCCUCAGUUAAUUCCCUCACUAGGCAGCUCUCUAACCACAACACUGUUAUACUAGGCCUUAGGCAGGAUCUUGCCAGUACCAAUAAGAAGAUUAAGGAAUUAGAGCGCCGCUAAGUUAUCUAGAUUAGACCUUGAGGCAAUGCAUCUUAGUCAUUUAUCUUUAAAUUCGGUUUAGGUUUACUAUUAUUGUCAGUUUGCUACUAUUAUCGUCAGUUUGCUACUAGUCAGUUGUAAUAAAUGCCUCAAGUUUAAUAAAGAGUAUUGUUAUUAUUAUGUCUUGUGUGUCUCUACUUUAUUCUCGUGCAAGAUAGCAAAAAACAAGUAUAGGGGAGAUCCCUCGACAUGCAAACACACUUCGACUACACCACUCCACGAUUCAGGUACACACUCUGCACACUUUACACAUACACAUAUAUAUCUUGGAUUAUGUAGAAUACUGUUUCCGACAUGAUAAAUUAACAAGCUUAAAAUGUUUCUAAAUAUGAUUAAUCUCACUGUGUGAUAUUCCCUAAAACUUGCACUUAUUGAAAAAAUCAUUUUAAAACCCUGUGUUGCUUAAGUCAGUGUGGAAUGUGAGAUGGUAAAGUAUGAGUUUCUUAUUCUUGAUAUCAUUGUUGCUUGGAGGAUUUAUUUCAAAAAUCUUCAAAAUUCUAGCUACCAUCCUCAGUGUUUUAUAUGCCUGAUAAAACUGAAAAUAUUAAUUAUGAUUAUAAAGGCUAUCUACUCUGUAUUGAGUUUGUUCAAAAUGAGUUAGACCCUUGUUGAGAGAUUUAUCAUGCUCCAAAGAUCAAGACAUUUAUUCAGAAAGAUUCACUCUUUCGAAGUAUUAUUGCAUUAGAGGCAUGGGCUAUGCAAAAAUAAAGAUAUUUCGAGGAAAUAAAAAGGAGCAAGUGCUCGAUAACCUCGCAGAAAAAAAUGGACAAGCGUCCAGCAGUAGAAUUAGGGGUACCUCGGUAUCCACUUAAAAAAAGAAGAAGAAAAAGAAAGAAAAUGACAGCCCAUGGUCCCUCUAAUAAGCAAUAUACCAGCAAGAGUUGACAAAGAUUUUAAUUUCCAAAGUCUUUGAUCUAAGAGUAUGACAUUCCCCUCCUCGGAUCCCGUUUUGAUCAGGCAAUAAAUACAAGGUAAGUUUGCUUGAGAAUUUUUGCAAAUUAAAACAGCCUCGGUGAGAUAUAUAAAAGAUAAUGAGUGAUCUGAGAGAACCUAUGAGGAUAAAAGGUAUGCUAACUUUCUUUCAAAAAUAUACAAAAACUCCAAGUGAUAGGAUUAAGAAGAAAGGAUCUUUACUCUUAACCAUAUACUUCCCUGACUAUAGUACACAGUGGAUUUUAACACCCUGCAAAUAUAAAGAAAAUGUUUUACCCCAGAUAUUGUUCUUAACCAUCCUUUCCUCGAGGACGGGUAAUAGCCUAAGUAUGGGGGUAUUUGUUGAUGGUUCUUAAGUAUCAAUUUUAAUUAUCAAACAAACAAGAGAAAGGACCAACAUGCAACCAACACCUAGAAUUAGGGUUUGAUCUGACAGAAUUCCACGAGUUUUGUUGUUUAUCUAUUUCUGCAGGGGGUUAUCAGGAAAUAAGGAAGAAAGGCCCACAUGUCAGGAUUACAUAGAGAUAACAACGCACCGCGCAAUUUUCUACCAUCUAGAAGACUCCAGAAGCCACGGGAAGGAAGCAGAGGCCGACCGGGGCCAGGCACUGGGCACCCACCUAGUUGACCUGGGCGCCCGCCCCCUCCUGGACUUGGUUCGGGGCUCUUUUCGCGGACGACGCUCCACCGACCUAAAGGAUCAAGGAUAACCGUCCAAUAAAUGUCGGUUUGAUCCAACGGCUCAUGUUUACCUGAGGGGACUAUAAAACCAGACCCCCUGGCCCUGGAGGAGACAAGUUCAUCAUAGAGUUGAGAGGAGCCCUCGAAGGAAUACCUCUCCUCUAAAUAAAAUUUCUUUUUAGGCUUAGCAACCAAUGUGAGUAGAAAUAUAUCUUCUAGUUUCUACUAGAUUGAGAGAGAUAGAGUGGAGGUGUAGAUCGGAGGAAGCCCGGCCUGUCGGUGUCUACUCCGAGCUUGUACCUGCGGGAUCAAGUUCUCCUAACCCGAGGCUUGCUCCUUGGAUUCUUCAGUAUUUCGACUUCUAAAUUCUAGUAAGUUCUUGUUUUAUUGUUCUUUUGGUUUAUGAGUUUCCUUUAAUCUCUUCGCGUAGAGUUUAGAGUAAUCAUCUCUAGCGUAUACGUGGUGUUUAAGCUAGGAUACUCAUAGAUAUUCCCUGACUAGCUAGACCGUGGUAGUAGCGAGGAACGUGACAUUUCCGAGUUACCUUUGCAGACCAUAUCUCGUUAGCAGGAAGGAUAGGAUUUAUAGGUGUGGGUUGAACAUCCUUUGUGGUGUCUAGAUUCCGUUAGCCUCCCCAAUAGAACAGUAGAUCAUCCUUACCAAGGUUAGAAGGAUAUUACGGUUUUAGUCUUCUCUAUUUAUCACUCACAUCGAGAAACAUUCUUUGUUGCCUAAAGGGUUAGUAGUAAUAGACCGGGUUAGUCAGAUGCACUCUUUCUCCUAGUGGUAAAAAAAAUAAAUACGAUACUCUGGAUAACCUCUCGGGUGAAGUGCUCACUGUUGACAAUUGCUAACACCACUUGAAUACUAGGUUGUCAUCCCCAGCAUGGCACUAGAGUGUACUAUGGUAUUUAUACGGACACAGAUAAUCCGCAAGCGCACGGAUACCGUUGUAGCCUUUUACCCGGUUAAAGGUUUUAUCAUAUCCACAGGGAAACGGGAGAACUGAUCUACGCUCUAACUUAACCAAGAUAAGUAAAUAGGUGUAAAUAGGAAAGAUGGUAGAAUCGAAUAAGAACAAUAUUAAAGGUAAGAUAACAGUGAGUGAUAAUAUGGGAAUAGAGAGUAGAGCAAUCUAGUAUAUGGGCGAUGGUAGCAGAAUAGAGAGGAUAACUAUGGUUUCUCUACUUCAAAGGGGUAUGUCUAUGUCUGGGACGAACCACGUGAUAAGAUUACACCACAAAGGAUGCUUAUCCAUAGGCCGAUAAACCCUACCCGUCCUGCUAACGAGAGGUGGACUACAGAGGACCAACGUAACUGUCACCUACGCGGCCUACCACACGAUCCAGCUAGACAGGGGAUAUCCACAAGUAAUCUAGGUCUAAGCACCACGCUUACACCUAUACUACAACUCUAACCUAUAGGGUCCUAUGGAUUAGAAGUACUCAAAAGAGCUGUGAACCAGAACAUACAUGAUUAGUAAUUGCAUAAUGAAUUAGAAGUAGAUUACCAUAGUCAUCCCAUGAGCAAGCUUGAUUAGAGCUUGAUCAUGAUGAAGUACAACCGGAGGAAGAACCGACAGGCCGGCCUCUCCUCUAAUCCUCCUUCCCUCUCCAUCUCGCUACUAUCUAGAUCUACUCUAGUUUAGAGAAAAGAGGAGAGCUCUCAUCUCUAAACCUUAGCUUUUGCUCUGUCUAUGAAUAAUGAAUAAUGAUCAAGGGGUGCCUCCUCCAGGGGCCAGGGGGUCUGGUUUUAUAGUCCCCUCAAGUGAACCUGGGCCGUUGGAUCAAACCGACAUUGAUUGAACGGUUAUCCUUGGUCCUUUGGGUCGGUGGAACAUCAUCCCGAAAGAGAGUCCUGAUCCAACUCUGUAGCUGGGCGGGCGCCCAAGGGGGGAGGGCGGGCGCCCUGCCCCCGGCCUCCCGUUCGUUCCCGUGGUUCUGGAGUCUUCUAGAUGAUAGAAAAUUGCGCGGCACGUUAAUAUCUCUAUGUAAACCCGACAUGUGGGCCUUUCCUCCAUAUUUCUUGAUAACCCCCUGCAGAAAUAGACAAACACCAAAACUCGUGGAAUUCUGUCAGAUAAAACCCUAAGUUUAGUUGUUGGUUGUAUUUGGAUCCUUUUCUUUGUUUAUUUGCUGAUUAUAUUCGGUACUUUUGGACCGUCAACAACUCCCCCAAGCUUACCUCUUGCUCGUCCCUGAGCAAGGAUGGACUCAAAAGUUUCUGCAGUGGUUUUAUGCCUUAAAGGUACACAUGCGUUUAAACAAGAUCUCAUCUCUAGGUUAGGGUAAACUGUUAAGAUUUAAACUUACUCAUAUUACCUUUCACCAUGGGGCUUGCAACCGUCACUUGUGUCUUGAGCAGUUAAAAGAUAGAACGGUCAAGUCAAGCGCCAUGGCUCUUGUUCUUUGAUCAACUAUAGCUCUGGAGUUUUUGCAGAUUUUCAAAAUAAAACUCAUAGAUUCCUUGUAUGACUCUCUCAAUUCUCUCUUUUGUGGUAUUUCUGGAUCCUUAGCAAGGCAGUAAUGGUGUAUGCCUUCUCUCAAAGUAUGUGGUAUUUUUGGUAUGAGGCAUAGUGACAUUGCCUUCUCUCUCACCCUACUCUAAUAAGGUUUGAUAUCUGGAGCUAGCUCAUAGGUGGGAGACAGCUAAUAUAUACUUACAAGACAUCUAUUGCAUAGUCAAACCAUGGAUCGAGACAAACGAGUCAAUAAGUUAAAUCAAGAUGUGCAUGUGUGGCGAAUGAAUGGUGUAUGGUGAUGAUGGUGAAAACAUUGGUGAAAGUCUAAUUCUACUUUUGCUCUUUUGAGGGGAUACAUACCUUUCUUGCACUUUGAAGGUUUUUGAGAGGAAUGAGAUGCUCUAUAUUUUCUUUUUUUUCUCUCAGGUGGGUAUCUUGUACCCCUAAUUCUACUGUCGGACACUUGUCCAUUUUUACCUCUCGUCUCACUUUUUCUUUUCUUCGAGGUUCCGGGCACUUGCCCCUUUUUAUUUCCUAGUACUUUUUUUUCUCUUUUUUUCGGAGCACUCACCCUCCUAGAAUAAUGUAGCAAGUGGUAGUAACCAAAAUAUCAAGACCAUUUAUUUCACGGGGAAUAAUAGGGAUAGGAUAAUGUUUUUGGCUAUUCUCUCCUGGAUAGGAGUAGAAUAAUUUUAGGUGAAUCUGGAGAUGGAAAGGAGUGGAUGUAUGUGGAUGCGUACUUCUGUAGUAGAAGCAGCAUGUAUGAGUGAACGUGCAAAUGAAUCUUGAUUUUAACCGCAUGACAAGCUCCUAAUGGUCUACACAGCUUGACCACACUCAAUGCUCAUAAGCAGUAAAAAGUAAAUAUAUGGUUCAUAGUCUAAUAAGCAUGUAUAUGUGGUUGUGGUAGGAUUUUAAACUCUCAUCAUACAGGAACUCAUCAUGCAACAUUUUAAAGAUUUUCAAAGAUAAAAUUCUCCAGAAUUCUAGCAUCUCUUGGAACAGAUAAGCAGCAGCUCAACCUUCACAUAUCAUAUCCGUUAACGACUUAGACUUUAGAUCAAGUACUCUUCCCACAAGUUCAGGUUUAGAGCAAAUCUUAAUUCAUAACAGUCAUGCCUAAACUUGAGAGAGAUUUCACUUUUGAGAACUAGUCAUGGCAGAGCAACUAUUCAUCAUUUCCAUGUGAGAGCUUAUCAUGAGGGUUCAUAGCAAACUUUAUUUAUUUAUUUAUUUAGCAAACUAAGAAAAGAUAUAUAUAUAUAUAUAUAAGCCUAAAAUUUUUAUUUGGGUUUUUAUGAUUAUGCAUCUUUUUAUUAUUUUAACAAAGUAUAAGUAUAAACGUAGAUAGAAAUACUUAGCUGGAUAAAUGGGGGUGCUCUCCCCCAAGCUGGAUUUUGACGUAAUUUCUUCUGAGGUAGCUAGCAGGUGACGGAGGUGUACUUGAAUGUCGGCAGCACCCUGAUAGCGAUUAGGAUGUCCUCCGUCUGCUAGUCUUCUUUGAUCCUUGAAUUCUGUGGAGCUCAAAUAGACAACAAAGCUUUGUGGAACUGGUUAAGUGUUAGCAUAAAAUCUCUUCGCCUUUAUCCUGUUCAGCUUCCUGUAAUAAAUAUUACUCUCUUUGGUAGGAUCAUAAAUUUAUUUUUAUAUUUUCAUUUCUAUAGGACAAGAAUAUAUUUUUUUUUUUUACGCCACCACAGUGAAUGUACUUAUGGGUUUCAUGCCAUGAGCAUAUUCACAUGCGGCUUAGUAUUUUUUUAACAUUUUUAUUUUCUUUUCAAGAUAGCAUGAUUAACUAAUAAGCUUUAUAAGGAAAGUAAGUAAUUAAAGGGAAAAGGGAAUGCAGAAAGGAUAAAUAUGGAUAACUACCGAUUUUACCUUUCGGCGAGGGUUCAAUGUUUUAAGUGUUCUGAACAAGACUUCUCACCGUGUUCAUUCUUUAGGUGCGUCAUUUGAUUCAGGUGCGGACCUUGACAUCUGCACCUCUUGAUACAGUGUCACCCAUGUUCUUCGUUUGCCCAGCAGUUCGAAGUGCGGCGUUGGCAGCAUCCUGCUCAGUGUGUUUGUGCUCGUAGUGUACCUGCUCAUAGAGACAAGGCAGAGAUCAAGUGCAUGGGCCCUGUUGGUGGAAAACACCAACAGAACCAAAAGUGUAUUUGUUCUUCUCUAACCUUAAGCGUGGUGAGCAAGACAAAGUUGAUGAAUGAUAAGUUCAUGAGUGUAGCAUUUAAAACAUUUGCCGGAUCAGAUCGCUCAACCUAAUGGAAAGAUAAUCUAUCUAUAUAUAUGCCUUUUUCUUUAUAUCUUCCCAAAGAUUAAAUGUGCAACAUUUUAGCUCAUAUGGUUAGGAGUGUGGGAUCAUGGAGGUAGUACUAGGAACAAAGAUUAAAGGACUAAACAUGUUGAUUCAGUUGGGUUGGUUAAUUUAGAGUUAUAAAUCAUACAUAUUUGUCUCUUUAUUUAUGUGAACGCCAGAACUAAGGAGAAGCUUAUAAAAGUGAUAGUCAGAUAUCUUAAGAUGUUACCUUACUUGAAGAGUGAUGGUAUAGUAUCACCUUCUGGAGGCUUUCCUUUCGUAGUGGUUGUGUAUCUUGUUUAUGUACUUUGUCUCCUUCCAUGGAUCAUCUCUGUAUGAUGAAUGAGCUAUGUCCUUCUUGUGCAAAUUGUUAAACUUCAUGUGUUACUCUCUUCAUCUCCGAUGUGAGUUUAUCUCAGGACUUCCCAGGUUGAUAGUGAAAGUUUUCCUGUAGGGUUUAGUCCGACAAAAUAUACCAAUACCUACUCAAGCAGUUUUUAAUUCAGUAACCAAACUAGACUCCAUGUCUAAUCAGAUUAAGGAAGGCUAUUUAACCUAAGCACCAUGCUCAAUUUAAAUGCCAAUGGAAGUAUGUCGAGUACUUCCAAACCAACACUUCCUAGAAAAUAGACAAAGGUAGCAUGACAGCAUUUACAGAGAUCUACUCAAGUGGAGAUAGAGUAGUGUGAUUAGUAUUUAACAAAUUGAGCAUGUCUCAAAGGUAGGGACAACCAACAUAGCAACAUGGCAAAGGAUGUUAAGUGCUCCCCCAAGCUUGAAUUUUGCAAAAUUCAAGUUUGGAUGAAUUUAAUUCAAUGUUGUAUGAUGAUUGGUUGGACAUACCUUGUGCUUGUCAUUCAUCUGAUCUUCUUGGUCCAAUCCUGGAAAGGUUAGUGACAAGAAUACCCACAGUAAUAUUUUUACAAUUAUCCUUAUAUGCUCAAUACACAAGGUAAUGUUGCAAAUAAUUAAACGCUCAUGUUACGAUCUGAUCAAUGCUUAUUUUAGGACACUAAGCUUGUCCUUGGGAAACCAUCAAUUUAUGUCGGUGAAGUGGUUUCCCUUCCAACGCUGACCUAUAUCAAGAUCAACUCAACGAGAUCUGCAAUAUUUAUUAUAGACAUAUGCAUCGACAACCGCCCUUUUAAAGUUUUUAUAAAUAGAAAGAAAGAUCAACUCCGAACAUCAAGUGUGGUGAUGUCAGAGAGACCAAUAGAUUGGGAAGAUGUUGUAUAUGAGCAUGGAGUAAAUGAAAUGGCUAUGAAAUAAAUUCCAUGCUCAUUAAUGUUAUCUUCGUCUCCAAUCUGAAUGUUCGGAGUUUGUCCUGGAUUGGUCUCACCUAUGUCCUCUUCUAUAGUUGGAUGAAUCUCAUCUUCAAAGGGAGUCAAGAACUCACCAUUUGAAAUUCAGCCAAAGUCAAAAUCCAUUAUGGCUUCUUCCUUAUCCAUCCAUUCUACACAUUCUAGCCAUUCAGAACUUGUGAUCAGGAAAGGGGAGGUGUUAGAAUUUUCUAUAUGGCUUAGCUCUCCUUCACUUGAUAUGUCAUCCUCAACUUCUUCAUAAUAGGAACCAGGACAUUCUCUAAGAGAAACAUUAUUGCAAGGAUUUGAAUUAUCCUUGCUUGAAGGUCUCUUAUGGAACCAGAAGUCUAAACCAUCAGUAUCUGAAAUAUUUAAGGUCGGAAUUCCUUCCUCCCUUGGAGAAUUUUGGGGUAUUGAUGGUUUAGGAUCGAUAGCUAAAGUUUGAAAUUGAAGUGGUUGUGAUCUGGCUAUCGAAACUUCUUCUUCUUGUCUAGGAACUGGUUCUGUAUCUUUCUUAGGGAUAUAAAAGCUAGGAGACUUUCCACUCAUUAAAUCAAUCAAAUUCCAAGCUUCACUAGAGGAUAGGUGGUGGAAAGAUCCUCCAGAGGCCGCAUGAAGGGUUUCCUUAUUUUCCCCACUUGCUAGGUUGACCACUUGAAUACUAGGUUGUCAUCCCCAGCAUGGCACUAGAGUGUACUAUGGUAUUUAUACGCACACAGAUAAUCCGGAAGUGCACGGAUACCGUUGUAGCCUUUUACCCGGUUAAAGGUUUUAUUGUAUCCACAGGGAAACGGGAGAACUGAUCUACGCUCUAACUUAACCAAGAUAAGUAAAUAGGUGUAAAUAGGAAAGAUGGUAGAAUCGAAUAAGAACAAUAUUAAAGGUAAGAUAACGGUGAGUGACAAUAUGGGAAUAGAGAGUAGAACAAUCUAGUAUAUGGGCGAUGGUAGCAGAAUAGAAAGGAUAACAAUGGUUUCUCUACUUCAAAGGGGUAUGUCUAUGUCUGGGACGAACCACGUGAUAAGAUUACACCACAAAGGAUGCUUAUCCAUAGGCCGAUAAACCCUACCCAUCCUGCUAACGAGAUGUGGACUACAGAGGACCAACGUAACUGUCACCUACGUGGCCUACCACACGAUCCAGCUAGACAGGGGAUAUCCACAAGUAAUCUAGGUCUAAGCACCAUGCUUACACCUAUACUACAACUCUAACCUAUAGGGUCCUAUAGAUUAGAAGUACUCAAAAGAGCUGUGAACCAGAACAUACAUGAUUAGUAAUUGCAUAAUGAAUUAGAAGUAGAUUACCAGAGUCAUCCCAUGAGCAAGCUUGAUUAGAGCUUGAUUAUGACAAAGUACAACCGGAGGAAGAACCGACAGGCCGGCCUCUCAUCUGACCCUCCUUCGCUCUCUAUCUCGCUACUAUCUAGAUCUACUCUAGUUUAGAUAAGAGAGGAGAGCUCUCAUCUCUAAACCCUAGCUUCUGCUCUGUCUAUGAAUAAUGAAUAAUGAUCAAGGGGUGCCUCCUCCAGGUGCCAGGGGGUCUGGUUUUAUAGUCCCCUCAAGUGAACCUGGGCCGUUGGAUCAAACCGACAUUGAUUGAACGGUUAUCCUUGAUCCUUUAGGUCGGUGGAACAUCAUCCCGAAAGAGUGUCCUGAUCCAACUCUGUAGCUGGGCGGGCGCCCAAGGGGGGAGGGCGGGCGCCCUGCCCCCGGGCCCGUUCGGCCUCCCGUUCGUUCCGGUGGCUUCUGGAGUCUUCUAGAUGAUAGAAAAUUGCGCGGCACGUUAAUAUCUCUAUGUAAACCCGACAUGUGGGCCUUUCCUCCAUAUAUUCUGAUAACCCCCUAUAGAAAUAGACAAACAACAAAACUCAUGGAAUUCUGCCAGAUAAAACCCUAAGUUUAAAUGUUGGUUGUAUUUGGAUCCUUUUCUUUGUUUAUUUGCUGAUUAUAAUUGGUACUUAAGGACCGUCAACAACUCCCCCAAGCUUACCUCUUGCUCGUCGCUGAGCAAGAAUGGACUCAAAAGUUUCUGCAGUGGUUUUAUGCCUUAAAGGUACACAUGCGUUUAAACAAGAUCUCAUCUCUAGGUUAGGGUAAACUGUUAAGAUUUAAACUUACUCAUAUUACCUUUCACCAUGGGGCUUGCAACCGUCACUUGUGUCUUGAGCAGUUAAAAGAUAGAACGGUCAAUUCAAGCGCCAUGUCUCUUGUUCUUUGAUCAACUAUAGCUCUGGAGUUUUAGCAGAUUUUCAAAAUAAAACUCAGAGAUUCCUUGUAUGACUCUCUCAAUUCUCUCUUUUGUGGUAUUUCUGGAUCCUUACCAAGGCAGUAAUGGUGUAUGCCUUCUCUCAAAGUAUGUGGUAUUUUUGGUAUGAGGCAUAGUGACAUUGCCUUGUCUGUCACCCUACUCUAAUAAGGUUUGAUAUCUGGAGCUAGCUCAUAGGUGGGAGACAGCUAAUACAGACUUACAAGACAUUUAUUGCAUAGUCAAACCAUGGAUCCAGAGAAACGAGUUAAUAAGUCAAAUCAAGAUGUGCAUGUGUGGCGAAUGAAUGGUGUAUGGUGAUGAUGGUGAAAGUCUAAUUCUACUUUUGCUCUUUUGAGGGGAUACAUACCUUUCUUGCACUUUGAAGGUUUUUGAGAGGAAUGAGAUGCUCUAUAUUUUCUUUUUUUUUCUCUCAGGUGGGUAUCUUGUACCCCUAAUUCUACUGUCGGACACUUGUCCAUUUUUACCACUCGUCUCACUUAUUCUUUUCUUUGAGGUUCCGGGCACUUGCCCCUUUUUAUUUCCACGUAUUUUUUUUCUCUUUUUUUUUCAGAGCACUCACCCUCCUAGAAUAAUGUAGCAAGUGGUAGUAACCAAAAUAUCAAGAGCAUUUAUUUCACGGGGAAUAAUAGGGAUAGGAUAAUAUUUUUGGCUAUUCUCUCCUGGAUAGGAGUAGAAUAGUUUUAGGUGAAUCUGGAGAUGGAAAGGAGUGGAUGUAUGUGGAUGCCUACUUCUAGAGUAGAAGCAGCAUGUAUGAGUGAACGUGCAAGUGAAUCUUGAUUUUAACCGCAUGACAAGCUCCUAAGGGUCUACACAGCUUGACCACACUCAAUGCUCAUAAGCAGUAAAACGUAAAUAUAUGGUUCAUAGUCUAAUAAGCAUGUAUAUGUGGCUGUGGUAGAAUUUUAAACUCUCAUCAUACAGGAACUCAUCAUGCAAUAUUUUAAAGAUUUUCAAAGAUAAAAUUCUCCAGAAUUCUAGCAUCUCUAGGAACAGAUAAACAGCAGCUCAACCUUCCCAUAUCAUAUCCGUUAACGACUUAGACUUUAGAUCAAGUACUCUUCCCACAAGUUCAGGUUUAGAGCAAAUCUUAAUUCAUAACAGUCAUGCGUAAACUUGAGAGAGAUUUCACUUUUGAGAACUAGUCAUGGCAGAGCAACUAUUCAUCUUUUCCAUGUGAGAGCUUAUCAUGAGGGUUCAUAGCAAACUUUAUUUAUUUAUUUAUUUAGCAAACUAAGAAAAGAUAUAUAUAUAAGCCUAAAAUAUUUAUUUGGGUUUUUAUGAUUAUGCAUCUUUUUAUUAUUUUAACAAAGUAUAAGUAUAAACGUAGAUAGAAAUACUUAGCUGGAUAAAUGGGGGUGCUCUCCCCAAAGCUGGAUUUUGACGUAAUUUCUUCUGAGGUAGCUAGCAGGUGAUGGAGGUGUAUUUGAAUGUCGGCAGCACCCUGACAGCGAUUAGGAUGUCCUCCGUCUGCUAGUCUUAUUUGAUCCUUGAAUUCUGUGGAGCUCAAAUAGACAACAAAGCUUCGUGGAACUGGUUAAGUGUUAGCAUAAAAUCUCUUCGCCUUUAUCCUAUGGAGCUUCCUCUAAUAAAUAUUACUCUCUUUGGUAGAAUCAUAAAUUUAUUUUUAUAUUUUCAUUUCUAUAGGACAAGAAUAUAUUUAUUUUAUUUUUACGCCACCAUAGUGAGUGUACUUAUGGGUUUCAUGCCAUGAGCAUACUCACAUGGGGCUUAGUAUUUUUUUAACAUUUUUAUUUUCUUUUCAAUAUAGCAUGAUUAACUAAUAAGCUAUAUAAGGAAAGUAAGUAAUUAAAGGGAAAAGAGAAUGCAGAAAGGAUAAAUAUGGAUAACUACCGAUUUUACCUUUCGGCGAGGGUUCAAUGUUUUAAGUCUACUGAACAAGACUUCUCACCGUGUUCAUUCUUUAGGUGCGUCAUUUGAUUCAGGUGCGGACCUUGACGUCUGCAUCUCUUGAUACAGUGUCACCCAUGUUCUUCGUUUGCCCAGCAGUUCGAAGUGCGGCGUUGGCAGCAUCCUGCUCAGUGUGUUUGUGCUCGUAGUGUACCUGCUCAUAGAGACAAGGCAAAGAUCAAGUGCAUGGGCCCUGUUGGUGGAAAACACCAACAGAACCAAAAGUGUAUUUGUUCUUCUCUAACCUUAAGCAUGGUGAGCAAGACAAAGUUGAUGAAUGAUAAGUUCAUGAGUGUAGCAUUUAAAACAUUUGUCAGAUCAGAUCGCUCAACCUAAUGGAAAGAUAAUCUAUCUAUAUAUAUGCCUUUUUCUUUAUAUCUUCCCAAAGAUUAAAUGUGCAACAUUUUAGCUCAUAUGGUUAGGAGUGUGGGAUCAUGGAGGUAGUACUAGGAACAAAGAUUAAAGGACUAAACAUGCUGAAUCAGUUGGGUUGGUUAAUUUGGAGUUAUAAAUCAUACAUGUUUGUCUCUUUAUUUAUGUGAACGCCAGAACUAAGGAGAAGCUUAUAAAAGUGAUAGUCAGAUAUCUUAAGAUGUUACCUUACUUGAAGAGUGAUGGUAUAGUAUCACCUUGUGGAAGCUUUCCUUUCGUAGUGGUUGUGUAUCUUGUUUAUGUACUGUCUCCUUCCAUGGAUCAUCUCUGUAUGAUGAAUGAGCUAUGUCCUUCUUGUGCAAAUUGUUAAACUUCAUGUGUUACUCUCUUCAUCUCCGAUGUGAGUUUAUCUUAGGACUUCCCAGGUUGAUAGUGAAAGUUUUCCUAUAGGGUUUAGUCCGACAAAAUAUACCAAUAUCUACUCAAGCAGUUUUUAAUUCAGUAACCAAACUAGACUCCAUGUCUAAUCAGAUUAAGGAAGGCUAUCACCAUGCUCAAUUUAAAUGCCAAUGGAAGUAUGUCGAGUACUUCCAAACCAACACUUGCUAGAAAAUAGACAAAGGUAGCAUGACAGCAUUUACAGAGAUCUACUCAAGUGGAGAUAGAGUAGUGUGAUUAGUAUUUAACAAAUUUUGCAUGUCUCAAAGGUAGGGACAACCAACAUAGCAACAUGGCAAAGGAUGUUAAGUACUCCCCCAAGCUUGAAUUUUGCAAAAUUCAAGUUUGGAUGAAUUUAAUUCAAUGUUGUAUGAUGAUUGGUUGGACAUAACUUGAGCUUGUCAUUCAUCUGAUCUUCUUGAUCCAAUCCUGGAAAUGUUAGUGACAAGAAUACCCAAAGGAAUAUUUUUACAAUUAUCCUUAUAUGCUCAAUACACAAGGUAAUGUUGCAAAUAAUUAAACGCUCAUGUUACGAUCUGAUCAGUGCUUAUUUUAGGACACUAAGCUUGUCCUUGGGAAACCAUCAAUUUAUGUCGGUGAAGUGGUUUUCCUUCCAACACUGACCUAUAUCAAGAUCAACUCAACGAGAUCUAUAAUAUUUAUUAUAAACAUAUGCAUCGACAACCGCCCUUUUAAAGUUUUUAUAAAUAGAAAGAAAGAGGGGGUUGGAGAUCUCAAGUGUGGUGAUGUCAGAGAGACCAAUAGAUUGGGAAGAUGUUGCAUAUGAGCAUGGAGUAAAUGAAAUGGCUAUGAAAUAAAUUCCAUGCUCAUUAAUGUUAUCUUUGUCUCCAAUCUGAAUGUUCGGAGUUUGUCCUGGAUUGGUCUCACCUAUGUCCUCUUCUAUAGUUGGAUGAAUCUCAUCUUCAAAGGGAGUCAAGAACUCACCAUUUGAAAUUGAGCUAAAGUCAAAAUCCAUUAAGGCUUCUUCCUUAUCCAUCCAUUCUACACAUUCUAGCCAUUCAGAACUUGUGAUCAGGAAAGGGGAGGUGUUAGAAUUUUCUAUAUGGCUUAGCUCUCCUUCACUUGAUAUGUCAUCCUCAACUUCUUCGUAAUAGGAACCAGGACAUUCUCUAAGAGAAACAUUAUUGCAAGGAUUUGAAUUAUCCUUGCUUGAAGGUCUCUUAUGGAACCAGAAGUCUAAACCAUCAGUAUCUGAAAGAUUUAAGGUCGGAAUUCCUUCCUCCCUUGGAGAAUUUUGGGGUAUUGAUGGUUUAGGAUCGAUAGCUAAAGUUUGAAAUUGAAGUGGUUGUGAUCUGGCUAUCGAAACUUCUUCUUCUUGUCUAGGAACUGGUUCUGUCUCUUUCUUAGGUAUAUAAAAGCUAGGAGACUUUCCACUCAUUAAAUCAAUCAAAUUCCAAGCUUCACUAGAGGAUAGGUGGUGGAAAGAUCCUCCAGAGGCCGCAUGAAGGGUUUGCUUAUUUUCCCCACUUGCUAGGUUGACCACUUGAAUACUAGGUUGUCAUCCCCAGCAUGGCCCACAAUCCAGAAACCACUGCUGUUUCCACACUUAGCCGAAAUUGGCUAAGUCUGGAAUUCUGCAAUUUCGACAUAGGGUACUUGGGAGCCUUGUAGUUUGAAAUCCAGGCCGAGUUAGACUUCGAUCCUGUAAAGAAACCUGUAGAUCUCAUGUAGCUCUACCCAAAGGAACAAAUCCGAGCCAAAACCACUGAGUGAAUCUCCAGUAAAACGUUGCCAAAGUUAGAGUUUCAGUCACUGCAAUCGGGUGUUUCAGAAAAACGAUUCAGUUGGACAGAGCUCGCCCGCCGCCGCGUGUCCAGCCACCUGUCGGCCGUACGUCGACGGUGACCCCGCUUGUCAGCCCCAACGUCGUCCACAAGUCGCCACGCACCGGGUGGAUGCCUCAGACGCGCCAUUCGCCCCUCCAGCGCUCCACAUUUCGCCCGCCUUCGUCUCGGCGAGCUCCGCCGCUCUCCGGCCAAGCCAGCCCACCCAGAGCUCCACCUCAACGUCCUCUACCUUGAUGUCCACCUCUUUCCCUUAGCCGAGCACGGGUGAGGCCGCAUUGACAACUCCGUCGUGAGCUCCACCUCGCCGGAGUUCGCAGAGAUCAUCGGCGACGUGGCCAGACCUCUCUGGUUCACCUCUGGCCAUGAUUCUUCUUUCUAUAGCCUCGCCUUGCUGCACUCUUGCUCGUCCGCAACCUCUACUAGGCCGCCAUUGCCUCAGUUUGCCGGCGUAACGCCGCGUAGCACCGCCGCUCUGCCAUUCGCGACGGCGAGCAACCUAGGGUCCAGUAGAGCGCGAGCAAAGUAGGUCAACGAGUUCGCCUCGAGGAGAGGAACGCGUAGAUGCCCUUGGGUUCAACCGAGACCUCGCCGUCGUCGAGUUUCACCGACGACGAGCUCUCCUCUGUCUCUGUGUCACUGUCGAGCGGGUCCCGCUGACCAGUGGGUCCCUCUGUCAGCCCCCUCUCUCACACCUCUGGUUCACUGUUUAGCACAUCUUGUGCUGUUUUUGAAAAAUUCAUAACUCGAGUUAUACAGAUCCAAUUGGAGUGAUUCCAAUUUUGUUAGCUUCUUGAGUUAGUCUAGUUUUUAUUAAAAAUAUAAAAAAUGCCAUGUUUUUGCAGAAAUAAAUAGAGAUGAUUUAAUCUUGUUGAAAUAGGAGAUAAUUAUAUCUUAAGGUCUGUGAGUCUGAUGGCCAUGCAAAUUUAGGAGAGUGUUACAUAUGACAUGAAUAGGCUCUGAUAAAGUUAUCAUGAUUUGUAGAUGUAUGUUAGUGAUUUUAUAAACAUUUAUUGUUUAAAUAGGAGUUUCUUGUGGUAUUUUUAGUAAAUAAAUUAUAACUCUUUUUAUGGUGAAACUUGCUGAGUGAUGUAAUCCAGUGUAAAUAAAGCUAAGAAAAAUCUGAAAUCUGUUAUUUGACACUUGUUGAUAGGGUUUCACAUUUAUGCCUUGAAUGCCUUUGUUGGCUUGUCAUUUUUGUAUCUCACAAUCUGCAUGUGCAAGUGCCCUGAAAAUUUUAUUGUAACCUUUGUGGUAGUAUAGAUAGCAUGCUGAAAUUUUUUUGGAAUUUUUGGAGCACUUGUGAUAUAUGCUCAUUAAAUCAUCCUAAUAAUUAAAUAAAUAGAAAAGGCGAUGAUAGAAAUGAGUUUAAGCCUUGCCAUGAUGUUUUCUGGUGUCUCUUAGACAUGUUCUACCUACUGGUGCUUUUGGUGUAAACCAAUGUUACAUUCUUAGUAUGUGUUAAAAUAUUAUUUUGCUAAAUAUGACAAUCCUAGAGCAUAUUCUGUGUAGCUGAUAGCAAUUGUUUAAGAACAGCUUGAAGAUGAAGUUUUCUGGAAAACUUGUUUAUAACAAACUUGUAGCUAACUUAAUUAUCUACCUUGUGUCCAAAUUUUAUGACAUUUGGCUGAGUAGUUUAAGAGUCGUGAUCAUUACAAGAAGCUGCUGUGAAGUGCUUGCUCUCUGGAUUUUCCAGGACAGCCAGCCAACUUUAUCUGUUUUAGCAUAUUUCGGUUGGGAAUCCUUCUGGGAUGUCUAAAGAUGUUUUGUAGACAAUUUGUUAUGCUUUCCAGAAAGUAUCUAUUUUCUUAGUUUGGGAAACUAGCACCUGAGUUAUAGCUAAAACUUUUGACUAGCUAAAUCUGCCCAUGACACCAGUGGCUGUGUGAAUAGCUAAGGUUGAGUAGCUUGACUAGUUAGCUCUCUACCAGAGAAGAAGUAUGCACUUACUUGUUGUUCAUGAUUCUCUUAAUACUAGAAGCUUAUGCUGAUGUUUGUACCAUGUUUUAUGUUCCUUUGGCUGGUCAUCUUAACCUCAUGCAUCAUAUGUGCAUUCCCUAUAUUUAUCACCUUGUCAUGCAUACUUAGGUGUACCCAAGGGAGUGACGGUCUUGGAGUUCGCACUACCCGAGCCGGAGGAGCAGCAAGGGGAGCUACCUCAAGGAGCUGAGGAGGAGGAGGAGGAUCUACCGGAGUGCCCUGACCACCGUCCCUCUACGUACGUUGAAGGCAAGCCUCGGAGCAUUAUAAUACUCCUGUUAUUUUUGUUAUCAUGUCCAGCUAUCAAUAACUAUGGUUAUGUAUUGUUGCAUUAAGUGUUAGGCGUUGAUAUGACACCCUUGCUGCAAAUUUAACUACCUUGUCCACCUUAUACCCUACCGAUGUAGGUCCUGGAUAGAAAUGAUGCUUAGCCAUGCUUAGCUCGGUAGAAGCCGGGUGAUUUUCUGUCACCUGCGAGAGUUAGGUGGAUACUGAAUCACGGUUGGCUAUAUUUGCUAUCGUGGAGAUAACCAUGUGCUAAUAAUUAAUUUGAGACCGGGCGGGAGGACGAUAGUGCAGCAACAAGGCAUGGAGGUCUUGGGUGUGAAUCUAUCCCCGUCUGUGUUGGUUAAGGACCGAUUUGCCGUACGUCCUCUAGUCAUGUUGAACGCAUGCCUAACACUUAGUUGGCAGGAUAAGUCGUUCCGACCGCGAAGCAUACGAGUGCAUCUCUGGCCGGAUACCCCGUUCGGUUUAAGUGCACACCCUGGUUGGUAGCAAGGAUGUGCGGGGAGUCAAUGGCGUAAGACCGAGGAGUCAGGUUAGAGUCCUGACCCUCGCUGAUUGGCGGUCCCUGGGGGUGCGGCACUGUACGGACCCGAGAAUUGGUCCGGAGUUGUGCUAAAGGUGAUCCGAGCUGCCCUCAUGAGGUAUGCUUGGGUCAGUGCUAGGAAUACUCCUCCAGCUGGAUAGGAAUCGAUUCGAAUCGCCGUCUCUUCCGGAUAGUGAGAACUUGACUCGAGCAGCGGCAACGUAGAGCUCACUAAAUAAACUUGAUGGUUAAGUUGAGAAUGUUGAUAGCUAUGUGAUAAUCCGGAUAUGGUUAUUAUUGUGAUGCUUAAAUACUCAAGUGUGUGUGCUUAGAACAGGUGCUAAUCUAGUGGAUAGCUGAUUUAAGUAAUUAACUUGCUGCUGAAAAAUAUUAUAAAUGUGUACUUAAGACUAAAGCUUUUUAUGCAAAAGAUGAGUCAAACUAGUCCACAAAUAUUAGACUUGCAUACUCCUUGGUGUCACUUUAUUUCUUGUUUAUGACGGGUAAGUCUAGCUGAGUAAAUUCUCAUACUCAGGGUUUUAUUUAUCCUUGUUGCAGAUGAUGUCAUUUAUCACGGCUACUGUGCUAACUGUCAUCAUCCGGCUGCGGACGAUGAGUAGAUCAUGGGCAUGAUCAUUUCUAUUACCUUCAGUUAUGCUUUUGUUGGGAUGACUAUGGAACUGGCUUGUAAUUAAACUGAGUGUUUGAUGUUUCAAAACUACUUUGCUUCCGCUACUGAACUGGUUUGUAAUAACUUUGUUUAAACUCCGAUGUGUUGUAAAACUAUGUUCUGUGAUGAAUAUAUGUAAUCUGUUAUGUAAUCUGUGAUGGCGAUGCUUAAUCAUGUACGAUCUUGGUUGUAUGUUGGUUGAAUCGAGGUCUUUUGAGAUUUUGUCGGACUACCGGGUUUAUAUGGGUUCAAGUCCAUUGGCUCGACUGCUUUGUGGUCGCUAAUUCACUUGAAUUCUUAUAAAUUGGACAGUUCUGUUACAGCUGGCAUCGGAGCAAGAUUAAGCAUUUAACCAUCAUAGAUGUAUUUAAAAACAAAUGAAUUUGAUUUUCCCAAACUAAUUAGCAAAUUAGACUAUACAUAGGGCUGUUUUCAAAAUGUUUCAAUAACAUAUACCAUGCUAGUGGUCAUACCCGUUAUGCCCGCUUAAAGACUUUUAGGUGGCUUAAUACUACUAACAUGGGGUUUUUUCCUUUCGUCGUCCAUAUGGCGUGUAAUAAUAUGGAUGCCACUUACUUAAGUGGUAAUGAAUGGAUCAUAUACCUCUACGCCAUGGUAAGCAAUGUUUGUUUUCUUUCGUCGUCCAUACGGCGUGAAAUUGUAUGGAUGCCACUUGCUUGAGUGGUAAUGUAUGGAUCUAUAUGCCUCUACGCUACGGUAAGUGUGAGCUAUGAGAGCAUGACCGUCCAACCGUCGGUCUAGGGGAGUGUUAGCUGUGGUUACUGGAAUAUUUACAUGUUUCACACAUGUAUAUAUGAAGGUACUUAAUUGUGGGUAGUAGGUGCAGCCACGUAUACAUGUUUGGUGUAUAUGUGGGUGUAUUCCAAAUGGGUAGUGUGCUGUGGUAUAUGUUCGGGGAUAUAUAUCGGAGUACCUAGCUUGGUUGUAGAUGAUUAGAUUUUCAUUUCUGCAAAUAUACUCUUGUGGGGUUGGGCUGAAAUGAAAUUUUCUGUAGGUACACUAACAACGAAACGUGUAGACCGUGUAGUUACGUAUAAAGAGUGCACGUAUGUAUGCCACCGACUAUACCGUUAGAACUUUCUUCUAGGAAUGGUAAGGACGUAUGGAACGUGCAUACAUCAUGAAUCAUUCAUGCAUCCCUUAUGCACUACUCAAUUAUUAUAAUUCCGAAACUAUAUCUAAUUACCUCCCCUUGUAAUUAAUCUUCCUUAUUCAAGUUGUGGUCUUUCCUACAGAUGGCAGCCCCACAUACAAGUGAGACUUUUCUGGACAUGUUUGGCACUCCUAUCUUGUUGUGGAGAGUGCUAAGCUCAGUGGGAUAUGAGGAACCACCUCAGUAUACUUGGAUAGAGGCCGAGCAUGCAGGAUCUUUAUCUUGGGUAGAUGUCCAAAUUACAGUUCCUCCUUGUCCAAACAACCCACAGUGGCAAGGUUGGAUAGUAGAGUCCGAUGGUCAAACUCCUUGGGAGGGUGCCCAAGUAGCAGCCUUAGAAGUGUUGUUAGAAAUAUGCCAGGACUAUGGUGAUGAGCUAGUGAAUGGCCCAGCUAGAUCUUUUCCUAGAGUGAGUGUAACCGACACCUUUGUGUCUCAGAUAGGAACUGAGCCCCUGGAGAUGAGAGAAACCAUACUAGGGUAUAGCUCUAGCCCUGCUAUGAGUUCCAUGCUGGCGGUACUUAAGCUGUACGAUGUACGCCAAGACACCUACAUAGAAGCCAUGCUAGCGCUUCAGCAAGCUCAAGUUGGGCAGCGCAAACUACGCAAGCGUGUGCGCAAGCACCGCAAAGCCUUUAGUGAUGCACAAGCUGAAAUUCAAAACUACCAUACCACUUUGCAAGCCCGCCGCAACCAAGUUGAAAAUGCAGUUAGAGAGUGCAGUGAGGCACAAGCUCGCAUGAUGCAAAUGACUAGAGAGCGAGAUGAGGCUAUGCGCUUGGCUAAAAAUAGGAAAGCUGCUAGAGUUAGAGCUUUGUUCCAUGCUGACAUUAGAGAGGAAUAGCUGAUCACUAGGAUUGCUGAGCUGCAGCUAGAUGUCCAUCGCCUAAAUAAUAUCGUAAAUCCUAUUCCACACCCUAUUCCCAUUAAUCAUGAAGAGGCCCCCAGUGAGGAAGAUCAGGAUGAUGGCAUCAUUUCUAAUGGAGAAUCUGUGGAAGAUAUGUAGUUCUAGCGAUGGUUUCCAUGCUUAUGUAUCAGUUUCCAUCUCUUUGUGUAAUGAACAUGUAAUCUGAAUUUCAAGUGAGACUCUAUGUAUUUGGCCAUGAUGCCCUUUCCUGUAAGACUUAAGUUCUGACAAUGACUCUAUGUAACCCUAUGCACCUGUAUAUGAUGCUCCAUGGUUAUGUUGAGCUUAAAUACUUUCCUGCAAUGUCUUUAAUCCUUGUGGAAUGUGGUUGUGGAUGAUCGCAAGAAUAACCAGUGUCGUGGAUGAUUUUACCUUGUUGUACAUGGAUUAUUGUGCCUUGUAUUAUGUGAAUUUACUUCAUUAAAUUCCGUAUGGCAGCAAUCGAGAUUCAUAGCAAUUAUAUCUGUUAUCCUAAACGGUCACUUGGUAUGCCUUGUGCAGAUGGCUCGCAAUACUCGCUCCGGUCACAAUGAGGUGCUGCCACAACCACCUCCUCCCCCGCCUAUGCCUGCUGAGCUCCUAGCAACUCUUGUUGAGGGCCAGCGGAUGCUCAAUGAAGCUAUGCAAACCAUGGCACAACAGAACCGGGGUGGUCGCCAUGCCCGCCAAGGCGGAGAAGCGAAUCAGUAUAGCAACUUCAAGGAUUUCCAAGACAUGAAGCCACCGGUUUUCAAGGAGGCCUCUGAACGUCUGGAAGCUGAUGAAUGGCUUAACACUCUCGAGCAGAAGUUCCGCUUGCUGAGGGUGACUGAAGAGUUAAAGGCUGAAUAUGCAGCACACAAGUUGGAGGGCAAAGCAGGUGUCUCGUGGAGUCAUUAUAGGACCAGCUUGCCUGCCAAUGCUGUUGUAACCUGUGAUCAGUUCCAAACUGCGUUUAGGAACACUUAUAUUCUGCAAGGCAUAAUGACUAUCAAGCAUACCGAGUUCAUGAACUUGACUCAGGGAACCAAAAGUUUGACUGAGUAUCUUCAUGCUUUCAAUAACUUGUCUCGCUAUGCUCUUGAGUUUGUUGACACUGAGGCAAAGAAGCUUGCCAGUUUCAAGAGAGGACUGGGGCCCAAGCUAUCCAAGAACAUGGCUGGUAAUAAGAGUACCACCUUCAAUGAGUUUGUGAGUGAUGCGUUGACCUAGGAGAACUCCAAUACUAUCUAUGCUGCAUCCAAGAACCGCAAGAGGGCCUAUGAGGCAGGUGCUUCGCAGUCCAAGUCUCCGGUGACAAACAAGUCGGCCUAUCGCCCGCCCAAUGCUGUGACAAGGUACAGGCCGCCGCAAAAGAAGUCAAAUGUGAAGAUGGGAGUUCGCAAGUCCUUCACAGUUGCUCUUCCUAGGGGUGCUACGGGUCAAGGAGGUCCAAAGACUCCCCCUGAUAACCGUCCUUGCUUCAAUUGCAAACAAGUUGGUCAUUGGACGAGGGAUUGCCCGUAUCCUAAGAGGAAUUCUACAGCUAGGGCUACUAACCGUGCCGACCGAGUGCACUACACCACCAUCGAAGAAAUCCCUGCAAGAGAAGUGGUUACGGCUGGUAUGUUUCUUGUCAAUCAACACCCUGCAGUUGUCUUGUUUGAUUCUAGAGCUUCGCAUUCAUCUAUGAGCCAAGCAUUCGCAUCUAAGCAUGGACAACAUGUAGUUGAUCUUGACAAUGGCAAGUUUUGCAUUAGUGCUGCUGGGAAUCAAAUUUCCACCAACCAAUUAGUGAAGGAUGUGAAUAUUGCUAUUGAAGGUCGUAACUUUUCAGCAAAUCUUGUAAUUUUGCCGGGCUUGGGCAUAGAUGUUAUAUUGGGAAUGAAUUGGAUGAGUAAUAAUGGGGUGUUAAUAGAUACCUCAACGAGAGUAGUCAUGUUGCAGGAGCCUGACAGCAAAGAAGCUUUCUUAGUCCAACUCCCCAAAAAUGAUUACAUCCGUCACGCUGCUAAUGCUAUUAGACCACUCACUGUGGUUGAGAUUCCUAUAGUGUGUGAGUUUCCGGAUGUCUUUCCAGAGGAUCUGCCUGGGUUGCCACCAGACAGGGACAUAGAGUUUAAAAUUGUUCUAAUUCCAGGUACCGCACCUAUCUCUAGAAGGCCAUAUCGAAUGCCACCCAAUGAAUUGGCAGAAUUGAAAAAACAAUUGCAAGAACUCCUAGAGAAAUGUUCUUAUUCGGCCUAGUUCUUCUCCAUGGGGUUGUCCGGCUCUCUUUGUCAAGAAGAAGGACAAGUCUCUACGUAUGUGUGUAGACUAUCGUCCGCUGAAUGUCGUGACUAUCAAAAACAAGUAUCCCCUGCCUCGCAUUGACAUCCUGUUUGAUCAAUUAGCUAAAGCUAAGGUAUUCUCGAAGAUUGAUCUGAGGUCCGGAUAUCAUCAAAUCGAGAUCCGACCCGAUGACAUUCCUAAAACGGCUUUCUCUACCAGGUAUGGGUUGUAUGAGUAUCUAGUCAUGUCCUUUGGUCUGACUAAUGCCCCUGCUCAUUUCAUGUCCCUAAUGAAUUCGGUGUUCAUGCCUGAACUGGAUAAGUUUGUGGUGGUGUUCAUCGAUGACAUAUUGGUGUAUUCUGAAAAUGCCCAAGACCAUGAGACACACCUUCGGAUUGUACUGACUAGAUUGCAAGAACAUCAACUUUAUGCCAAGUUCAGCAAGUGUGAGUUUUGGCUGAAGAAAGUGCCUUUCCUAGGCCAUAUCUUAUCUGAAGAUGGUAUUUCUGUUGACCUAUCAAAGGUGCAGGAAGUUCUAGACUGGAAGGCCCCGACUUCAGAUGCAGGGAAGGGGUUCAGAAGUAUUUGUCCCGCGGCGAUCCAUAGCCCUGCGGUAUACUUUUAUCGGUCUUGUUUUAUUCCAGAACUUCUCCAAGAUAGCCAGGCCUAUGACCAAGCUACUGCAAAAAGAUGUGAAGUUUGUGUGGUCUCAGGAGUGUGAAGUUGCUUUCACCGCUUUACGCCAUUUGUUGACCACCGCUCCUGUUUUGGCACGACCUGACAUUGAAAACCAUUUGAUAUCUUUUGUGAUGCAUCUGGCUCUGGCCUAGGUUGUGUACUUAUGCAAGAGGGCCGAGUCAUUGCCUACGCCUCUCGGCAAUUGAGGAAGCAUGAAGUUAACUACCCGACUCAUGAUCUAGAGUUAGCAGCCGUGGUACAUGCAUUGAAACUCUGGAGGCAUUAUUUGUUGGGUAAUCUUUGUCACAUUUAUACUGACCAUAAGAGCCUCAAAUAUAUAUUCACUCAGCCCGAGUUAAACAUGAGACAAAGAAGAUGGUUGGAGUUGAUAAAGGACUAUAAUUUGGAAGUACACUAUCAUCCAGGCAAAGCCAAUGUUGUAGCCGACGCUCUUAGCCGGAAGCAACAUGUUGGACCUCUCCUAGAGGAAGGUUUCAAUCUAUUGCAUCCUGUGGUCCUGCGCAACAUUGUAGUCAGUUGUUCGCUAGAAAGUCAAAUUAUAGAGCUCCAGAAGACUGACCCUGGUAUCUUCCAUAUCAAGAGAAAAAUGGAAGAGCAAGACACCAAGCAUUUCAGGGUAGAUGAGAAAGGUGUACUAUGGUUUAAUGAUCGACUAGUUGUACCCAAAGACCGUGACCUACGCAACAAAAUCUUAGAUGAAGCUCAUUCUUCCAAGUUGUCAAUUCAUCCUGGUAGUAGCAUACUGUACCAAGACUUGAAACCUCAUUUCUGGUGGACCAAGAUGAAGAAGGAGAUAACGGCUUAUGUUGCUAGGUGUGACACUUGCUGCAGGGUAAAGGCGGUUCACCUUAAGCCUUCAGGUUUAUUGCAACCCUUGUCGAUUCCAGGUUGGAAGUGGGAAGAAAUCAGCAUGGAUUUCAUUGUCGGACUUCCCCCUACACAAAAGGGGCACAACUCUAUUUGGGUUAUUGUUGACCGCUUGACCAAGUCAGCUCAUUUCAUUCCCAUACAUUCUACCUACCGACCAUCCGACUAUGUUGAGUUGUACUUCUCUCAGAUUGUUAAGUUGCACGGAGUGCCCCGCACUAUUAUUUCUGAUAGGGGUCCUCAGUUCACUGCCCGCUUUUGGGAGCAUUUGCACUCGCUCCUUGGUACAAAGUUGGUUCGCAGUUCAGCCUACCAUCCUCAAACUUCGGGCCAGACUGAGCGUGUGAAUCAAAUCUUGGAAGACAUGUUGAGGGCAUUUGUUAUAUCUUCCAAGGGUGCAUGGGAGAAGUGGCUACCUUUAGCUGAAUUCUCUUACAAUAAUAGUUAUCAAGAGAGCAUUCAAAUGGCUUCUUUCGAAGCUGUGUAUGGCCGCAAGUGUAGAACUCCUCUAUUUACAAGUAACUUACCCCGCAUUCUAUGAAAAAUGGUACGUCUUUCAAAUCUCAGGACGAGAUUUUUGUAAGGAGGGUGGGCUGUAACACUCCUAGUGUUAGCUUGCAUGAUAAUCAUGAGCAUUGCAUCAACAUAAGCAUUAUCAUGCUCAUUCAUAAGCAUCAUAUCAUGAUCACAUGUCAUCUUAUGUAUACCAUGUGUGAUUGACUUGCUAUGUGACUUGCCAUGUAUGAUAGUAAUGUGCAACCAAUGCAUAUAAGUGCACAUUGUCUUCCAAAAUACUUUAAUCAUGUUUAGAAUAACAUUUUGAACAAAGUUUAUGUUGGAAGUUUUGCCCAAAAAUGCCCCUAAGUCAUGGUUAGCCCUAGCUUGUCCUAAUUGACCACCCUAAACCUCUUUUCAAAGAUGUUUUACGAAACUGGUGUUAGAGACCUUGCAUGUAAAUGACAUCUAAAGCAAAGUUGUAUUAUAUUUCAUAAGCUACAAAAGUUGUGUUGUUGACUUUUUAUGAAAAUGCUUGGAACCUGACCAAAAGUGGCCCACAAUCCAGAAACUAGUGCUGUUUCCACACUUAGCCGAUUUUGGCUAAGGUUGGAAUUCUGCAGUUUCGACAUAGGGUACUUGGGAGCCUUGUAGUUUGAAAUCCAGACCGAGUUAGACUUCGAUCCAGUAAGCAAACCUGUAGAUCUCGUGUAGUUCUACCUAAACAAACAAAUCCAAGCCAAAACCACUGAGUGAAUCUCCAGUAAAAUGUUGACGAAGUUAGAGUUUCAGUCACUGCAAUCGGGCGUUUCAGAAAAACGAUUCAGUUGGACAGAGCUCGCCCGCCGCCGCGUGUCCGGCCACCUGUCGGCCGAACGUCGACGGCGACCCCGCUUGUCAGCCCCAACGUCGUCCACAAGUCGCCACACACCGAGUGGACGCCUCAGACGCGCCAUUCGCCCCUCCAGCUCUCCACAUCUCGCUCGCCUUCGUCUCGGCGAGCUCCGCCGCUCUGCGGCGAGCUUUCCCGACCGAUCCACCACAUCUCCGGACAAGCCAGCCCGCCCAGAGCUCCGCAUCGAUGUCCUCUACCUCGACGUCCACCCCUUUUCCUAAGCCGAGCACUGGUGAGGCCAUAUUGACAACUCCGUCGCGAGCUCCACCUCGCCGGAGUUAGCAGAGAUCACCGGCGACGUGGCCAGACCUCUCUGGUUCACCUCUGGCCAUGAUUCUUCUUCCUAUAGCUUCGCCUUGCUUCACUCUUGCUCGUCCGCAACCUCUACUGAGCCGCCAUUGCCUCAGUUCGCCGGCGUAACGCCGUGCAGCACCGCCGCUCCGCCAUUCGCGACGGCGAGCACCCUAGGGUCCAGUAUAGUGCGAGCAAAGUAGGUCAACGAGUUCGCCUUGAGGACAGGAACGCGUAGAUGCCCUUGGGUUCAACCGAGACCUCGCCAUCGUCGAGUUUCACCGGCGACGAGCUCUCCCGUCUCUGUGUCACUAUCGAGCGGGUCCCGCUGACCAGUGGGUCCCUCUGUCAGCCCCCUCUCUCACACCUCUGGUUCACUGUUUGGCAGAUCAUGUGCUGUUUUUGAAAAAUUCAUAACUCGAGUUAUACAGAUCCAAUUGGAGUGAUUCCAAUUUUGUUAGGUUCUUGAGUUAGUCUAGUUUUUAUUAAAAAUAUAAAACAUGCCAUGUUUUUGCAGAAAUAAAUAUAUAUGAUUUAAUCUUGUUUAAAUAGGAGAUAAUUAUAUCUUAAGAUCUUUGAGUCUGAUGGCCAUGCAAAUUUAGGAGAGUGUUACAUAUGACAUGAACCGGCUCUGAUAACUUUAUCAUGAUUUUUGGAUGUCUUUUAGUGAUGUUAUAAAUAUUUCUUGUUUAAAUUGGAGUUUCUUGUGGUAUUUUUAGUAAAUAAUUAUAAUUCCUUUUAUGGUGAAACAUGCUGAGUGAUGUAAUCCUAUGUAAACAAAGCUAAGAAAAAUCUGCAAUAUGUUGUUUGACACUUGUUGAUAGGGUUUCACAUUUAUGCCUUGAAUGCCUUUGUUGGCUUGUCAUUUUUGUAUCUCACAAUCUGCAUAUGCAAGUGCCAUGAACAUUUUACAGUAACCUUGUGGUAGUAUAGAUAGCAUGCUGUAAUUUUAUUGGAAUUUUUUGAGCAAUUGUGAUAUAUGCUCAUUAAAUCAUACUAAUAAUUAAAUAAAUAGAAAAGGUGAUGAUAGAAAUGAGUUUAAGCCUUGCCAUGAUGAUUUCUGGUGUCUCUUAGACAUGUUCUACCUACUGGUGCUUUUGGUGUAAACCAAUGUUACAUUCUUAGUAUGUGUUAAAUAUUAUUUUGCUAAUUAUGACUAUCCUAGAGCAUAUUCUGUCUAGCUGAUAGCAAUUGUUUAUGAAUAGCUUGAAGAUGAAGUUUUCAUGACAUUUGGCUGAGUAGUUUAAGAGUUGUGAUCAUUACAAGAAGCUGCUGCGAAGUGCUUGCUCUUUAGAUUUUCCAGGACAGCCAGCCAACUUUGUCUGUUUUAGGAUAUUUCGGUUGGGAAUCCUUCUGGGAUGUCUAAAGAUAUUUUGUAGACAAUUUGUUAAGCUUUCCAGAAAGUAUCUACUUGGUUAGUUUGGACAACUAGCUACUGAGUUAUAGCUAAAACUUGUGACUAGCUAAAUCUGCCCAUGACACCAGUGGCUGUGUGAAUAGCUAAGGUUGAGUAGCUUGACUAGUUAGCUCUCUACCAGAGAAGAAGUAUGCACUUACUUGUUGUUCAUGAUUCUCUUAAUACUAGAAGCUUAUGCUGAUGUUUGUACCAUGUUUUAUGUUCCUUUGGCUGGUCAUCUUAACCUCAUGCAUCAUAUGUGCAUUCCCUAUAUUUAUCACCUUGUCAUGCAUACUUAGGUGUACCCAAGGGAGUGACGGUCUUGGAGUUCGCACUACCCGAGCCGGAGGAGCAGCAAGGGGAGCUACCUCAAGGAGCUGAGGAGGAGGAGGAGGAUCUACCGGAGUGCCCUGACCACCGUCCCUCUACGUACGUUGAAGGCAAGCCUCGGAGCAUUAUAAUACUCCUGUUAUUUUUGUUAUCAUGUCCAGCUAUCAAUAACUAUGGUUAUGUAUUGUUGCAUUAAGUGUUAGGCGUUGAUAUGACACCCUUGCUGCAAAUUUAACUACCUUGUCCACCUUAUACCCUACCGAUGUAGGUCCUGGAUAGAAAUGAUGCUUAGCCAUGCUUAGCUCGGUAGAAGCCGGGUGAUUUUCUGUCACCUGCGAGAGUUAGGUGGAUACUGAAUCACGGUUGGCUAUAUUUGCUAUCGUGGAGAUAACCAUGUGCUAAUAAUUAAUUUGAGACCGGGCGGGAGGACGAUAGUGCAGCAACAAGGCAUGGAGGUCUUGGGUGUGAAUCUAUCCCCGUCUGUGUCGGUUAAGGACCGAUUCGCUGUACGUCCUCGUGUCAUGUUGAACGCAUGCCUAACACUUAGUUGGCCGGAUAAGUCGUUCUGACCGUGAAGCCUACGAGUGCAUCUCCGUCCGGAUACCCCGUUUGGUUUAAGUGUGCACCCCGGUUGGUAGCAAGGAUGUGUGGGGAGUCAAUGGCGUAAGACCGAGGAGUCAGGUUAGAGUCCUGACCCUGGCAGAUUGGCGGUACCUGGGGGUGCGGUGCUGUACAGACCCGAGAAUUGGUCCGGAGUUGUGCUAAAGGUGAUCCGAGCUGCCCUCAUGAGGUAUGCUUGGGUGAGUGCUAGGAAUACCCCUCCAUCUGGAUAGGAAUCGAUUCGAAUCGCCGUCUCUCCCGGAUAGUGAUAACUUGACUCGAGCAGCGGCAACGUAGAGCUCACUAAAUAAACUUGAUGGUUAAGUUGAGAAUGUUGAUAGCUAUGUGAUAAUCCGGAUAUGGUUAUUAUUGUGAUGCUUAAAUACUCAUGUGUGUGCUUAGAACAGGUGCUAAUCUAGUGGAUAGCUGAUCUAAGUAAUUAACUUGCUGCUGAAAAAUAUUACAAAUGUGUACUUAAAUCUAAAGCUUUUUAUGCAAAAGGUGAGUCAAACCAGUCCACAAAUAUUAGACUUGCAUACUCCUUGGUGUCACUUUAUUUCUGGUUUAUGACGGGUAAGUCUAGCUGAGUACAUUCUCGUACUCAGGGUUUUAUUUACCCUUGUUGCAGAUGAUGUCGUUUAUCACGGCUACUGUGCUAACUGUCAUCAUCCGGCUGCAGACGAUGAGUAGAUCAUGGGCAUGAUCAUUUCUGUUACCUUCAGUUAUGCUUUUGUUGGGAUGACUAUGGAACUGGCAUGUAAUUAAACGGAGUGUGUGAUGUUUCAAAACUAUUUUGCUUCAGCUACUGAACUGGUUUGUAAUAACUUUGUUUAAACUCCGAUGUGUUGUAAAACUAUGUUCUGUGAUGAAUGUAUGUAAUCCGUGAUGGUGAUGCUUGAUCAUGUACGAUCUUGGUUGUAUGUUGGUUGAAUCGAGGUCUUUUGAGAUUUCGUCGGACUACCGGGUUUAUAUGGGUUCAAGUCCAUUGGCUCGACUGCUUUGUGGUCACUAAUUCACUUGAAUUCUUAUAAAUUGGACGGUUUUGUUAUAGCUGCCUACCACUUUGGGUAAGGUGAGAACAUCCAUGUAGAGCAAAAGUGGCUAUGGUCAUGCCUUCUCGUUGACAUAACCUAUACUUGUUUCAAUGGUGUAGAAAUGACCUAGCCGGCGGCCACUGGGUUACCUUCCUCGUCUAUCCUCAAGAUGGCCGGGCUGUCAUAUUUGAUUCAUUACAGGUACCAAACAAAAAGGGGUACAAGGCCUUCGAAGACUGCUUCAAAAGUAAGCCACCGAGCUUCUUGAUCCUUUACAGUUAUCAUAUUCAAAUUGACGCUAACACUAAUACACUUUGUACAGCGCUUAUAGUGCAUAUCUCAAGGAUCCGCAAUGCUGGGAUCGGAGAACGGAGAAAUUUAAGAAGAGGCAUAAGCACCACCUCAAAAUCCGACGUGAUUUCCCCGUAAGUAUAUUUCAAAGGUAGUUCAAUCAUGCUUUUGGUACAUACGUGCUCUAAUGAUUUUGUAUCGGUCGUGCAGUGCGCCAAACAACCCUUGGGAUCAAAGACAUGUGGCAUGUACACCUGCGAGAACCUAAGGGAAAGCAAGGAGUACACCAACAGCUAGAAGAAGCUCAAAGAAGUAGUGAAGAAUCACGGAGAGACGAUGAAGAAUGAACGCCAAGCUUUUAAGCAAAUCAAGGCGGACAUCUGUAAGUUCAUCCUAGAGAAAUGCGUACUCGAAGGCAAACCAUUCUUCGACAAUGAAGGUGAAUUGGCAGUUCGACCAGAGUUCGAGAAGCUUAUGAGAUGGAACACCAUGCUACGACCGAGGAGAUUACACCCACACAGUAGAAUUGUGAUAUGUAGCGGAUUCGUGAGUUUCAUAUGUGUAUAUGUGGAUGAUGAGAACAACUAAGUGGAUUUAUAUAUUAUGUUGUGUCUUAUGUAUUGAACUUCUAGGCAUAUGUGUGUCUAUAUAUAUAUAUAUAUCUUCUAUUUCUAAAAUGAAAUCUAGAUUCUGGAAUUUGUAAAUUGUUUAAAUACAUAUGCAGCAAUGGUUCUGCAAAAGUGUUUUUUUAUUUAAAAACACUUAACCAUAGUAGGCAACAUAAGGAGACCGCUACGGUUAAUAGCAAUAUCCGUCUAGCGGGCAAUGUAAAGCGCCCGCUGCGGUAAGUGGGAAUUAACCAUAGCGGGCUCCUUAUGUUGCCCGCUGCGGUUAAUAGAUUAACCGCAGCGGUCACAGUCGCCCGCCAUGGAAGUGGCCACGAUUUACCGUGGCCUUAUGGCCGUGGCGGACGCGUUUGUCUGCUGUGGAAAAGGGAAAACGCCCGCCACGGUUAUUCUUUCUGCAGUAGUGAGUUAUACUUAUUUUAUAUAGUGUUGCAGUGUUAUUUUAGUAAUAUAUUAAAAAGUACGGACUCUUGGAAAAUUUUCGCGUACAAAGAUUUGAAGUAUCUUAAAUUGAGUAUAUAAACAUAUUUAAAUUGAUAAACUAGUAUGAACACAUACAUAACAUGGUUUAUUAAAGAUGAUAGUAAUUACUACUGAGAGUGUAGAAAAUACACCCUAUAUAUAUAGCCCCAAUCUUGCCAAAAGCUACAAAAAAAGAGAGGCAUAGCAAAGGUGUAGAAAAGUUAAAAAAUAAUCCGCAUACUUGCACAGUUUUGAUGUAAGAGUAUGACACUUCCCUUCAAGGAUCCGGGGCUUGACUCAACAACAUACACGAGGUAAGUAUGCAAUACUUUAUCCUACCAAAAACUCAACAUAUAAGCCUUAGGUAGGAAGAUGAAAAAGGUAUAUAAUCUCAAAAGAAAAUACAUCGGUGAGGAACAAAGUACAAAAUAUACAUGAGUGACUCGAGAGUAUCAAUUGAGGAUCAUAGCUAUACAUUUCUUUUACAAAGUAUAAAACCCCAAGUUCUUGAGCUUCAGUAGAAUAAGAUGAUUGGAAUCCAGUUGAUCCAUUAUCCAAUUACGUGAGAAUAUUUGGUAGCCACUCUAAAUACUCAUAGUUUCAGGUGAAGCCUAGAAUAACUUGUAUGCUCGUUGAAUAUCUUGGACGAACAACCACCUUAGUCAUUCACACCUUUCCUCGAGGACGAGCAAAGGGCAAAGUGUUGGGGAGCUUAUUGGCGGUCUUUAAUUCAAUUAUAAACCCCACCAACAUUACACAAAAAAUCAUUAAACAUCACAUAGAUAAGAGAUUAUUACUAACUAUUUCCAUAGUUUUGGUGAAGUACCUUGUUUUGUAGGUUAUUCAUUGAAUAAACAAAAUAUGGGCCAAGAAUGAAUAGAAGAACAAAGGAAAAUACUCAACUCAAAGAAGCAUAGCAAAGCAAGGGGAAGAGAGAAAGAAGCCCAAUCAGAAGAACCCAAACAUGCAAGCCCACCUUAGAACCGUCUUGGACAUGUGGCAGAGGGCCCUCGGGCUAGAGCUAGAGCCUAGCAGUGCUAGCCCAUGCAUGACUGUGCCCCUACUAAAGCCAGCUAGGCCCUUGUUGCGGUUCAAUCAUUAUUAGAGGCUAGCAGUGUGAGGGCAGGCUAGCAAAAAUUCCCCCCAACUAACCCGGCUGCUGUCACAGAACCGACCAAAUUAUAAGAGUUCAAGUGUAGAAACGAUCGACAAGCAAUCAAGUUUCCAAACUUGAGCCCAUAUAAUCCCGGUAGUCAACUGAAAUCACGAAGGAUCUCAAACUAACUUUCAACAAACCAAGAUCGUAAUAGUUCAACACCACACAGCGAAUGUUACAUAGUCAUUCAUUGCCAUCGAUGCGGCACCACAUCGGAGUUACUUAGUUAUUACAACAUAUGUGCGAAGUAGCGGAAGCAAAAUAUUUACACACACUUUCCAAAGUUCAUUUCACAAGUUCUAGUUUAGCCAGAGUCGUACACCAUCCAUCCAAAAGCAGCAGGUACGAAGUAGUUAGAGAACCGUGCCCAACGGUUUAGUCCUCAUCCCCAGCGGGAUGGAGACAGGUCUUGAAGAAGCCAUCAUAAAAGAUAUCAUCUGCAACAGGUGGGAAUAAACCCUGAGUACGAGAUUGUACUCAGCUAGACUUACCCGUCUAGUAAAACAUAAAAGACACCAAGGAUCAUGCAAAGCUAAAUUUAGGUGGAGCUGGUUGACUCAACAGUUGCCAAAAGCUUAAAUUAUACUACACAGUUGUGAGAGCAUCCUAUUAAUCAUCAUUAGCCUAUCACUAGAUUAGCACCUGUACUAAAGCACUUUACUUGAUUAUUACAAACAAUAAUAACCAUAUCAAAUUCAUCAUGUGUACUUCCUUGCUAUCAUCAUUAUCAUGAACCAAAGUUCUUUAGUGAAUGCUACGUUUGCCGCUGCUCUGUCAAGUUCUCACUAACCGGGAGAGACGGCGAUUCGAAUCGAAUUCCUAUCCAGCUGGAGGGCUAUUCCUAUCACUCACCCAAGCUUCCCCCGUCGGAGAGCCAACGGAUCACCUUUGAUACGACUCCGGAAUCGCGGUUCCGAUAAGCGCCGCACUCCCAGGGCUACCACUCUGCCAGGGAGGUCAGGAAUUUUAACUCACCUGCCUUUGGACUUACGCUAAUGGUCCCCCGCACACCGCACUUCCUCCGGUAGUGCGCACUUUAUACUUAUCGACCUUCCGGCCUAAGUCAUAUUACUCGGCUUCGCGGUCGGAACGAGUUAUCCGGCCAACUAAGUGUUAGGCAUGCGUUCAACAUGACAAGAGGACGUACAACGGUCGGUCCUUAGCUGCCACAGAUGGAGUUACUACGACCUUGCAAAACUCCGUCCGGCUUAAGUCAAUUUAAUCAGGUUCCACCCACGAUAGCACAUAUAGUCCAUCGUGAUCCGACAUAACCCUGUAUCGCGCAGGUGACAGGAAAUCACCCGACUUCUACCGAUUAAAGCUUGGCUAAGCUGCUACUCGAUCCUAAUUCUAUAACCAGGGUAUGGUAAGUUAUCUAGACAAGGAUGGAGUAAAAUGAAGCAAAGGUUUCAUCACAACUCCUAUACUUAAUGCAUCAAUAGAUAUAACAUAUUAAGUAAACUUUUGAAAGUAAAGGGAGACUUAGAAUGCUCCGAGGCUUGCCUUUCACGAACGAGGUUGGCUCGUGGUUUGGGCACUCAACUUCUUCUUCGGGCUCCUCGAGUCCGACUGGCUGGACCUCCACCUCCGGGUUGCCCUCCUGGCCUUCGUGGUUCACUUGGAGCUCGUAGGAUGCGGUCGCGUCCGAUGCACCUAUGGCAUGCUCAAUGAAUAAGAAAGUGUGCAUACUAAAGGAUGAAUGCUUGAUAACAUAAUUGACUCACUGGACACUCAUUUAUGGAGUAACGGUUACAUCAAGUUCACACAAGAUGAUAAGUUAACUCAGCCAAAAUCUACCAAGAUAACCUAUAAACAGCAAGCAUUACAUAAAGAACAGCCCAGAAAACAGGUCAUAACUAAUACUAGAAAGAUUCAUAAGUUAAACCAGGCAUUUAAACAAAUAUGAGUGAGGACAUUCUGGAAAGCUUAUAAAAUUGUCUACAAAUCAUUUUUAAUCAUCACAGCAAGAUUCAUAAGUUAAACCAGGCAUUUAAACAAAGUUCCAGGUUCUGUCCCAGAAAAACAGAGAACACCUAUUUCUGGAACCCAACUUGGAAGAGCUAGAACUUUUAAACUACUGGGCCAAAUGACCCCAAAAUUAAACCACAGUUAGAUCAUAAAGUUUACAACAACUUUGAUUUAGACAAGUCUUCCAGGAAAUCAAGUUAUCAUUAAGCAAAGGUUAAAUUACUCCCUUGCUGUCCAGAACAGCCUUUAACCCUUUAAAUAAUUAUUUAAUGACAUAGUCAAAACAUAAACAGUGCCAACCACAAGACUUAUAAGCACAAGCAUAUCAUAAGGUUACCAGAACACCAUUUGUUAACCUCUAAACAUUUACUAACAAGGCAUUUAUUAAUUUAAUUCGAUAAAGGAGCAUAAUUACAAGAUACUUAGUAAAAGUGCUCAGAAAAAUCUACAAAACUUACAGAAGCACAAGCAUAGCAUCAAGACAUCACCAUAAAAGUUUCAGAACAAUUGCACAUGCCAAACUUAAGAUAAGCAUUUAACAUGUGACAAAGUGUUUAUUUCAUAAAUUCAGAAACAUGGGUUAUAUGGUGUCAAACAACAGAUUUCAGAUUAUUUACAUACUACUAUUAUCAUAAAGAAGUGUGACACCAAAGUAGAGCACCAGCAUAAGCACCAAUUAUUUUAUAUGAUUUACUUAAAGAAACAAGCCAAAUCUCAAUCAUAAAAUACAUAUCACAGAUAUAUUACUCCAAAAAUCAUGAAAUAUUUGUCAUAGCACUCCAGUACCACACAGAGACUACCAUAAAACUUUCAUAGCAAAAUAAGUAGUAUAACAAGAGAUAUGAAUUUACUCAUGAAUAACAAGAUUAAAUCCUAAUAAAUAUUUUUCUCAGAAAACAUGGUUCAUUUUAUAUUUUUAUAAAAAACUAGCCAUCUCAAGGAAUACCACAAAAUUGAUUUCACAAUUUUUGGAUCACCAGAACUAGAGAUCUGAUUUUUGCAAAAACAGCUGAAACCCUAAAUCAAACAAAGGAGAAAGAGAGGCUGACAGGGGGACCCGCGAGUCAACGGACCCCACAUGCCAGUGACCCGAGAGCAGAGGCGCGACUUGACGCCGGAGAUCUCGUCGGUGGCGAGGUCUCGGCGAUGGCCAAGGGCACCAUCGUGCUCCCCACUUCAUUUCGCAUCGAGCGGUACCCAAAACCCUAACUCUACUGGACCCUAGGUACCUCGCCCUCGCGAAUGGCGGCACGGCGGUGGUGCGCGGCCGACCGCCGGCGUCUCUGGCUAGAGACAGAGCGGAAGAAAAAGCAGACGAACAACAGCAAGACCUAGCGGAGCUUUUGGGACAAGAACGAGGAGGAAUGGUGGACUACAGAGCCCUGGCCACGACGCCGGUGACCAUGGUGGAGCUCCGACGAGGUAAGCUCGCGACGGAGAAGGCAAUGCGGGCUUACCGGGGCUCGGCAGCCACAGCCAACUUGACGACGGUGAAGUGGAGAGGCUGGCGAAGCGCUGGGCGGAGUUGCUUGGCCGGAGACACGGAGACACGCGCGCGCGAGCUCGCCGAAGCAACGGCGGCGACGCGGAGAAGAAGGCGCACGCGAGAGGGAGAGAGCCGAGAGUGGAAUGACGUUGUCCACGCGACCGGGGGCGCUGUGGCGAGCUGUAGGACGUGCUGGGGACUGAUGAGCGGGACCAACGGCGACGUACGGACGCCACGGGUCCAGACUGGCGGCGUCACCGGCGAGCUCCCCUGUCUGACGGCGACCUCAUUCAGUUCCCAAACCUGACUGAAACCCAAACUUGCACCGCGAUUAUUUCCUAAACCACUCAAUGAUUUUGCUGGCUAAUUGCUCUAUGCUGGAGAGCUACAUGAGUACUCCAACAUUGCUUACAAGAUCGAGGCCUGAUUCGGUCUAGAAUUCAAACUGGAAGGUGAACAACACCCCCUCGAGCAAACUGCAGCGAUUUCAGACUUAGAAAAAUUUUCUAAGUGUUGGAAACAGCCCCAAAUCUGCCUUGUGGGUCAAUUUUGAGCUAGUUGUGAUCAUUUUCAUGAGAUGGCCAUGCAUAAAACAACUUUUGUUCCUUAUAUAAUUUGCUACAACUUUGCUGUAGAAAGUUGACAUCCAAACAUUUUAUGAAACACUUUUUAAAAGCCCAAGCAAAAGAGGUUUCUAGAGCCUAUUUGUAUAAGUAUGACUUAAGUGAUUAUUUUGGGGAAGUUACCAACAUGAACAUUGUUCCUAAUGUUGAGUUAAGCAUAGAUAAACUAAUUACCAAGGCACAGAGCACAAACACAAGUAUGGUUCCCACCAACAUAAGCAUAGGAGGCCUAUUUAAACAACUUAAAUCACAUUUUUACAUAGAAUGACACGGCUCAAGGUAGAUGAUGAUCAUGCUAUGCUUGAGGAAAUGAUGAUGCUCAUGAUAUGCAUGUGAUUUAUGCAACCAUAACACUGGGGUGUUAUAGCUGCCCCCAUAAAAGACAAUGCACAGUGUAAGAGAACCAUCCAAAUUAUAAGAGUUUAAGCCUAAAAUUGUCCUCUUAUGUAGUCAAGCCAUAAAACUUAAACCCAUAUAAUCCUAAUAGUCUGUGAAAUCUCAGGGGGUUUUCAUACUUUUCAAUAAUACAACAAAGAUCGUAAUAAGUUCAAUAGUCAGCAUCCACAUGUUACAUAAAGUUCACACAUAAGUCAGAUACUUCAAAGUUUAAAUAGAGUUAUUACAAUACCAAGUCUUCAAAUAGUAGUAGAAGCUAAUAUUUUGGAAAGUACACCCACACAGACAUUCUUAAAUAAAGUGCCAAUCCUUGAUUAGAUCCAACAAAAGUAGUGGGUGAGGUAGAUAGAUGACCAUGCCCACUAGUCUAUUAGUCACCCAUUGUAGUGUACCGAUAGAUGAUGCAAUAACCAUAGAAUAUGUGGUCGUCUACAACAACAAGGGGAACAAAGCCCUGACUACAAGAAAGUACUAAGCUAGACAUAUCCGUCUUAAACGAAAAUUUGUUGACACGAAGGAUCAUGCGAGGCUUUAUUAAUGGGCUAGCUUGACAACACUUUUCAUAAAAGGUUAGGUUAAAAAGUAAGUAACCUUUCAAGUAUUUAGCUAAAGUUAGUCAUUACUAACCUAUUAUUGACGGUCACCAACGUCAAUUACAAACCAUCAACCAAACAAGAAAAAAAUGAAUAUAAUAAAAUAUCAACAUUGAAUAGAGGGUUAUCUAACAUAAUUUCGUAGAUUAGCCAAAGGUAUGGACAACGUUAGGCUAAAAAGCAUAUUCCAACGCAACUUCGAAAGAAGAAGAUUCUAGAUAACACCAGAAGCGAGACACUGCAAGGUGGGGCCCACAUGGCAUUGACCUAGGUCGGCCGACCUAGGGGCUAGUGUGGUCACCCAAGCCUAGCCCGACCUGGCAGCACUCUCUUCUCACAUUGCUCCACCGACCUCAAGGCUUAAUUUCCACUGUUCAAGUUAGUUUGAUCUAAGGGCCCACGUUCAUUCCACUGGGUUAUAAAUACCCAGCCCCUUUCCUCAGAUCAAUGCAUUCUCCUCUGGAUUGAAUCCCUAAUUCCACUUCUACAUCAAGAGUUCCUAGAUAGAAUCAAGAGAAGCAUUGAGAGAACAUUAGUUUUGUAGUCCACGAGAUAUUAGGACUAGUGUUAUUUACACUACAAGAAACUUGUUAAUCCGUGACGGAUUCUUGGUGACAGAUUUAUAAACCGUCACUGACAGAUGCAAUCUGUGACAGUAAUCUUUUUUUCGUCAUGGAUGUGCACUUCUGGACAUUAUUAGCUCAUUAACUCGUGACGGUUUUAUUCGGAUCAUCACGGUAUAUGAUUUUAAAUUCGUCGUACUCUAUUUAGCCCUAAAAAUAAGGCCACUAUUAUAUAUUUAGUGUAAAGAAUUAAAAAAAUGUGAUUACAAAAAGAAACAAACCCAAAAGUUGAUGUUAAAACUAAAAUUAUUAUGUACAUAUAUAUAAUGCUGAAGGGAAAAAAUGCUUUGGGAACGCAUAUGUAUGGUGCGUAAGGGGAAAAAAAUGCUUGGCAAGAAAAUCUGCAUCACAUGGGACUUGAACCAAGCAUUCGCUGCUAACCAACAGCAUAUCUUGCGACUGAAUUAUUAGUUCUAUUUAUUUACAUAUGCAACUAAGUAUAUUUGUUUAUUUUGUGCUCGUGUGUGCCGUAUUUCUUUUUUUGCAGCUAUUUUUUUGCCAUUUUUUCUUUUGCAAAAGGUGCGUGCGUAGGGCAUUGUUUAGUUACAAUUUUUUUUGCAAAAUAGGUAUAGUAACACUUUCGUUUGUAUUUAACAAAUAUUGUCCAAUCAUAAACUAACUAGGCUCAAAAGAUUCACCUCAACAAUUCCGACCAAACUGUGCAAUUAGUUUUUAUUUUUAUCUAUAUUUAAUACUACAUGCACACGUCUAAAGAUUUGAUGUGACGGAGAAUCUGAAAAAAUUUGUAAAUUUUUUUGGAAACUAAACAAGGCCUAGGUACUGCUGAUCCACGUUGGCCCAUCAUCCACUUAGGGCCACAUUUGGUCAAGCCUGCUAACUCUCCAACGUCUCAUGCUUAUAUUGCUAGAUGUUCGUCAGCCAUCCGAUCAGAUCGGACGUUCCAUACCACACUCUCAACCAAUUAAAUCCGGUGACAGCCACACCCCUUCAAACCCUAUCUAUUUUCUCCUCCCAUCCUCUUCGCACGCAACGACGGCGGCGGCAUCUUCCACAGCGCUGAGAUCCCCUUUGGCAAGGCGGCAUCACGGCGGCACACACUCGAGUAACCUCACAAGAAGCGGGAGGACGGGGAAGGUUCACACCAAGCUCGGCAGCUUCACCAUCUCUCGCAAAGCCAGGACCUCUCUGGCAUUGGUGACGAUAUCUCUGUGAGUAGCCACCGCCAUCUCUCCUUUUCUAUCUUUCUGCGCAGUUGCUUGCUCCAGCGUCCAGGCUGUUUCGUUGAAUCUGUUGCCUUCGAUAUUUAUCUAGUCCUGGGGAAGUUGAGUUGGAAGAUCUAGUGUUGAGAUAGGAGAUCUAUUUACAUGGCUGUGCUAAUGUGAAGUUUGCUUUUUCGUUCAUGUCAGUUCUGAUGUCUCUACACGCUUCCUGGCCAGGCUUUGUGCAGCAGCCUGCAGGCUGGGACGCGCCGUGCAUGCUGCUCCUCUCCUUCAUAUCCACAUGGUAGUUGGCCGGCGGACCUUCCUCCUCCGUGCUUCCUAUAUAGAAAACAUUCAGAUUAAUUAAGCUUAACUUAUCAAUUUAUGUUUCUUUUGGAUUAAUUAUCACUGUUGGAUGUGCAGAUCUGAUUUUUUCUUGAUAGUAAAUUGUAUGUGCAACUCCGUACUUCUCUAGAACUUAUUUUUAGUUUAUUUCUAGUAUUACUGUUACUGCUGUUAUAUGUUCCUGCUGUCAUAAAUCCUUUGUUUCUGCCUUGUGUAUUGUGUUUUCCCUUUGUUAGUACAGUACAUUCUUGCUCACUAAAUAUUUCAGAGGCUGCCAUUUAUUUAUGAGUAUAUUUACUGUAAUUUCUUUGAUGGUUUAUGCUAGAAGAAAGGACAAUUUUUUCUUUGCUUUAAGCUCUUCUGGAAUUUUCUAAACUGAAACCAAAAGCCCAUCUAUUACUUUGCUGGUAGCAGGAGUUCCUAGAUUGGAUUGAUACAUCCUAGUUUGCUCCUGUCACUGUUCUAUCUAACUAGUGAAUUUUGAGUGAGUAUUAUAGGUUCUAACCUCCUGUUUGCUAAACAAGAAGUUUAAUACUUUUAAAGCAUGCUGGACAUUUUCGAUAGUAUAGUAUGUAGUAACAGUAGCAUUUAUUUUUCAGCAGGCACACAAAAAAUAAGUGUGGAAAUUGAGAUUUCAAAAAACUCUAAGUUUGCUGGUUGACCUGUUAUUUCUCUUUUUGCCACCGUAAUUCAAAGCUAUGCUCCCUUGGAAAAUCAUGUAUUUCUCUAGCUGCACUGACUAUGGCAAUAUAUCUUCCGUGUAUGUGUUACUUGCAUUUAUUACUGUUUUGAUGAAAUAGCAGCCAGACUAUUGAGUAGAUGCAUAAGUUUUUCUUACAGGAAUUAAUAGUUUUUGUGUUCUAAUCUAUAAUUCAACAAUUAGUAGUGUUACAUUAUCUUGUCGUUGCAGUGCUAUCUAUUAAGUUCUUUGAAUCACCAUUUGAUUGAACGUUUCUUUUUCUGGUUUUUAGGAAGAGAAUUGGUGGAUAAAACAAUAUUGGAGAAGUGCUUGACCAAGGAACAUCAUUUCACCAAGGCGGUUGCUUUGCUUAUUUGCUGAUCGCGGCAUGGUGGAUAGACAAUGUUAGCUGUUUGAAUUAGUGUAGUUUUUAAAUUGAUUCAUCGUCAAUUUGUAAAUUUUUUUAUAUAAACAUAUUUGACCAAAUGGUUGUAAAUCUAUAAUUCAGAAUGCUAUAAUGAAAUUUCACCAUAUUUGUCAUUCAAUGAAUGUUGGGAUUUCUUCUUAAAAUAAAAAUAGAUGGGCCAGUUGGUGAUGUAAGCAUCCAUGUUAUCAUCCACGUAAGCAGUCUGAUGAUGAUGUGGCAAUUUAUUUGUGACGGUUUAGAAACGUCAUAGGUAUUGGGCUUGGGCUGGGCUAACUAGGCUUUGGGCUCAACUGUGACGGUUUGAGAUCGUCACGGAUUUUGUCAAUUUGUGACGGUUUGGUCAAAAUCGUCAUAGAGGUUAAUCCAUGACGCUCAAUCCGUGACGAUAUUUGAAACCAUCACAGAUAUUGUAUUAUGACGGUUUUUUGGUGAUCCUUGUCAUGGAUUAACAGGAUUCUUGUAGUGUUAGAAAUAGACAGAUAGAGUGUUUGGGGAAGCUCUGGCCUUUCGAUGGCUCCUUUUUAGUUUGUACCUGCGUGGUCAAGUUCCUCUAGUCCUAGAGCUUGCUUCUGAAAGUCUUUUCAUAUUCAAUAUCCAAUUCAAGUUCAUUGUUAUUAUUAUUCAUCUUGUUUACGACUAUCUUUUGAGUGCCUUGAUCUUGGUCACUCCUAGAUUAUCGUAGUAUAUGUGUUGUAAGCAUGGUGCUUAGACUGUCAUUGCUCGUAGAUGCACCAAACAUUCUAGAUUGGUGGUGCUUCGCCUUGUUGGUUCUUAUAUAGUCCAUGUCCCAUUUGUACUAGCACGUAGGAUGCGGUUGCCAAGUCAAAGUUAUCCUAUAUGGUACUUUAUCUUGAGUAAUGUCUAUAGCCUGAAUAGUAAUAUACAUAGCUUAUAAGGUUACAACUAGACGACCCUAAUGACUUCCUUUAUUGUCCCUAUCAUCUCCGUCCUUUUUGCUAUCUUAGGGGUUAAGUAUAGACUUAGUUAUUAUCACACGUCUUCCCUAUGGUGAAAUAUAAACAAUGAUGCUGUAAAAUACACCUAUCUGUGCACUUGUGGAUACUUUAUUUUAUUGUGUGCAUUUAAUUUAUACCAACAAGUAUUUCUAGCGUCGUUGCCGGAGAAGAUAGUAGUUGAGAUAACUUUUAGCAUAGCUUAACCUUGUAUUAUACUUUUUAUGUAUUUCCUAUUUUGUCCCUUUCUUUUCAUCCUUUUUAUGUUCAUCAUUAUGGAUGCUUUAAAUUCAUUUCCUAUCCCCUCAUUCACUACACCCAUGAGCGCAAGCCUAGGGCCACCACCAUUUGUAGACCCUAUCUUAGCAUCUAGCUAUGAGUUGCGCCCAUGUUUUAUAGACAUGAUUAGAGGACAAUCCUUCUUGGGAGAAGGUGAUGCAACCCCACACUCACACCUAUGAAAGUUUGAGGGGACCUAUGCAUGCUUGCUUAUCAUUGGCAUGCCCUACAAGACCUUAAGAUGGAAGCUUUUUCUGUUCUAUUUGAUGGGAAAAGCUAAAAAGUGGUAUGAUCCGACCAUAGGUAGUGUGCAAGUAGAUUGGGAAAUUCUAUGCUCAUAAUUUUAAAUAUAUUUGUUUCCUUCUCUAAGGUAGUUAGCCUUGAAAAAGUGGUUCUGACUGUUAGGCAACUAGAACAAGAAUAACAGCAUCAACACUGGCUCAGACCUUGUUAUUUCAGAACCGAUUCUUCUUCAACAUUUUUACAUAGUUCCUAGCAAGAAAUCUAGGUACCCCUUGAUGCACCCUAUGGAGGAAAUUUUCAUCAUUUGUCUAUUAGUGAAGCAAGGGCUAUACUUGAUAAAAUUAAUGCACAGACUCCCUUCACAAGGAGAGUCACCGAGGUAGGGAAGAAAUCAUCUUCUGAACAAGUAGAGGACAUUUUGAUAGCUAAAUCACCACCACUUCCAUCCCAAGGUUUAGCCAUUAAUCCCAAACCAUCAAGACACUGAAGACCUCCAUGGAAAGAAGAAAGUCAACCAUCUAAAAUUUCUUAGCAAGCAUGGACUAGCACUAGCAUGUAUAAGAGUAUAUAACCACAUAUAUAAAUACGAUAAUUAUCUCAAUACAUUACUCUAAGUCUUAUAGCACUAGCAUGGACUAGGACAAUCUACAAGAAUAAAUCCUAAGUAUUUGAACUAUACUGUCAAACCUUAUAUUCAUUAGUGCAAUUACAACUAGCAUCAUCAUAAGAAAAGGUUAUAUCUAUGCAUAGGGAUAUUAGUAAGAAAGAUCAUAAAUAUAGCAAUCACUUCCCUAUAAUAAUGGUGCUCUACAAGCCUAAUAAUCGGGAGGAGGAAUACAAAGGACUCAACAGGAUUGUCACUCCCAUGAUCUAACUCGGGAUGCGGACUAUAAGGGGUAAUCGCAGAUAAAUACGGUCUUGGCACCUCGCCUACACAAUAUCUACCACUUACCUAUCAGCCUAAUGAGUAAGCGCUAUACGAUCCUAUGCAUAAACAUUAUUCUAAUAUAACUAUGCUAAGUGUUGGGUAUUUUCAACACACACAGAAAAUUUCGCAAGCGCACGGAUACCGAUGUAGCUUUCACCUAAGAGUACUCUAGAGUAUCGAUUUCCAUGGGGAACAUGAAGUGUACUAGAGAAUCAAGGACGUUCAAGGAUAAAGAAAAGAGAAGAAAGAUAUAUAAAUUUUUGGUGGGUAGAGAGGAACCUUCUAGGGUUUUCUAAGUUGAUUGGCUGAUCAAAAUUAGGCUUAAUAUACUAUACAUACUAUGGAGCAGCAGGUACUUUCCAACACUCAAAGAAGACUGGGAAGAAAGUAGUCGAGAGAAGGCUGCCAAAAGCUCUAUGAAACACCAACCUGAACAUGGUGGAAUACAAAGGCCUGACAGGGUUGUCGCCCCUGGGGCUACCACAACUAUCCGUAUGAUUGGGUGCAAACUUAGGUAAACUAUAGCCUAGACACCACAUCUAUGCUAGCAUUUACUACUCUAAUUAACUAGAAUGACUAGAGCACUCAAUACGAACGGAGUUCAAUUAAGUAUAAUGAAGUAAGAAUAAAAUAAAGAACUGAACUUAGAAAUAAUAAUUAAAGAACCUAGAGAUUGCUGAGCGACGAACCAAAUGUUGCAAAAAUACAAUGUUGAGGAUGAUCCGAAAGAUCCGGCUCAUCCUUAGCUCUUUCCUCCUCUAUCCCUAUUUUCUAGAUACAACUAGACAACUAGAUCUAGAACUAGAUGAACUAGAACUAGAACUAGAACUAGAACUAGAUGAACUAGAGGGACCUCUACUUCUCUACUAGAUGAAACCCUAAUUUUUGUUGUAGAUGUAGGUAAUAAAGAAGAUGAUUUCUAGGGGGUCAGGGUUGUAUUUAUUGUCCCCUAGGAAGCACCACAACCCUAGGAUCAAACCGACUUAAACGUGCGCUUAAGAUUACUCCUCAAAGGCGGUGGAGGCAGGAUCCGAGAGGUUGGCUAUGAUUGGCCACAAGGGCUAGGCGGCCGCCCAAGCCAGGUGGGGCGAGCGCCCCUAUGUGGCUGCCAAAUUGGCCCCACUUUGCAGGGUUACCUCCUUGAGUCUUAUAGAUUGUUCCAGAGUAGACAUUCGGGUCUUCUCUCUAUGUAAAUCUGAAAUGUGGACCUUCUUUUGCUCUUAUUCUGAUAACCCCCUAUAGAAAUAGACAAUCACCAAAACUUGUGGAAUUCCGUUAGUAAUAACCUCUUUAGCUAGAUGGUAUUCUGAUUUUUGUCCUUUCUCAUGCAAUGUUGACGGUUAAAAGGAGUACUUAUCUACCGUCAAAAAACUCCCCUAAGCUUACCUUUUGCUCAUCCCUGAGCAAAGAUAGACCUAUUGAUGGAUUUGGAGUUGCUACAAUGCUUUCACACCUCACAAGUACACAUGCGUUCAGACAAGGGCUCUCCUUCGAAUUAAAGUAAACUAUUCUAACUCAAGACUCACCCAUAUUACCUUUCAUCAUGGGGCUUAUAGCUAUCACUUAGAUCUUGAGCAGUUGAAAGACGGAACGUUAAGUCAAGCACUAUGCUACACACUCUUUGAUCAACUAUUAUUCUACAGUUUUGUAAGAUUUUCAAAUAAAACUCAAAAAUUCCUUGUAUGACCCUUUCCAGUCUCUCAUAUGGUAAAAGGUAAUAUGGGUGAGUCAUGAGUUAGAAUAGUUCACUCUAAUUCGAAGGAGAGUCCUUGUUUGAACGCAUGUGUACUUGUGAGACAUGAAGGCAUUUUAGCAACUCUUGAUGCAUCAAUGAGUUUAUCUUUGCUCAAGGACGAGCACAGGGUACGCUUGGGGGAGAUUAUUGAUGGUAGAUAACUCCUAUUUUUUAUCAUCAACAAAUAGCUAAAAAGGGCAUAAUUGUAAUAUCACCAUAGACAUAGGGUUUAACUGAUAAAUUUCCAUGAGUUUUGGUGAAUAUCUAUUUCUGCAUGGGGUUAUUAAAAAAGAUCCAAAGAGGGUCCAUAUGUCAUGUUUACAUAGAGACAGAAGUAGGAGGGCCCACAUGGCAUGUUCACAUAGAGACAAAGCAUAAGAGGUAGACCCCACAGGGAGAGGCCCACCUGUCAGAGGAUGGGUAGUUGCCCACCUCUCUCAGGCACCCCCACUCUUCUGUCCAAUGGGAGUCAGUCUCCUGGAUCGAUGACAUGGCACUUCAUGUGGAUUGAAGAAAUGGCACUUCACGCGGAUCAAUGACAUGGCACUUCACACAGAUCGAUGAUGUGGCAUUUUCUAGGCCUAUAUAAGGAGGGCAACCCCAUACGAUUUCCACCAAAUCUCUUAUACAGAGCAAAAGCUUGGGUUUCAACUCUCCAUCCAAGUUGAACUAGAGGUCCCUCUAGAUGAAUCUCUUCUAGUUCAUCUAGUUGUAUUCUAGUUCUUCUAGUUCUAGAUCUAGUUCAUCUAGUUCUAGAUCUAGUUCAUCUAGUUCUUUGUGUUCUUCAUCUAGUUCUGAAAGGAUCUAAUUUGCCUAGAGGGGGGUGAAUAGGCGUAUCUAAAAACCUAAAAUUCAAAACUCAAGUUGCGGAAAUCAAAUGCCUGUCGGUACCAUCGACAGUUUGGGCCGGUACUACUGGUGUCACACAGCCAGUACUACCGACGCAAACUGCUGGUACUACCGACUCUCUAAGACAGCUACGAAAUCAGAGUGUAAAGGGCUUAUAUUUCAGAUCUGAGUUUUACCCCACUUUCCUAAGUGUAGGAGAGGAUGUUGUUGGAGUCUCCUUAGCUUAGUCCUUCUCCACAAUGUAGAUCAACCUUUGUUUACCUGUUGAAAAGUGGAAGAGUUAGAGGAACACAAAGAACACAAACAAGGGUAGUCGAAGCUACCUCCACAGCAAGACAAGGUAUUUUUCCCGAGGUUCGGCAAUCUCCACUUAGGAGUUCCUACGUCCCCGUUGUUGAGGUGACCACGAAGGUCUGACCACUUAGGUCUCCUCCUCAAGCAAGCACAAAGGUUAGCUUGAUGUUUCCACUAAGAAUCAAGGGGUAAUACAAACACUUCGGGGUGCCCUCACGAAUGAAUCAACACGGGCAACCACGAAGAACGCCUAGCCGGCUAGGGUUCCAAGAACCCAAGAGUAACAAAUACAAGCCAAAUCGGCAAGACGAGGAACGGAGUGCUCAAGUUACAGAUCGAAGCUCCCAACUAUCUAAUCUCACUUCUCUAGCUCGAAUCUCUCAAGAAAUGAAGUCUAGAAGCAAGAGGGAGAGAGAGUGGGUGAGACAAAGCUUGGAGACUGUUUUCUCAGAUGUGGAGUAGCUAGAAUAAGCAAGCCAACGGUUAGAAAUGAGGAGAGAGCUAUUUAUACUAGAGUACAGAGCACUUGCCGGUACUACCGGUGCAACCACCGGUACCACCGGUGUCCUCAGAUCUAAACGUGAGAAGGCUGUGGAAGAUGCGAGAAAAAGGCCUACCGGUACUACCGGCCUUGAGCCGGUACCACCGGCCAGCACCGGUACCACCGGUGGAAGGCCGGUACCACCGGUAGUACAAAUUCCCGCAUUCAGCAGUUCUGCGAGAAUUUGGUCUGCCGGUACUACCGGCGUUUCACCGGUACCACCGGUCAAAGCCCGGUACUACCGGUAGUUCAUUUUCUCGCAAAACUCAGGAGAAGAACUGGCACUGCCGGUACCACCGGCCCUGAGGGCCGGUACUACCGGCUCACCCUGGCAGAGAAGAAACUUGCCAGAAGUUCGUGCAUGAAAGUGUGACUCUCAAGCGCAAAACCGAAGAUGACCUGAGCACCUUUAUCCUCAUCUUACCAACUCAAUUUGCAUCCCUCUUGAUAGUGCGGCAUUUCCUAUAACUCAACCAAGAAAUAAAACUAGGUAGCUUCUUGAGUUGAAACGUCGCUCAAAUGAAGAAAUUUUGGGGGUGCUGUGAUUCACCAAAUGUGUUUGUCUGAUUCCAUCAAUGAACUAACACCUGUAGAUAGACAUGUUAGUUCCUAAUUUGAUUGUCAUUAAUUAUCAAAACCCACACCAGGGGCGAAUGCACUUACAAACUCCCCCUUUUUGGUAAUUGAUGACAACCAACUUAGGCUUUUAAAAGAUUGAAAGAAGUAGAGCUUUUGAAUUCCAAAACUUAGGUUGGGCUCCCACUUAAUGUAUGCAUUGGAUUUGGAAUUUGAAAUCUUGAUUAAUAUCAAGAUGUCAUACAUUAAGAUCAAGCUCCCCCUAAAUUUUGCAAUCUGUGGGUGCCUAAGAGAGUGUGUGUGUGACAAGAAACAAACCGUGAUGCGUAUGACAAAAUAUAUCACGAAGAGUAAAAGAAGAAUUUGAAUGAUUAUGCAAGAGCUAAAGAGCUCACAAUAACCAUUCAAAAACAACAUUGCAUCAACAAGGAUCCAAAUAAGCUAACACAUGCAAGAUAUAAUACAGGAAUAAAAGUGUUUAGCUUACAAUCAACCACCACACAAAAGUAGUUCUUGUUCACCACACAUAGUUCACCACUUAGAAAGGUUUAAGAAGGGCACGAACAACUAACUUAUUACAUCAAAGAUAAGCCUAAGACUCCCCCUUUGGCAGCAAGUGCCAAAAAGGGUAGGCUGCGAGGAGCUAAAAAGACUACUCAUCAUCAUCAUCGAGGUCGUCGUCGUCGUCGUAGUCAAUCAUGGUACGCAGAGGCCCUAGUGACAUCAUCCAUGGCUCCAAAUAUAUCCUGAUAAGCAAAGCCGGCCUCGGUGUCCUCCAUGGAGAACCCAGCAGGGAUCCCACCACCAUAGAAUGGAUCAAAGGCAGAGGGUGGAGGAGGAUCCUGCUGCUCCUCAUCCUCAUCAACAGAAGUCCGAUGCAUGUUGUCAUAUUCAUCAUAGGGAUCCUGGAACUCAUGAAGAGGAGAGGACGGAGGAAGAGCUGCCCUCUCCUCAAGACGACGGAGACGCUGAUCGGUCUUCUUCUGGCAAUAGCAAAAGUAGGCGAAGAACCGCUGCAGCGCAUGACGGGUAGGGCUGCGGCAACCACGACCGCUGUCCUGAGGAGGGACAGCUUCCCCUUGAGCACCAUCAGCACCAACAGGAGUAGCAGCGCCAGCAGGAGUAGCAGCACCAGCAGGACUAAGAGGAGGAGCAUGAGGAGCACCCAAGUGCUUGGCACGAACCGGAGCAUGAACGCAUGGGUGCGAGAACUGUACUCCAGCAACUUGCUCAAUGAUAUGCAUCAGAUAGGGAGCAUUGGGCAAAUACUUGUGAGGAUCCACGGACGCAUCCACAAUCUUGUUCCACAUGAAGUCCGAGACACCAAAGCGGCCACCAUUUGCACCAAAGCGAGCCAAUAUCUUGGGAGCAUCAAGAUGGAGGUGAAUAGAAUCUCCAAACUUGGGGUCAAUGGUGUAGCGAAUCAAGUUGUUCAACACAUAGAAGAACGGCUUCAACUGAGUGGUCUUGAAAUCCGGAUGAGCUCCUGGCUUGUACAUUUCAGCGGCAUCAAGAUCAGCCUCAGAAAUCCCCUCAGCAAAGAUGGUAGACAGCCGGGGUGCAUCUCGAUCCACAUGAUCAAAACCAAGCAAGCAAGAGAAGGUGAUAAAGUCAAGGCGAUAAUGAACACCUUGAGUCAUCCAAUGCAGCACCCUAGAAGCUUGAUCUACCCACAAUGUUGCCCAAAACUGAAAGAUGAUCUCUUCAUUCCAAUUCUUCUCAAGGGUCAUAAGGGGAAGGAUGCGCCAUUCUUCAAGCUUGUGAAUCAAAGCAUUGACCUCAGGGUGAUUGAAUUCUUGCAAGGACUUGAGGACUACAUACUUGUGCGGAAAAAGUGGACCAUUCUUGCUGACUUUGCUGGCUUUGUAGAGGAUGGACUCAUAGAAGUCAUUGUGAAACUGAGACCAAAACCGCUCCUCAACUCCCUCAAACUUGAUAAACUUGUAGGGGUUCUCGCUGCGCUGAUUUCUCAAGUCCACAAGGCGCUUCUUGUAAUCAAUACCAAGCCGGGGCUGAGUGCCAGAGGGUAUAGAGGGCCUCCGGACAUGAGCAUUAAACUAAGGAUGCCAUGAGAGAGUCCGGCGAGCACCAACCUCACUGAGAUGGAGAGGCGAGGGACGAAGGACAUUGGGGUCCAUGGCUCGUCCUUCCUCUUGCACAGGAUGAGGCACGGCUUGGCUUCGAACUCUAGCCUGGUGAGAGAGGGGCGGAAACGGGAUGGUGUGGGUGUGAAGAGGGGCAGGAAUGCCCUCAUCGCCGGUGGAAGCACCAGCCGCACCCUGACCACCGGAAGGAGUCCCACGGCCACGCACUGCCCGUUCUACAGACCGACCACCGGCAUCACUGGAUCUAGGGCGAGCACCACGGGGAGGGUUCUUGCGCUUCCCGGAGUCCAUGCUGCAACACUAGAAAGAGAGGCAGCAAGAGAAAAAUACAAGACUGCACUAGAAUGCAGCAAGGAAUCGAUCAAGGCGAUGGGAGGAACUGCCAUGCUCAUAGUGGCCAGUACCACCAGCCCUAGAGCCGGUACCACCGGCGGCACCGUUAAGCAAGGGAAUCACCUCCAAUCGACCGAAUCGACUAAGGGAAAAGCGCACAAGGCAUUUAGAAGCAAGAACACACUAAGAUAAGGAAAGGGGUGCGAGGAAACGGCCUAAAAUAAGGUACAUUGGUAGAUCGGGUGAUUUCAAACGAGUACCUUGCGUCACGGAGAAGAAGGUCCAAAUCCACGCAAACCCAAGGGUCUUGGAGUCAACCAAGAGCCUCCACGCGUCCCUCACAGUCGGGGCAAGGUCCUCCUCAAAGAUCGGGCAAGGAAGAUGGAGGAGCCGAGAGAUCGGGGCAAGAAAGCCGCCGCCGCCGGGAGAAGAGAAGAGAAGAAGGGGUGGGCGGGUGGGAAGAGAUAAGGCAGAGAAAAAAUAACCAUGGGCGGCUUAAAUACCACAACAAAAGUCACUGCCGGUACUACCGGCUUCAAGGGCCGGUACCACCGGCGAGCCAGAGAUCUACGCGCGCAGUUCUGCGGGAUUUUGGCCUACCGGUGCUACCGGGAUUUGGCCGGUACCACCGGCUGGAGCCGGUACCACCGGGGCUAUGCGUCGGUACCACCGGCAGAACAGGGAAUUAGGGUAGAGGUGAACGUAGUGGGGCAAACUUAGAGACAAAUCAAUCAUGGCCAGAUUUCAUCAAAUCAUUACAAAACAAUGGCCAUGCUUGAGAUGGGAAAAUAGAUUUUGAAACAACACUCAAUUUUUCAUAAAGAUUUGACCUUGCUAAUCAAUCAAGUAUGUGCAAGACAUCAAGCCAUGUUACGAGAAUCAACGAUAUUUAGUUCACGCCUCAAAUCACAAAAUCUUGACUCAUCUAGAGGUUUAGUGAAGAUAUCGGCUAACUGGAAUUCGGUUCUCACAUGUUGCACAGCGAUAUCUCCUUUGGAUUGGUGGUCUCUCAGGAAGUGAUGCCGAAUGUCUAUGUGCUUUGUUCUAGAGUGGUUUAUAGGAUUAUCAGCUAGCUUGAUUGCCCCCUCGUUGUCACAUAAGAGGGGAAUCUUGCUUUGCUCACAACCAAAGUCUCUCAAGGUUUGCUUCAUCCAAAGCAGUUGGGCACAGCAAGCGUCGGCCACCACAUACUCGGCUUCAGCGGUGGAAAGGGCAAUGGAGUUUUGCUUCUUAGAACUCCAGGACACCAAAGACCUACCAAGAAAUUGGCAAGUCCCUAAUGUACUCUUUCGCUCUACCCUGCAACCGGCAUAGUCCGAAUCGGAGUAGCCAAGUAGAGUGAAAGUGGAGCCCUUUGGGUACCAUAAGCCAAGAUUAGGAGUGAACACAAGAUAUCGAAAGAUUCUCUUAACAGCCAUAAGAUGGCAUUCUUUCGGAUUAGCUUGAAAUCUUGCACACAUGCACACACUAAGCAUAAUAUCAGGCCUAGAUGCAGAAAGGUAAAGCAAAUAUCCAAUAAUGGAGCGAUAUACCUUUUGAUCAAUGGCCUUGCCGUCUCCAUCAAGAUCAAGGUGUCUGGUUGUUGGCAUUGGUGUCUUUAUGGGUUUGGCCGUGUCCAUGUCAAACUUCUUUAGCAUGUCGGUGGUGUACUUGGUUUGACUUAUGAGCGUGCCGUCCUUGAGUUGCUUGAUUUGAAAUCCAAGGAAGUACGUCAACUCCCCCAUCAUGGACAUCUCGAACCUUUUGGUCAUGAUCCUACUAAAUUCCUCACUGAAGUCCGCAUUAGUACUACCAAAUAUAAUGUCAUUGACAUAUAUUUGGCAUAUAAAAAUAUCAUUAUUGACUUUGCGAGUAAAUAAAGUGGGAUCAGCUUUUCCAAUCUCAAACCCUUGUUUGAGUAGGAAAUCCUUGAGACAAUCAUACCAAGCUCUAGGGGCUUGCUUAAGCACAUAGAGUGCCUUGUCCAGCUUGUAGACAUGAUCGGGAUGAUGUGGAUCUUCAAAACCCUGUGGUUGCUCCACAUACACGGUUUCGGAGACGGGGCCAUUGAGGAAUGCACUUUUCACGUCCAUUUGAAACAACUUGAAAUCAUGGUGAGCAGCAAAGGCAAGUAAUAUGCGAAUAGAUGCAAGCCUAGCUACAGGUGCAUAAGUCUCCCCAAAAUCCAAACCUUCGAUUUGAGUGAAACCUUUGGCAACCAACCGAGUCUUGUUUCUAGUGACCACGCCAUACACAUCUUCUUUGUUGCGGAAGAACCAUUUGGUACCUAUCACGUUUUGCUUGGGUCUUUCCACCAAGGACCAGACUUCAUUCCUAGUGAAGUUGUUCAACUCUUCUUGCAUAGCCAUCACCCAAUUCGGAUCCGCCAAGGCAUCUUCCACCAUAUUUGGCAACAUAGAGGAGACAAAAGAGUAAUGCUCACAAAAACCAACUAAACGAGAGUGUGUUGUUACCCCUCGUUGUAUGUCUCCCAAAAUACUAUCAACGGGAUGAUCCUGUUGAAUAGAGUGAUGAACUCUUGGGUGAGGCACUGCUGUUCUUGUUUGAAUGGGACCAUCAUCUUCAUCUUCAUAGUCUUGGUUGAUUGGAGAAUCUAGAUCUUGAACGUUUUGAUCUCCAUCUUGGUUUGGUUCUUGUGCUUGAGGUGGGCCUUGUCCAGCUUGUUCUCUUGAGUCAUGACCUCUUCAUGAUGUGGAAGCAUCAUCAUGGGCAUUGGUUGACCCAUGAUGCAAGUUUGGGUCACGAGAAAUUUGCAUGUGUGCAUCAUCUUCUUCUUCUUCAACGGGUUUCACUUCACCGGUAGCAAGCUUUUUGAUUACUUGGCGAGAAGGCUCUUCUUUACCUAAAACUUCAGCAUUGACUUGCUCCUUUUGAGAGCCGUCGCUUUCAUCGAAAGUCACGUCUACCGCUAUUUCAAUUUGACCGGUGGUCUCAUUGAAAACACGAUAGCCAUGUUGAUUAGAAGCAUAACCAAGUAAGAACCCUUCAUUAACCUUUGGUGUGAACUUAGAGCUUUUGGAUCUUUUAUUAAGUAUGAAACACUUGCAUCAAAAAACUCUAAAGUAAUCCACCUUAGGCUUUUUACAGGUUAGAAGCUCGUAGGCAGUUUUCUUCCUCAGCUUGUGAAGGUAUAAGCUAUUGAUUGCGUGACAUGCCGUGUUAACGGCUUCUGCCCAAUAAUCCUUUUCGGAAAUCUUGUAUUCAUCCAACAUUGCUCUUGCAGCUUCAAUGAGUGUUUGGUUCUUUCUUUCCACCACACCGUUUGGUUGUGGAGUAUAUGCAACCGAGAACUCAUGCUUGAUGCCUUCUUCAUCAAGGUAUGCUUCAAUGUUGGUGUUUCUAAAUUCAGUCCCGUUGUCGCUUCUCACUUUCUUGAUCUUCACUUCAAACUCAUUUUGAGCCCUUCUUGCAAACUUCUUGAAGAUCCCUUGAGUCUCACUCUUGUCCUUCAAAAAGAAUACCCAAGUGAAGCGAGAAAAGUCAUCAACAAUUACAAAACCAUAUUUGUUACCUCCAAUGCUUAUGUAAGCAUUAGGUCCGAAUAAAUCCAUGCGAAGAGGCUCAAGUGGCCUUGAUGUAGUCACGAUGUUCUUCACGGGAUGCUUGGCUCCAACUUGUUUUCCCGCUUGUCAUGCACUGCAAAUUCUAUCUUUCUCGAAAGAAACAUUCGUUAGUCCAAGGAUGUGUUCACCUCUUUGAAGAUCGGCCAAGUUCCUCAUCCCAACAUGGGCUAGACGGCGAUGCCAUAGCCAGCCCAUGCUAGAUUUUGCCACUAAAUAGGUUUUGGACCCCACUCUACUAGCUGAAAAAUCAACUAGAUAGAGCUUGCCGUUUUGUUGACCCGUAAAAGCAAUAGAGGAAUCCGACCUUCUAGAGACUUCCACACCCUUAUCCGUAAAGAGACAAUUGUAACCCUUCUCACAAAGUUGUGAGGCGGAUAACAAAUUGUAUCCCAACGAAUCCACAAGCAAAACAUUCGAAAUGGAAUUAUCAUUUGAAAUUGCAAUUUUACCUAAACCAAGGAUAUCUCCUUUACUAUUGUCACCAAAGACAAUCCUUUCACUUGUGAUUUGAUUCGGUUGAAAUGAAGUGAACAUGUUCUUCUCUCCGGUCAUGUGGUUGGUGCAUCCACUAUCAAGCACCCAACUUGGCCCACCGGAGGAAUAAACCUACAAGAUAAAAUUAAGCCUUUUUUUUAGGUCCCGAGUUGGAACCUAGGGGGUUAGACACAUAAGAUUUGGGCACCCAAACACUCCUCAAGAUUUGUCUCUUCUUGAGGGCGCCCGCAUACUUCACAACAAUCUUGCCAUCCUUAUCCCAACAACACAUGUAAUCACAAAUAUGAUUGCGUGAGAUAGGCGCUUGAUGCUUGGGCAUUUCCCCUUGCUUCUUCUUGAUGUUCUUGUUGUUUGCAAGUGGGAUUGUAGGAGUGGUAACAUUGUUCACCUUGUCAAUGAGGUCAACAAGAGGCACACUCUUGUUGAACUUCACACAAGCCACUCCAUUUAUCAUGUUUCUCCCAUUGGCCUUACCAUUGUACCGAUUAUAUCCGAGGCCAUCCUUGAUUAUGGGGUGCCUUGAUGCCUUUAACACAUUUACCGGCUGCUUGUCCUUGCACUUGCAACCAAUCUUGACAAUAGUGUUUAGUCUUUGAAUUUCUUUGUCCUUUUUGGCUAACUCAUCAAGGUUAGUGAGACAUGCAUUUAUGUCAACAUUUAUGCAUCUUUCAUAGCUUUUACUUGUAGAAGCCUUUGAAUCCUUGGAAGCGGUAGAGGUGCUAGACCAAAGCUUUUCAUAGUUUAGUUCAAGCUCAUGAUAUUUUGUUGUCAAGAUUGUGAGGCUUUCUUGAGCCAAACUGUGAUCAUUCUUUAGGCUAGCCAAAGAGCCAUUUAGUGAGGAAUAUUCCUUAGUCAAUCGCUCAUUGGAGUCUUUGACUAGAGACAAUUCUACACCCAAGUUCUCAACCCUCUCCUUUUUCCUUGGAGAGACACACUUUGAGCCCUUGGUUAUUCUCCCUUUCCUCUAGGAGCAAUUCGCCUUGCGACUCGAUGCAUGACUCAAGCUUGUCAUUAGCGUAUAUUAGCUUUAGAAUUUUAGUUGCAGCAGCUUUACCAUAUUUCUUAAUGAGAUUAUUGGAAUAGUUUUCAUCAUCUUCAUUAUCACUAUCAUAGUCACUAGUGGUUUGAGGAGAGGAGUCAGUUUGUACCUUGUCUCCUUUUGCCAUAAGGCAUGUAGGAGUGUCAUCAUCGUCAUCGGAGAGAUUGGCGAAGAGCCUAGGAGAUGAGUCGGUGUCGGAGAUGAGUGCUGUGGAUGAGGCAACGUUGGUGAAGAUCUUGGUUGGAGAGGAUCUUUCUUGUACGGCAAUGGCAGCUACACUCUUCUUCUCAUUGUCAUCAUCAUCACUGUCACUGUCUGAUUGUCAUUCUUGCCCGAGGUGAGCUUCCCCUUUCUUCUUGUCCUUGUACUUCUUGUCAUUUUGUUUGGUGUACCUUGAUUUCUUUCCUUUAUUGGGACAACCUGCUGCAAGAUGUCCGGUGUCACCACACUCAUAGCAAAACCUCUUUCUAUAUGGCUUGUUUCCUCCAUAUCUCCUCAUCUUAUCUUUCUUCAUUCUCAGAUAGUUCUUGUAGUUUCCCACUAGCAUAGCUUGUUCUUCAUCAAGAUCAUCAUCAUUUUUGUGCUUAUGCUCACAACAUCCUUUGUUGCAAUGACUUGACUCACUUCCAUGUGAAGCUGUGAGUGCUAUGUUCUUUCUUUGAUUUAGGGCUUCUUUGGCUUCAUCAUCCAAGACUUCAUGGUGCAUCAACUUUGCUAGCAUUUCUUGAGGAGUCAUAGUAUGAUAGUUUUCUUUCUCCAUGAUGACGGAUGCAAGCAUGUUGUUCCUUUGUCUAUACACUCUACAAAUCUUUCUUGUUGUAGAGUUAUCAUCCCAUGUUUUUGCUCCAAGUGCUCUAAUUUGAUUGAUCAAUGACAUAAACCUAUCAAAUAUGGCUUUUGUUGUUUCUCCCUCAAGUAUGCAAAAGUUCUCAAUCUUGCUUUGUAAGAGCUCAAUGUUUCCUACUCUUACACUUUUGUCUCCCUCAAAUGACACUUUCAAGGUGUCCCAAAUCUGCUUAGCAUUUACCAUACCAUUUACUUUGUUGUUGUCUUUCGGAGUAAGACAUUGCAGAAUCAAGGUAGCAGCUGUUGCAUUAAGGUGAAAGUCUCUCUCAUCUUCGGGAGUCCACUCACUUGGAUCUCGCUGUGGAUUCACUCGAAUGUCCACUACUUCCUAGCAUCUUGCGGCAAUGAGAUGCAACUUCAUUCUAUGAGCCCAAUCGGUGUACCUUAUACCAUCAAAUGGAGGUGGCUUUUCAGGAUUGAUCAUCGGCAAUGUUGGAUUCUUGCUUGAACUGUUGUAAUCAAACCCAGUGUUGUUGUAGGUCUUUGACCCUUUGCUAGCAUCUUCAUUUACACCUUCGCUAUCCGACUCAUGAUUCCUUUUACUUAUGAGUUCUUUCAUCUUGUCUAUCUCUUCUUGCAUCUUAUUCAUCUGCUCUUUCAGCUGCACCUGCAAGGAUGCUGUGAUCUGUGUUGUGAUUUGCUCAACGAUUUGUUAUUGAGUUGUUUGAUCCAUCAUGGCCAAUGUUGCUCCUCACGCGGUGAAGCGUUUGUACGAGGAACCUUUCUUUGAUACCAAUUGAAAGGAUCUAAUUGGCCUAAAGGGGGGGGUGAAUAGGCGUAUCUAAAAACCUGAAACUCAAAACUCAAGUUGCGGAAGUCAAAUGCCUGUCGGUACCACCGAUAGUUUGGGCCGGUACUACUGGUGUCACACAGCCAGUACUACCGACGCAAACUGCUGGUACUACCGACUCCGUAAAACAGCUACGAAAUCAGAGUGUAAAGGGCUUAGAUUUCAGAUCUGAGUUUUACCCACCUUUCCUAAGUGUAGGAGAGGAUGUUGUUGGAGUCUCCUUAGCUUAGUCCUUCUCCACAACGUAGAUCGACCUUUUUUUACCUGUUGAAAAGUGGAAGAGAGAGAGAGGAACACAAAGAACACAAACAAGGGUAGUCGAAGCUACCUCCACAGCAAGACAAGGUAUUUUUCCCGAGGUUCGGCAAUCUCCGCUUAGGAGUUCCUACGUCCCCGUUGUUGAGGUGACCACGAAGGUCUGACCACUUAGGUCUCCUCCUCAAGCAACCACAAAGGUUAGCUUGAUGUUUCCACUAGGAAUCAAGGGGUAAUACAAACACUUCGGGGUGCCCUCACAAAUGAAUCAACACGGGCAACCAUGAAGAACGUCUAGCCGGCUAGGGUUCCAAGAACCCAAGAGUAACAAAUACAAACCAAAUUGGCAAGACGAGGAACGGAGUGCUCAAGUCACAGAUCGAAGCUCCCAACUCUCUAAUCUUACUUCUCUAGCUCGAAUCUCUCAAGAAAUGAAGGCUAGGAGCAAGAGGGAGAGAGAGUGGGUGAGACAAAGCUUGGAGACUAUUUUCUCAGAUGUGGAGUAGCUAGAAUAAGCAAGCCAACGGUUAGAAAAGAGGAGAGAGCUAUUUAUACUAGAGUACAGAGCACUUGCCAGUACUACCGGUGCAACCACCGGUACCACCGGUGUCCUCAGAUCUAAACGUGAGAAGGUUGUGGAAGAUGCGAGAAAAAGGCCUACCGAUACCACCGGCCAGCGCCGGUACCACCGGUGGAAGGCCGGUACCACCGGCAGUACAAAUUCCCGCAUUCAGCAGUUAUGCGAGAAUUUGGCCUGCCGGUACUACCGGCGUUUCACCGGUACCACCGGCGAUAGCCGGUACCACCGGUCAAAGCCCGGUACUACCGGUAGUUCAUUUUCUCGCAAAACUCAGGAGAAGAACUGGCACUGCCGGUACCACCGGCCCUGAGGGCCGGUACUACCGGCUCAUCCUAGUAGAGAAGAAACUUGCCAGAAGUUCGUGCGUGCAAGUGUGACUCUCAAGCGCAAAACCUAAGAUGACUCGAGCACUAUCCUCAUCUUACCAACUCAAUUUGCAUCCCUCUUGAUAGUGCGGUGUUUCCUAUAACUCAAACAAGAAAUAAAACUAGGUAGCUUCUUGAGUUGAAACGUCGCUCAAAUGAAGAAAUUUUGGGGGUGUUGUGAUUCACCAAAUGUGUUUGUUUGAUUCCAUCAAUGAACUAACACCUGUAGAUUACACUUGAUAGACAUGUUAGUUCCUAAUUUGAUUGUCAUUAAUUAUCAAAACACACACCGAGGGCGAAUGCACUUACAAGAUCAUCAAGUUGUAAAGGGAGAGAGGAGAGAGCUAAGGAGGAGCUGGAUCUGUCGGAUCAUCCUCAAUAUUGUAUUUUUGUAGCAUCUGGUUCGUCGCUCAAUAAUCUCCAGGUUCUUUAAUUAUUUUUCGAAAUUCAGUUCUUUAUUUACUUCUUACUUUAUUAUACUUACUUGAUCUCCAUUCGUAUUGAGUGCUCUAGUUAUCCUAGGUAAUUAGAGUAGUAAACGCUAGCGAUGACGUGGUGUCUAGGCUAUAGUUUACCUGAGUUUGCGCCCAUUCCCACGGAUAGUUGGUGUAGCCCCAGGGGUAACUGCCCUAUCAGGCCUUUGUAAUCCACCAUGUCUGGAUUGGUGUUUCGUAGAGCUUUUGGCAGCCUUCUCCCGACUACUUUCUUCCCAGUCUUGUUCGAGAGUUGGAAAGGACUUGCUGCAAAUAUACCAAAGACGAACUGGUUGCUGCAAAUAUACAAUGUUGAGAAAGAUCCAAUAGAUCUGACUCCUCCUUGGCUCUCUCCCUCUAAUCUAGAUACAACUAGACAACUAGAACUAGAACUAGAUGAUCUAGAGGGACCUCUACUUCUCUACUUGAUGAAACCGUAGUUUUUGAUCUGGAGAUAGCUAACAAAGAAGAUGAAGGAGAUGCCCCUAGGGGGGUCAAGGUCUUUAUUUAUAGCCCCCUAGGAAGCAAUAUAGCGCUUGGCUCAAACCGACUUAAACGUGCGCUUAAGAUUAAUCCUAAAGGUCGGUGGGGGCAAGAUCCGCGAGGUUCAACCUGAUUGGUUGAACCCCCCGGUUGGCCGCCCGAGACUAGGUGGGGCGGGCGCCCCUGUGUGGCUGCCAUCUUGGCCCCACUUUGCAUGGUUACUUCCUCGAGUCUUCUGGAUUGUUCUAGAGUUGACGUUUGGGUCCUCUCUUAAUGUAAAUCUAACAUGUGGACCUCCUUUUCUUAUUAUUCUGAUUACCCCCUACAAAAAUAAACAAUCACCAAAACUUGUGGAAUUCUAUUAUUGACAACCCCUAUAGCUAGGUAGUAUUCUGAUUUUAAUCAUUUGUUAUGAUAUGUUGACGGUUAAAAAUAGUACUUAUCUACCGUCAAUAGGCACUAGAGAUGCUUGCUGACAUUCGCUAGUGCAAAAAGAAAUAUGAAAGAUUUCACAAGCGCACAGAACAUCAUCGUAGCAUUUUACUGGGAGUAUUUUAGGUAUCAUUAUUUAUAUUUUAUGACAGGGAAGCUAGGCUUAAGAGUCUGAUAUUUCACUAUCCUACAUCUACUAACUUAAAGUAUAAACUAAACUAAAGUAUGGUAAAUGAUAUACUAUAAGAAUAAACAUAUAAGCACAUAUUAGAGAAUUCAAUAAUAAAUCUCUACAUAGUCAUAGCGGGAGGACAACAUGAAAGAUCAGGGUUCCUUUGUUCUUCUCUAUUACUUAGUUCUAUGGUAGCAGAAUAUGAAAAGUUGUAGUAGUCACACGUGGCACAUUUGAGCAACAGUACCUUUCUGCCUCUUGAAUGAGACUGGGAAGAAAGUAGUCGAGGGAAGGCUGCCAAAAGCUCUACGAAACGUCAACCUGAAUGUGGUGGAAUACAAAGGGCUGAUAGGGCUGUCACCCCUGGGGCUACCACAACUAUCCGUGUAAUUGAGCGCAACCUUAGGUAAACUAUAGUCUAGACACCACGUCUACACUAGCAUUUACUACUCUAAUUACCAUGAAUAACUAGAGCACUCAAUACGAGCAGAGAUCCCAUGCCAAGAUAUAACAACUACACUAAUCAUAAAUAGGCAUAAAGUAAAUAGGGAAGAUAAUAUAUUAAAGCAUAAGUCUUACUAAGAAUAAAUAUAAAGUCAUACCAAUGCUCUAAAGAAGACUCCUCCACUAUCGGAGCGCAGAUCCGCUCUCCCUAACUCCUGACUAGAACUAAUCUACUACAUAGGAAUGUGUAGCCCUAAUUCUCAAGAGAAGGGAGAUUAUCCAUUCAAGUGAUACCUCUACAACUCAUAGUUAAGAGAGGUAAUCCAAUCGAGGGAUGCCUCUACAACUCAUAAUGAUAGCUCUCCCCAAGCGGGGGUCAAGCUUGUAUUUAUAUCCCCUUUGGAAGCACCAUAGCCCUCAGAGCAAACUGACUUAAAUAUACGCUCAAGAUUACUCCUCAAAGGCAGUGGAUCGGGAAUCCAUGAGGUUGAAGCUAAUUGGUCACGACAGCUGGGUGGCUGCCCAAGGGGGUGGGGUAGGAGACCAUCCCUUAUGGCUAUUUGUUGUCCCGUUCGUUUUGGUGUCUUCUCAAACUUCAUAGACUCCAAAAAAGUGUAUUUUCAUGUGAAAUUCAUAUUCCUUCAUUCGAGACUCCAAAUAGGGCAAAUGAUAUAUGGAAUUUGGUUGUCUCUAUAACAGAACCAUCCAAUUUAUAUGAAUUCAAGUGAAUUAGCGACCACGAAAGCAGUCAAGCCAAUGGACUUGAACCCAUAUAAACCCGGUAGUCCGACGAAACCUCAAAAGAUCUCGAUUCAACCAACAUUCAACUAAGACCGUACAUGAUCAAGCAUCUCCAUCAUAGAUUACAAACAUUCAUCAUAGAACAAAGUUUUACAUCCAUCGGAGUUCAAAUAAAGUUAUUACAACAUAAGUCGAUUAGCGGAAGCAACGUAGUUUUGGAACGACACACACGCUUAGUUCGAUUACAUGCCAGUUUUGAUGAUCAACCCAACAAAAGGAUAAGUGAAGAUACAAGAGAUGAUAUUGCCCCAUAUCUACUCAUCAUCCACAGCCGGAUGGUGACAGUUGGCACAGUACCCACGGUACAUGCUGUCAUCUGCAAUAAGCGUAAAUAAAUCCCUGAGUAUGAGAAUGUACUUAGCUAGACUUACCCGUCAUAAACCAAAAAUAAAGUGACACCAAGGAGUAUGCAAGGCUCAUAUUUUUGGACUGGUUUGACUCACAUUUUGCAUAAAAGCUUUACUUUAAAGUUACACAAUUACUCUCCUUUUGGCAGCUGUUGACGGUCCUUAAGUAUCAAAUUUAAUUAUCAAAUAAACAAAGAAAAAUAUCCAAAUGCAAUCAACAUCCAGACUUAGGGUUUUAUCUGAUAGAAUUCCACGAGUUUUGGUGUUUGUCUAUUUCCGCAGGGGGUUAUCAGGAAAUAUGGAAGAAAGGCCCACACGUCGGGAUUACAUAGAGAUAUUAACGUACCGCGCAAUAAUCUUACAUCUAGAAGACUCUAGAAGCCACAGGAACGAAGCGGAGGCAGAACGAGGCCUGGCCCAGGGUGCCCAACCUAGGGACCAGGGCGCCCGACCCCUGUUGGUGCCCAAUCAGGACUCUCUUUCGAGAUCAAGCUCCACCGACCUAUAGGAUCAAGGAUAGCCGUUCAAUCAAUGUAGGUUUGAUCCGAUGGCCCAUAUUCACUUGGAAGGACUAUAAAACCAGACCCUAUGGCCCCUAGAGGAGGGGAUCUCUCAACCCUAAUUCAUUAUUCAUCAAGGGAGAAGAAGCCUCUAAUCAAGCCCUAGAGCCACCACAUCAAUUAGAUCUCUAGAUUAGUAUAGCUACAUAGGAUUAAAACUAGAAGGUGUUAAUCUUCGAUUGGUUUUCGGAUCUGUCAAGAGGAUUCUUGGUAAUUCUCUAUUGUUCUUCAAUUGUUCUUCUUUGUUCUUCAAUAUUAUGAAUAUGACUUUGUUCUACUUUAAUAUAUUGAUUAUGACUUUGCUCUACUUGUUUAUAUUCACAAUUAUAUUGUUCUUAGUUUAUCAUAGUUACAUACAUGGCUUAGUUAGAUUGGAAUUAUAUACAUGUUCAGGAUCGUAUAGCGUUUAUCCAUCGGAUCCAUUGUGUAGGCGUGGUGCUUAUACCGUAUUUAUCUGCGAUUGUACCCUAUAUGCCAGAUCUCGGGGUAGUUCGUGGUAGUGACAGCUCAAUUGAUUCUUAUAUAGUCCUCCUCUCGUGUAUUGGGCUGGCAGAGCAACAUUAUUACAGGGGAGUGAUUGCGAUUUUUCUCAUAUUCCUUGAUAAUGUCACUAUGCAUGGGUGUUGUCCUGUCUCCCAAUGAUUGCUAAGUAUAAUUGCACUAACUAUGAUAUGCUAGACUGUAUAUUUAAGAAUAACUUAGGAAAUAUUCUUGUAGUUCGUCCUAAUUCCAUGCUAAUGACUUGCUAGAAUAUCUAAUUGAGGUGCUUAUCAUAUUUAUUAUGUGGCUAAGUUAUGCUGAUCAGAUUAAUUAUCUUUGUCACCAUUCAUUACUUUAUAUAUCCUUUAUGUGACACUUAUCCCUGUAUAAAAGAGUUAGAUAAAUGUUCUCAAUUAUACAUGCAAUGAUAGAUACUCAAUCUUAUAUUCCAUUCUAUAAUCAACAUUGAUGAUUGCUAAUCCCUUCCUAGAGGUAAAAAUAUAAUAACGAUACCUAGAAUACUUCCCGGUUAAAAUGCUACAUCGAUAUUAAUCUGUGCGCUUGCAGAUCCCAUUUGUUAUUUAUUUAGAUGAGCAAUUGCAUAUUUCAAUACCGCGUCUCUUAUGUCAUGCUGGGGAUGACAACUUGGCUUAAGUGGCAUGGGAGAUAGGUUUGGCAUUUUUGGCGCCGUUAUCAGAAUUAGAAAACUAAGUCUACUUUUGGUAGUGACGUUAAGAAUGCCCAACAGGCAUUUUUGGCGCCGUUGCCGGGGAAGGUUGAUUACUAAUCAGGAAUGAAUAUAGAAUUUUGAGUUAUCAUUCGCAUCACUAAUAUGAUUGAGCUUAUCAAUUCUCUCAUACAGUUUUACCCCGAUAUUUCUCUAUUUUAUCUUAUGCAGGGUAAUGUAUGAAUAGAAGACAUCUUCCAGGAAAUUUUGUUGACAAUCCCGAAGCAUUAUUUAGAAAAACAAGAGCCAAGCUCAAGAAGAGAUCAUCAACAGUUCAGCAAGAAGCUUCAUCCAAUCAAGAAGAUCACCGAAGUUUCACCUAGAACUUGUCUUCAGAGUUCGGAGCCAUGGCGAACAAAUCGAUCCGUGAGUUCUCAGCUCCCACUACGGACAAUAUCCGCACAGGACCUGCUGCAGAGAUCGACGGCAACUUUGAGCUCAAGCCUGGACUUAUCAACAUAGUGCAAUCCAACCAGUUCUGUGGGAAGGCACAUGAAGAUGCUAGUGCUCAUCUCCAACACUUUCUGGAGAUUUGCAGCACAUUCACCAUAUCAGGAGUCCCCAAUGACGCUAUACUACUUCGCCUCUUCCCAUUCUCACUGUUGGGGAAAGCGAAGCAGUGGUUCUACGCUACAAAGGAGAAGAAUACUAUGUGGGCACUCUACUCUAUGAACUUUCUAGCUAAGUUCUUUCCCAUGGGCAAGGCCAAUGCUCUCCGUGGGAAAAUUACAAGUUUUCAGCAACAACAUGAUGAAUCUGUUCCAGAAGCAUGGGAGCGCUUCCAAGACUACAUCAUAGAAUGUCCCCAUCAUGGAAUGGAGAGUUGGCUACUGAUGCAGACGUUUUAUCAUGGGCUCAACAACAGUGCCCGAGAGACCAGAUGCUGCAGCUAGAGGAGCAUUCCUAUCACUUACCAUAUCACAAGCCACAACUCUUGUGGAGAAGAUGGCGUCCAACCAAGGCUGGAAUGAAGAGAGGACCCAGACACGCAAGAGAGGUGGAGGUAUGCAUCAGCUCAAGGAGGUAGACAUGCUGUCUGCAAAGCUAGACCUGCUUAUGAAGAAGCUCGAUGAUAGAGCUGGAGAUAAGAAUGAAGUUAUGCACAUCUACAACUCUCACAUGACUUGUGAGGAGUGUUGAGAUACUGGACACUCAGGCAAUCACUGUCCUGAGAUGCUUGAGGAUGUGAACUACAUCAACAACAACAACAAUAACUACUACAACUGUCCUCAACAAAAUCAAGGUUAGAAUCAACAGAGGCCUAACUACUCAGGUAAUUAUCAAGGUAACAAUUCUUACAAUAAUACUAAUAAUUUUCCGCCUCUGAGAGAGUUGGUGUCUAAUCAAGGAAAGCUAAUGGAUAACCUAUCUAAGAAAUUGGCAUCUAAUGAUAAAAUGCUAGAAAAUAUAAAUAAGAGAAUGGAUAAUUUCUCUGCUGCCAUCAAGAAUCAAAUUAGCUUUAAUAAAAUGAUUGAAUCUCAGUUAAAUCAAAUAGCUGCUGCUGUUCCUGCUACUAACCACGGUAUACCAUCCCAACCGGAAGGAUUAGAAUUUGUAAAUCUUGUAGACAUGUUUGAUGCAGGUAACUACUGGAGUAACCCCGUCACUGAAGUUACUACUGACCUUCUGCCGGUCAAGAGAGGCGAUCCAGGACGCCCCGUCAUCCCGAUCUCCAUCGGCAUGGUGGACUUCCCAGAAGCACUCUGCGACUUCGGCUCUAGUGUGAACAUUAUGCUUAGGGUACUCUAUGAAAAAAUCUUUACAUAUCUUUUAUGAGAAACAACCAUGUGUUUGCAGUUUACAGAUUGGACGUUAAGUUUCCCAAAGGGAACAUUGAAGAACCUUUGCGUCCAUGUUGGUACCUUGUACGCCCCAGCAGACUUCGUGCUGAUAGAGACAGGUAAUGAUGAGAGGGCACCCAUCAUCUUAGGGAGGCCAUUCUUAAACACCUCGGGAGCUGUCAUCUACGCUAGUGCUGCUAAGAUUAGUUUCUACAUCAAAAGGAGGAAGGAGAUGUUUUCCUUUAAGAACAAGACUACACAAAUCCUAGAGCAAUCUCGACAUGAACCGAGGAAGAGGACCAACAGGAGGAACAGGAACAAGCCAGUGUGGACCGAGUCAGCUAAGAUGGUCACUGCAGUUCAUGAAGGUCAAGAUCAUCGAUUUAAGUCACCGUUUCUGACCAAGAAGGACGUCCCAGGAAUGCCAAGCAUCUAUUGCUCCAUAAAUGGGUAAAACUUCUACAAGACAUUUUGCGACACCGGAUCGGGCGUCAACAUAAUGGACGCAGUCACCUAUCGGCUCUUGUUCGGAACCAUGCCCCUAAAACCAACAAACAUUCAGCUUCAGAUGACAGAUCAGACAUUUCGAGAGGUUAAAGGUAUAGUAACUGAUGUCCCUGUCAAAAUAGACGAUCAUUUUGUCUAUACAGACUUUCAGGUUAUUGACAUGGGAGAAGACGAAUACGAUCCACCCGUCAUCCUUGGAAGACCGUUCCUCAGCACCGUUAAAGCAAUCAUCUACAUUGGAACUAGAGAAGUCCAUAUGCACUUCCCCUUAGAGAAGGUACGCCGCUAUUUUACUAAACCUAACUAUAUCGUUGAAGACUCUAAGCAGGUCAGGACAAGAAGAAAAUGACGCAACCGCAACCAGAAGAGGCAAAUCAUCAAGGACGGAUGGGCAGACUAUGAAGGAGAAGUAGUAAGGUCUGAAGACAUACAACUUAAACAAAAUUAUCCAGAGGAGACCGUAGCACCGAGUAAGGUGUGGAGAGAGAAGAUAUCUAUACAUGAAGAAGAGGCGCCGCUGGAAGCACCGACUACGCCACCCAACGAAUCCCAGGACAACUAGAAAACGCAGAGUCCUGUUCGGAGGACUUAAAAACACCAAACGCCUUGCUAAGAGGUAAACUUGGUAGUUACCCUUUCCCUUUCAAAUAUUUAAAAUAGUUUACUUAGUUAAUCAUAUUCAUACUAUCCUAAAAAGAAAAUAAAAAAUGAUAAAAUAGUAAGCCCCAUGUGAGUAUACGAGUGGCAUAAAACCCAUAAUUGUAUUCACUGUGGUGGCAUAAAAAUAAAAUAAAUAUUUCUUUUCUACUUUAUAAAAUGAUAAUAUAAAAAUAGAGAGUAAUAUUUAUUGAGGAGUCUCAACAUGAUAAAGGCUAAAUAUUGAUGCUAACACUUAAUCAGUUCUACAAAGCUUUUUUGUCUAUUUGAGCUCCACAUAAUUUAAGAAUCAAGAAGACUAAGAGACGGAGGACAUUCUAAUCGCUGUCAGGAUGCUGCCGACUUUCAAAUACACCUCUGCCACCUGCUAGCUACAUCAGAAGAAAUUACGUCAAAAUCCAGUUUGGGGGAGAGCACCCCCAUUUAUCCUGCUAAGUAUUUCUAUCUAUCUUUAUACUUAUACUAUAUUAAAAUAUAAAUAUACAUAACUAUGGAAAACCAAAUAAAGAUUUUGUGCUUAUAUAUAUAUCUUUUGCUUAGUGUGUUUAAUAAAUAAAUAAAGUGGCUAUCCUAAACUGAAUCUGAAUAAUAAAACUUUAGCAUGGAUGUGAUGAAUAGUUGCUCUGCCUAAUUUUCGAAUUGAAGUUCUCUCUCAAGUUUAGACAUAACUGUUAUAAUUUAAAGCUUGCUCUAAACCUAAACUUGUGGGAAGAAAACUUGAUCUAAAGUCUAAGUUUUUAACGGAUAUGAUAUGGAAAGGUUGAGCUGCUGUUUAUCUAUUCCUAGAGAUGCUAAAAUUCUGGAGAAUUUUAUCUUUGGAAAAUCUUUAAAAUAUUGCAUGAUGAGUUUCUGUAUGAUGAGAGUUUAAAUUCCUACCACAGCCAUAUAUACAUGCUUGCUAGACUUUGAGCCACACAUUUACUUUACUACUUAUGAGCAUUGAGUGUGGUCAAGCUGUGUAGACCCUUAGGAGCUUGUCAUGUGGUUAAAUCAAGAUUCACUUGCACGUUCACUCACACAUGUUGCUUCUACUCCGAGAGUACGCAUCCUCAUAUAUCCACUCAUUUUCGUCUCCAGAACCACCCAAAAAUAUUCUACUCCUAUCCGGGAGAGAAUGGCCAAAAACAUUUCUGUUUUCCCCUGUGAAAUAAAUGCUCAAGUUAUCUUGGUUACUACCACUUGCUAUAUUAUUUCAUGAGAUGAGUGCUCUAAAAAAAGGAGAAGAUACGAGGAAAUAAAAAGGGGCAAGUGCCCAGAACCUCGAAAGAAAAGAAAAAGUGAGACGAGAGGUAAAAAUGGACAAGUGUCCGACAGUAGAAUUAGAGGUACAAGAUACCCACUUGAGAGGAAAGAAAAAGUAGAGUAUCUCAUUCUCGUCACAAAGUUUCAAAAAGCAAGGAAGGUAUGUAUCCCCUCAAAAGAGCAAAAGUAAAAUUAGACUUUCACCAUUGUUAUCAUCACCAUGUACCAUUCAUUCGCCACACAUGCACAUCUUGAUUUGACUUAUUGGCUUGUUACUUUGGAUCCAUUGUUUGACUAUGCAAUAAAUGUCUUGUAAGUAUGUAUACUUUAUCUCCCACCUAUGAGCUCCAGAUAUUAAAGCCUUAUUAGAGUCGGAUGAGUGAGAAGGCAAUGUUACUAUGCCUUAUACAACAAAUGCUACAUAUUUUGAGAGAAGGCAUAUACCAUCACUGCCUUGGUAAGGAUCCAAAAAUACUACAAAAGAGAGAUCUGAGAGAGUCAUACAAGGAAUCUCUGAGUUUUAUUCGAAAAUCUGCAAAAACUUCAGAGCUAUAGCUGAUCAAGAAUAAGAGACAUGGCACUUGACUAGACUGUUCUAUCUUUUAACUACUCAAGUCCCAUGGUGAAAGGUAGUAAGUUUUAAGUCUUGACAGUUUACUAUAACUCAGAGACGAUGAGAUCUUAUUUAAAAGCAUGUGUACCGUCAAUUUUAAAGGCAUUACAACAACUUCUGAUCCAUCAUUGAGAUUAUCCUUGCUCAGGGAUGAGCAAGAGGUAAGCUUGGGGGAGUUUGUUGACGGUCCUUAAGCGUCAAAUUUAAUUAUCAAAUAAACAAAGAAAAGGAUCCAAAUCCAAUCAAUAUCUAGACUUAGGGUUUUAUCUUAUAGAAUUCCACGAGUUUUGGUGUUUGUCUAUUUCUACAGGGGGGUAUCAGGAAAUACGUAAGAAAGGCCCACACGUCGGGAUUUCAUAGAGAUAUCAACGUAGCACGCAAUUAUCUUACAUCUAGAAGACUCCAGAAGCCACGGGAACGAAGCAGAGGCAGAACGGGGCCUGGUCCAGGGCGCCCGCCCCCUGUUGGUGCCCAAUUAGGACUCUCUUUUGGGAUCAAGCUCCACCGACCUAAAGAAUCAAGGAUAACCGUUCAAUCAAUGUCGGUUUGAUCCGACGGCCCAUAUUCACUUGGAAGGACUAUAAAACCAGACCCCCUGGCCCCUGGAGAAGGGGAUCUCUCAACCCUAAUUCAUUAUUCAUCAAGGGAGAAGAAGCCUCUGAUCAAGCCCUAGAGCCACCACAUCAAUUAGAUCUCUAGAUUAGCAUAGCUACAUAGGAUUAGAACUAGAAGGAGUCAAUCUUCGAUUGGUUUCUGGAUCUGUCAAGAGGAUUCUUGUUAAUUCUCUAUUGUUCUUCAAUUGUUCAUCUUUGUUCUUCAAUAUUAUGAAUAUGACUUUGUUCUACUUCAAUAUAUUGAUUAUGACUUUGCUCUACUUGUUUAUAUUCGCAAUUAUGUUGUGCUUAGUUUAUCAUAGUUAUAUACUUGGCUUAGUUACAUUGGAAUUAUAUACAGUUUUAGGAUCGUAUAGCAUUUAUCCAUCAGAUCCAUGGGUAAAUGAUAGAUAUAGUGUAGGCGUGGUGCUUAUACCGUAUUUAUCUGCGAUUGUACCCUAUAUGCCAGAUCGCGGGGUAGUUCGUGGUAGUGACAGCUCCAUUGAUUCUUAUAUAGCCCCCCUCUCGUGUAUUGGGCUGGCAGAGCAACAUUAUUAGAGGGGAGUGAUUACGAUUUUUCUCAUAUUCCUUGAUAAUGUCACUAUGCAUGGGCGUUGUCCUGUCUCACAAUGAUUGCUAAGUAUAAUUGCACUAACUAUGAUAUGCUAGACUGUAUAUUUAAGAAUAACUUAGGAAAUAUUCUUGUAGUUCGUCCUAAUUCCAUGCUAAUGACUUGCUAGAAUAUCUAAUUGAGGUGCUUAUCAUAUUUAUUAUGUGGCUAAGUUAUGCUGAUCAAAUUAAUUAUCUUUGUCACCAUGCAUUACUUUAUAUAUCCUUUAUGUGACACUUAUCCCUGUAUGAAAGAGUUAGAUAAAUGUUCUCAAUUAUACAUGCAAUGAUAGAUACUCAAUCUUAUAUUCCAUUCUAUAAUCAACAUUGAUGAUUGCUAAUCCCUUCGCAGUGGUAAAAAUAUAAAUAACGAUACCUGGAAUACUUCCCGGUUAAAAUGCUACAUUGGUAUUAAUCUGUGCGCGUGCAGAUCCCAUUUGUUAUUUAUUUAGAUGAGCAAUUGCAUAUUUCAAUACCGCGUCUCUUAUGUCAUGCUGGGGAUGACAACUUGUCUUAAGUGGCAUGGGAGAUAGGUUUGGCAUUUUUGGCGCCGUUAUCAGAAUUAGAAAACUAAGUCUACUUUUGGUAGUGACGUUAAGAAUGCCCAACAGCAGCAAGUUAACUACUUAAAACAAUUAUUCAUUAGAUUAGCACCUGUCCUAAGCAUACACUUGAGUAACCAUAUCCGGAUAAUCACAUAGCCAUCAUCAUUCUCAUCAUAACCAUUAAGUUCAUUUAGUGAGUUCUACGUUGCCGCUGCUCGAGUCAAGUUCUCACUAUCCGAGAGAGACGGUGAUUCGAAUCGAUUCCUAUCUAGCUGGAGGGGUAUUCCUAGCACUCACUCAGUCGUACUUUGCAAGAACAGCCUUAGGUCACCUUUAGCACAACUCAGGACCAAUUCGCGGGUCUGAUCAGCGUCGCACCCCCAGGGACGACAAUCUGCCAGGGUCAGGACUCUAACCUAACACCUCGGUUGUACGCCAUUGACUCCCCGCACACACUUACUACCAACCGGUGUGCACACUCAAACAGAACAGUGUAUCCGGCCUGAGUUGCACUCGUAGGCUUCGCAGUCGGAACGACUUAUCUAGCCAGCUAAGUGUUAGGCAUGUGUUCAACAUGACAAGAGGACGUACAGUGUAUCGGUCCUUAACUGACAUAGACGGGGAUAGAUCCACACCCAAGAUCUCCAUGCCUUAUUGCUUCACUAUUGUAUUCCCGCCUAGUCUCCAUUCAUUAUCAUCACAUGGUUAUUCCACGAUAGCACAUAUAACCAACCGUGAUAAAGUAUCCACCUAUCUCUCGCAGGUGACAGGAAAUCACCUGGCUUCUACCGAGCUAAGCAUGACUAAGCAAUAAUUCGAUCCAGGACCUAUUUAGGUGAGGUAUGAGGUGGACAAGGUAGUCAUUAUGCAGCAAGGUCAUCAUAUCAACGCCUAUCACUUAAUGCAACAAUACAUAACUAUAGUAAAUUGAUAGCUGGACAUGAUAACAAAAAUAGUGGGAGUCUUAUAAUGCUCUGGGGCUUGCCUUCGAUGUAGGUAGAAGGACGGUGGUCAGGGCACUCCAGCAAGUCCUCCUCCUCUUCUUAAGGUGGCUCCCUCUGCUGCUCCUCUGGCUCGGGUGGUGCGAACUCCAAGACCGUCACACCUUUGGGUACACCUAAGUAUGCAUAACAAGGUGAUGAACAUGGGGAAUGCACAUAGGAUGCAAUAUGUCAUGAUGAGGAGCCAAAGGAACAUGUAACAAGGUGCAAACAUGAUCACAAGCUUCCAAGAUUGAGUAAACAACAGAUUAACAAGUAAGUGCAUACUUCUUCUCUGGUAGAGAGGCUAACUAGACAAGCUAUUCAACCUACACUACUCUUACUCAGCAACUGGGUUGAGGAACAGACUGGAUAGCCACAAGUUUCAGCUAUAACUCAGUAAUCUAUUGCCCAAAUUAAGUAAGUGAGCACUUUCUAGAAAGCUUAACAAGUUGUCUACAAUUCACUUGUAUACAUCACAGAAAGACUCCCAACAGAAACAUGUCAAAACAGACAAAGUCUCCUGGCUGCUCUGGAAAAUCCAGAGAGCUAGCACUUCGCAGCAGCUACUUGCAACAGCCAUAACAUCUAAACCACUCAGCCAAAUGCUAUGAAAUUUGAACACAAGAUAGACAAGUAAGUUAGCUACAAGUUUGUUGUAGACAAGUUUCCCAGAACACUUAAUCUUCAAGCAGUUCUUAUGUAAAAGCUAUCAGCUACGCAGAAUAUGCUCUAGACAAGGCAUAAAAUAGCAAAAUAAUAUUUUAGCACAUAUUAAGAAAGUAACAUUGGUCCAAACCAAAAGUACCAGUAGCUAGAACAUGUCUAAGAAACACCAUAAAACAUCAUGGCAAGGUUAAAACUCAUUUUUAUUGUCCCCUUUUUAUUUAUUUGAUGAUUAAGAUGAAUUAAUGAGCAUAUAGUACAGGUGCUCCAAAACUUCCAGCAAAAUUACAGCAAGCUACUCAUGCUACAUAAAGGUUACUGUAAAAUUUUCAUGGACCUUGCACAUGUAGAUUGUAGUGUACAAAAAUGACAAGCUACCAAUGGCAUUAAGGGCAUAAAUGGGAAACCCUAUCAAAAAUUGUUGAACAACAGAUUUCAGAUUUUUCUUAGCUUUAUCUCCACAAGAUUUCACCACUCAGCAAGUUUCAUCACAAAAGGGGUUAUAAUCUAUUUAUUAAAAGUACCAUAAGAAACACCUAUUUAAACAAGGGAUAUUUAUAACUACAUCAUAAGGCAUUCAAAAAUCAUGAGAAAUUUAUAAGAGCCUAUACAUAGCAUAAGUAACAACCUCCUAAAUUUGCAUGGUCAUAGGACCUACAGAUCUCAAGAUAUAAUUACCCUCUUUUUAUUAGGGAUUAAACGAGAUAAAUCAUAACUAUUUAUUUCUGCAAAAACAUGGCAUGUUUCAUAUUUUUAUUACACACUAGAUCUACUCAGGAGCAUGUCAAAAUUUGAAUCACCCAAAAUUGAACUUGCCAAACACAAGAUAUGAUUUUUACAAAAUUGUAUUGAAACCUGCCAAAAACGGAAAAGGGGGAGAGAGAGAGACAGCGGCUGACAGAAGGGUCUCACGUGUCAAUGACACGAAGGAUAGAGGCGAGCUCGGUCGCCGGAGAUCUCAACGAUGGCGAGGUCACUAGGGUCUUCACUUCGAGGCGGACCUAUUGACCUACUUAGCUCACGCUCUACUGGCCUCUAGGGUGCUCGCCGUCGAGAAUGGCGGAGCGGCGGCGCUGUGCGGUGAUACGCCAGCGAAAUGGAGCCAUGGCGACCCAUUAGAGGUUGAGGAUGAGCAAGAAUGAAGCAAGGGGAAGCUGUAGGAAGAACAAUCACGGCCGGAGGUGAACCAGAGAGGUCUGGCCAUGUCGGCGGUGAUCUCUGUGUACUCCGGCGAGGUGGAGCUCGCGACAGAGUGAGCAAUGUGGCCUCACCGGUGCUCGGCUAGGGAAAUGAGGUGGAUGACGAGGUAGAGGACGUCGUGGUGGAGCUCUGGGCGGAGUAGCUCGGCUCGGGACGUGGUGGCGUGGCCGGGAGAGCUCGCCGAAUCACGACGGAGCUUGCCGAGAACGAAGGCGGAGGAAAUGGGAGGCACUGGGUGUGUGAAUGGUGCAUCUGAGGCGUCCAGGAGGUGUGUGGCACUCAAGUGGACGUGUUGGCGCUAAUUGGCUGGGUCGCCAUUGACGCACACCCGACAGGUGGCCAGACACGCGGUGGCAGGUGAAGCUCUAUCCAACUGAAUCGAUGACUGAUGCUCACGAUUGCAGUGACUGAAACCCGAUCUUCGUCGACGUUUCACUCGAUGGUUUUUGCUCGGAUUUGUUCCAAUGAGUAGAGCUACACAAGUUCUACAAGUUUGCUUAAAGGAUCGAAGUCUGGUUUGACCUGGAAUUCAAACUAUAAGGCUCCCAAGUACCCUAAGAGCAAACUGUGUCGAUUCUGACUUAGGCAGAUUUGGCUAAGUGUAAAAACAGACCUCAUUUUAGUCUUGUGCACUAAUUUUGAGUGCGUUCCAUUCAUUUUCAUGGAAAGGUACCAAAACAACUUUUGUAGCUUAUAAAAUUUACUACAAUGAUGCUUUAGAUGUCAUUGACAUGCAAGGUUUCUAACACUAGUUUCAUAAAGGAUAUUUGAAAAGAGGUUUAGGGGGUCAACUAGGUCAACUUAUGGUUAACCAUGACUUAGGGGCAUUUUUGGAAGAAACCCCCAACAUGAACAUUGUUUGAAAUGAUAUUCUAAGCAUGAAUAAUGUAUCUAGGAAGACAAUAUGUACUUGCAUACAUUGGUCAUACAUUAUUUACACACAUAGCAAGCCAUAUAAGCAAUCACUUCACAUAGGGUAUACACAAAAUGACAUGUGAUCAUGGUAUGAUGCUUAUGUGUGAGUAUGAUGAUGAUCAUGUUGAUGCAAUGCUCAUGGUUAACAUGCAAGCUAACACUAGGACUGUUACAGUCUUGACAAGCCCAUCACAAUGGUGCAGUCCAAUUCAUCAAUUGGGAUACAUUUAUUCAAUGAUUAGUUUGCCUUUAGCUCUUUUCCUUUGUGACCCCUGCAAAACAUAGAUGCACCAAAACUCGUGGAAUUUGUUUGUUCAAACCUCUAAACCUAUGUUGGUGAGCAUCUAUUUGCAGUUAUAAAAGUUAUGUUGAUAGUUAAAAAUAGGAGUUAACUACCGUUAACAAACUCCACCAAGUUUACCUUUUGCUCAUCCCUGAGCAAAGAUACUCAGUGAUAGAUCAGGAGUUGCUGCAAUACUCUCACACCUCACAAGUACACAUAUGUUCAAACAAGGACUCUCCACUGGAUUAGAGUGAACUAUUCUGACUCAAGACUCACUCAUAUUACCUUUAACCAUGGGGCUUAUAGCCUUCUCUUAGGUCUUGGGCAGUUGAAAGAUAGAAUGGUUAAGUCGAGCACUAUAUUUCUCGCUCAUUAAUCAACUAUUAUUCUAGAGUUUUUGUGAGAUUUUCAAAUAAAACACAGAGAUUCCUUGUAUGACCCUUCCAAGUCUCUCAUUUGUGGUACCUCUAGAUCCUUGCUAAGGCAUGAAUGAUGUAUGCCUUCACUCUACUCUCAGAAUAUGUCGUAUUUGUGGAAUUAAGACAUAGUGGCAUUGUAACACCCCAGUGUUAUGGUUGCAUCAUUGACAUGCAUAACAUGAGCAUCAUCAUCUUCAUAAGCAUAUCAUGAUCAUCAUUUGCCUUGGGUCAUGUCAUUUUAUUCAAAAGGGUGAUUUAACUUGCUUAAAUAUGCUUCCUAUGCUUGUGUUUGCUUGUGCCAUGCUCAUGUUUGUGCUCUAUGCCUUGGUAAUUAGUUUAUCUAUGCUUAACUCAACUUUUGGAACAAUGUUCAUGUUGGUCACAUCUUCAAAUAAAGUACCUAAGUCAUCCUUUCCCUUAUAAGCCCUAAAAACCUCUUUUGCUUAGGCUUUUAAAAAGUGCUUCAUAAAAUAUUUGCAUGUCAAAACUUCCUACAGAAAAGGUGUAGCACAAUUUAUAUGGAACAAAAGUUGUUUUAUGGCCAUCACAUGAAAAUGACCACAUCAUGCUCAAAAAGUGAUGGCAAAGCAGUUUUGGGUGCUGUUUUGGCACUUAGCCAAAUUUGGCAAAGUCCAGGCGCCACCAGUUUGCUCGAUUGAUUUUGGGAGUCUCAUAUCUCUUGAUCCAAGCCGAUUUGGCUCUUGCUCCAGUUGACAAUGUUGUAGGACUCAGCUAGUACUCCAAAUUUGUCAACUACACCAUCUCCUAAUUCGCCUUGGUUUGUGAGAUAAUCGCCGUUGAAGUAGCUAUGUCAGUCGACCAUCGCCUUGUCUGAAUGGAAGCCGAGCUCGUCGACGUGGCCGACAUUUGGCGCCAUUUGGCGACAUUUGGCACCCGUACGUCAUCUCUGGCCCCGCUCGUCAGCUCCGGACACGCGCAUGACCUCCACGGCGACACCCCGGGCGAAGUGGACGCGUCCAUUUCCUCCUUCCUCCCUCUCUCUCGCCAGAAACGCGGUCGCAGCGGAGUCGCCGUCGUGAGCUCACUCCGGCGAGCUCGAGCGCGCUCCGCGUUGCAUUGCUGCCCACCAAAACUCGCCCACAGCUCCGCCGUGACCUGCUCUCCAACCUUCACCCACAAACUCGCCGUGAAACCCUCCGGUGAGCCGACAUUUCCAACUUCCCCCAAAUCGGGUCGCCGUGACCUUCUUCUCCGGCGAACUCAAUGCUGAGCUCCUCGGAGCAUCUCGUCUUCUCUGAUUAGGUCCUAGAGAUAGCUUAGGACCUUAGCGAACGUUUGUGCCACUUGGCGGACGCUCUACCGCACUCACCGUCGCCAGACACGACACGCAGCGCCGCCGUGUUUCCGCCGGAGUUCGGCCCUCUCGUGAUCAGCUCGUUCCACACCAUUUCAAGCCUGCCACCUACCUAGAAAGCUUCGCCAUAGUUUACUGUUGCUGUAGGAAACCCUAGGUCACGCUCUACCAGCCUGAGAGCUCCGGCUUAACGCCGAGCACCUCCGCCGAGCCGCCAUGGUCGACGGCGAGCCCUUUCCGGUGGCUCCGCCGUGGGGAAAAGAGGGUCAACCGGUUCGCAAUGGUCUAGGGAUCACAUUGGUGCCCUUGGUUUGGCCGGAGACCUCGCUGUCGCGGAGAAAUCACCGGUGAACGUCGUCUCAGUCAUGAGGAAGACGAACCUGACGCAUAGGACUCGUUGUCAGUGACACGUCGCUUCCCUCCUUUUCUUUUAUUCAAAUCCAGAUUUCUUGCAAUCUUGCAAAAAUCAAUAUCUCCAGUUUCUGAGCUCCAAAAUUUGUGAAACAAUUUUUGUGAUAAUCUAAGGUAUGGCUAGUUUUUAAUAAAAAUAUAACAUGCACCAUGUUUUUUUGAGAAAAAUAAUUGUUAUGGUUUGAUCUUGUUAUUAAAGUGUAAAUUCAUAUCUUUUGAUAUACUGCUCCUUUUGCUCUGAAAUUUUUAUCGUAGGCUCUGUGUGGUAUUAUAAUGCAAUGAUAAAUAUUACAUGAUUUUUGGAGUACUGUAUCUUUGAUAUGAAAUUUAUGUUGAUUGUAUGGCUUGUUUUCUUAUUUAAAUCAUAAUAAAUGAUUUAUGCUUAUGCUGGUAUUCUACAUUGGUGUCAAGCUUGUUUAGGUAAUAGUAACAUGUGAAUAAUCUGAAAUCUGUUGUUUGACACUAUCUAAGCCAUGUGUCUUAAUUUAUGAAAUAAGCACCUUGUUACAUGUUAAUUACUUAUCUUAAGUUUGGCAUGUGCAAUUGCUCUGAAAAUUUUAUGGUAAUGUCAAGAUGCUAUGCUUGUGCUUCUGUAAUUUUUGUAAAUUUAUCUGAGCAAAUUUGUUAGUAUCGUGUAAUUAUGUCCUUUUAUAGAAUUAAACUAAUAAAUGCCUAGUUAUUGAAUGUUUAAUGGUCAACAUGUGAUGUUCUGGUAAUCUUAGGGUAUGCUUGUGCUGGUAAGCCAUUUGGUUGGCACUAAAUAUGUUUUGGCUAUGUCAUCAAAUAAUUAAUUAAAGGUUUAUAAGCUGUUCUAGACAGCAAGGGAGUAAUCUAAUCUUUGCUUGAUGAUAACUUGGUUUUCUGAGAGACUUGUCUAAAUCAAAGAUGUUUUAAACUUUAUGAACUAGCUGCAGUUUAAAUUUGGGAUCAUUUGGUCCAAUAGUUUAAAAGUUAUAGCUCUUCCAAGUUGGGUUCCAGAAAUAGGUGUUCUCUGUUUUUUGGGUACAGAACCUGGAACUUUGUUUAAUUGACUUAUUUAACUUGUGAAUCUUGCUGAGAUGUCUAAAGAUGAAAUGUAGACAAUUUCAUAAGCAUUCCUGAAUGUCCUCAUUCAUGUUUGUUGGAUCUGUAUAACAAUAGUUAUGAUUUAUUUCUUGAAGCUGCACUGUUAUUUUGGUUAUUGCUGUUUGUAGUUUAACUUGGUGAUCUUGCUAAGUUAGUUAUCUCUUGUAAUCUUGUUUUGGGAGUUACUCCGUAAAUGAGUGUCCAGUGAAGCUCUAAUCAUGUUACCAAGCAUUCAUCCUCAUCUAGUAUGCACAUGUUCUUAUUCAUCGUGCAUGCAAUAGGUGCACCGGAAACGACAGCUUCGUUCGAGCUCCAGGUGAACCCCGAAGGAGAAGAGAUCAAUCCGGAGGUGGAGGUCCAGCCAGCCGGACACGAGGAGCCCGAAGAAGAGGUCGAGUGCCCUAAUCAGGAGCCAGCCUCGUUCGUGAAAGGCAAGCCCCAGAGCAUCUUAAGUCUCCCACUUUAAUUUCCAAAGCAAUCUUGAUUAUGUUAUAUAUAUUGAUGUAUUACGUAUAGGAGUUGUGAUGAAACCCUUGCUGCAUUAUACUCACUCCUUGUCCAGAUAUCUAUUGUUGACGGUCCUUAAGUAUCAAAUUUAAUUAUCAAAUAAACAAAGAAAAGGAUCCAAAUGAAAUCAACAUCUAGACUUAGGGUUUUAUCUGACAGAAUUCCACGAGUUUUGGUGUUUGUCUAUUUCUGCAGGGGGUUAUCAGGAAAUAAGGAAGAAAGGCCCACAUGUCGGGAUUACAUAGAGAUAUCAACCCACCGUGCAAUUUUCUACCAUCUAGAAGACUCCAGAAGCCACGGGAAGGAAGCGGAGCCCGAAAGGGGCCACGCCCAGGGCGCCCGCCCUGAGGACCUGGGUGCCCGCCCCCCUCUGGACUCCGUUCCGGACUCUCUUCGCACACGACGUUCCACCGACCUAUUGGAUCCAGAAUAACAUAGUACCACCUCGCCUAUCGACCCAAAAACGCAUAGAAGGGGAGGACUAUAUAAGGAGACCCCCUCUGGCCCCUAGAAGAGACAAGAAAUUAUCAUAGAGAUUGAGGGGUGCCCUCGAAGGAAAACCUCUUCUCUAAAUAAUAUUUCUUUUUAGGCUUAGCAACCAAUGUAAGGUAGAAAUAGAUCUUCUAGUUUCUACUAGAUUGAGAGAGAUAGAGUGGAGGUGUGGAUCGGAGGAAGGCCGGCCUGUCGGUGUCUACUCCGAGUUGUACCUGCGGGAUCAAGUCUCCUAACCCGAGGCUUGCUUCUAAGAUUCUUCAGUAAUUCGACUUCUAAUACUAGUAAGUUCUUGUUUUAUUGUUCUUUGGUUUAUGAGUUUACUUUAAUCCUCUUCCGGUUGAGUGUUAGAGUAAUCACUUGCUAGCGUAAACGUGGUGUUUAGGCUAGGGUACUCAUAGAUAUCCCCUGACUAGCUGGACCGUGGUAGUAGCGAGGAACGUGACAUUUCCGAGUUACCUUUGCAGAUCACAUCUCGUUAGCAGGACGGGUAGGUUUAUAGGUGCGGGUCGAACAUCCUUUGUGUUGUCUAGAUUCCGUGAGCCUCCCCAAUAGAACAAUAGAUCAUCCUUACCAAGGUUAGAACGAGACUACGGUUGCAGUCUUCUCUAUACAUUACUCACAUCGAGAAACAUUCUUUGUAGCCUAAAGGGGUAGUAGCAAUAGAUUUGGUUAGUCAGAUGCACCCUUUCUCCCAGUGGUAAAAAUAUAAAUACAAUAACUCUGGAUAACCUCCCGGGUGAAAUGCUCACCGAUAUCCGUGCGCUUGCGGAUCAUUUCCUUAUUGCGUUACCAAAUAUCAACAAGCAUUUCUGGCGCCGUUGCCGGGGAGAAAGACGGUUUGCUGAGAUAACUUUGAGUCUUGCUAUUAUCUUGUAUUAUACUUUUAUACUUUUAUUCUUUUAUCUUUUUAUUUUUAUCUUUAUGGAUAACUCAAAUUCCAUACCUAUUAUUAAAUUUUGUGCACCUUCGGAGACCAGCCAUAGACCAUGGGACUCAACACGUCCUGCCCCUAAUUAUGAUCUGUGUCCGGAGUUGAUUGCAAUAGGUCAAAACCAACCCUUUUCUAUAGCCGAGGUCCUAUCUUUUAAUCAAGAAGAUAAUGCACUUUUAGCUACACCUAGGGAAUCUGUUAAUCUUUCUAUAAAUUCUGGUUUAGACCUAGCCCUACAAGACCAUGUUUUUCCUAGAUAUUUUCACAUUGGUCUUAAUCAUAUAACCUUUGGUAGAGUCCUUCUUUCUUUAUCUAUUAGUAAAGGAAGGUAUGUCUUCAUUUGUGGACAUCCUUCUUGCACUAGUCUUCAUAAAAAUAUCCUAGAGAUAGAGAAGGAAUAAUCUCCCAGAAGAGGAAAGGAAAUUUCAAUAGCCGAUUUCCAAACAUUUCAAUCCCAUAAUUCGGCUAUCCAACCCAUCCUUGAGAUUAAUAAUUUCUACUAUGCUCUUUCUCUUGAACCUCCCGAUAAUCCUAUGAAUCUCUCUAGACAUCCCAUGCAUAAGAAGGAGGAUCGAGAAGAGCAACAUCGAUGGUUAGAGGGCAUUAAAAAUCCAUGUGCUAUCACCAUUGAAUGGAUAGAUAAAACAAACUUGAGAGACAAUCCUAGAAGAAUUUUAAGCAUUCAUGAAGAAUCAUCCUUGGAGUUUGAGAAUGAGAGAAACAACAGUGAGCAUGGAAGUUAUUUCAUAAAUACCUUACACAGUCCUUGCUCAUAUAAAACAUCUCUCCAAUCAAUUAGUCUCUCCAUCCUUACCACAUUUGAGAUCUCCAACCCCCUCUUCUUUUCUAUUUAUAAAAACUUUAAAAGGGCGGUUGUCAAUGCAUAUGUCUAUAAUAAAUAUUGUAGAUCUCGUUGAGUUAAUUGAUGGUUCCCCAAGGACAAGCUUAGUGUCCUAAAACAAGCACUUCUAAUUAUUUGCAACAUUGCCUUGUGUAUUGAGCAUAUAAAGAUAAUUGUAGAAAUAUUCCUUCGGGUAUUCUUGUCACUAACCUUUCGAGGAUUGGAGCAAGAAGAUCGGAUGAAUGACAAGCACAAGGUAUGUCCAACCAACCAUCACACAACAUUGAAUUAAAUUCAUCCAAACUUGAAUUUUGCAAAAUUCAAGCUUGGGGGAGUACUUUACAUAAAAACAUCCUUUGCCAUGUUGCUACGUUGGUUGUCCCUACCUUUGAGAGAUGCUCAAUUUGUUAAGUACUAAUUACACUACUUCACCUCCACUUGAGUAGAUCGCUAUAAAUGCUCUCAUGCUACCUUUAUUUGCUUUAGUAUAUGUCUAGGUUUGGAAUAGUUUCAUUUAUCUCUUAAAUCAAGCAUGGUGCUUAGUUUAGGAAUGAUGAUCUUACUUCCAAAGGAUUUUUAAAUUAAGCAUGGUGCUUAGGUUAAAAUGCCCUCCUAAAUCAAAUUAGACAUGGUGUCUAGGUUGAUUUUUGAGCCGAUAGUAUGCUAUAGUAGAUAUGGGAUAUUUUGUUGGACUAACCCCUGCAGGAAAACUUUCAAUAUCAACCUGGGAAGUCCUGAGAUACAAACUCAUUGGAGAUAAAGGAGACACAUGAAGUUUAACAAUUUGCACAAGAAGGACAUAGCUCAUUCAUCAUAAAGAGAUGAUCCAUGGAGGGUGCCACAAACACGAUGCACAACCGCUAAGAAAGGAAAGCUUCCACAAGGUGAUACUGUACCGUCACUCUUCAAGUAAGGUAACAUUUUAAGGUACAUGACUAUCACUUUUAUAAGCUUCUCCUUGGUUCUAGCGUUCACAUAAAAUAAAGAGACAAACAUGUAUGAUUUGUAGCUCCAAAUUAAUCAACCCAAUUAAUUCAACAUGUUUAGUCCUUUAAUCUUUGUUCUUAGUACUACCUUCGUGAUCCCACACUCCUAAUCAUAUAAGCUAAAGUAUUGCACAUUCAAUCUUUGGAAGAUAUAAACAAAACAUAAAUAUAGAUAGAUUAUCUUUCCAUUAGGUUGAGCCAUCUGAUCUAACAAAUGUUUUAAAUGCUACACUCAUGAUCCAUCAACUUUGUCUUGCUCACUAUGCUUAAGGUUAGAGAAGAACAAAUACACUUUUGGUUCUGUUGGUGUUUUCCACCAACAGGGCCCAUGCACUUGAUCUCUGCCUUGUCUCUAUGAGCAGGACACAUUUUGAGAAACGUGAAGGCGUUUUACAACUCCCAGAUUCCAUCAAGUGAAGAACCGGGAUCUACAAGCACAAACACAAUGGAGAUCAGGGAGGCCAUUCCUAAACACUAGAGCUGUCAUCUACGCUAAUGCUGCCAAGAUCAGUCUCUACAUCAAGGGGAAGAAGGAGACUUUCCUUCAAGAACAAGACUACACAAACUUCAGAGCAACCCCGACAUGAACCAAGGAAGAGGACCAACAGGAGGAACAGGAACAAGCAAAUGUGGACCGAGUCAGCUAAGAUGGUCACUGCAGUUCAAGGAGGUCAAGAUCGUCGACUCAAGUCACCUUUCUUGAUCAAGAAGGACGACCCUGGUGUUCUAAGCAUUGAGUGCACAACCAACAGAUACUCUUUUCAGAAGACACUCUACGACACCGGAUCUGACGUCAACAUAAUGGCCGUAGUCACUUAUUAGCUCCUGCAUGAAACCAUGCCCCUACAACCAAUAUACAUUCAGCUAUAGAUGAUUUUCAGGUCAUUGUCAUGGGAGAAGACGAGUAUGAUCCACCCACCAACCUUGGAAGACAGUUCCUCAGCACUAUCAAAGCCAUCAUCUAUAUUGGAACCGGAGAAGUCCACAUACACUUCUCCUCUUAGAAGGUAUGCCGCUGUUUUACUGACCCUAACUAUAUAGUUGAAGACUCUAAGCAGGUCAGGACAAGAAGAAGACAUCGCAACCGCAACCAGAGGAGGCAAAUCAUCAAGGACGGAUGGGUAGACUACGAAGGAGAAGUGAUAAGGACUGAAGACAUACCUCCUGAACAUAACUGUCCUGAGGAGACCGUAGCACCGAGUUAGGUGUGGAGAGAGAAGAUAGUUAUAAAUGAAGAGGAGACACUGCCGGAAGUACCGACUACGCCACCCAACGAACCUCAGGACGAUUAAGAAAAUGGAGAGUCCCGCUCGGAGGACUUAAAAACACCGAACGCCUUGCCAAGAGGUAAACUUGGUAGUUAUCCUUUCCCUUUUAAUUAUUUCAAAUAGUUUACUUAGUUAAUCAUGUUCGUAUCAUCCUAGAAAGAAAAUAAAAACGUGAAAAAACUGUAAGCCCCAUGUGAGUAGACGAGUGGCAUAAAACCCAUAAGUACAUUCACUGUGGUGGCAUAAAAAUAAAAUAAAUAUUUUUCUGCUUUAUAAAAACAAAAAUAUAAAAACAGGGAGUAAUAUUUAUUAAGGAGUCUCAACAUGAUAAAGGCUAGAUAUUUAUGCUAACACUUAACCAGUUCCACAAGCUUUGUUGUCUAUUUGAGCUCCACAGAAUUUAAGAAUCAAGAAGACUAGCAGACGGAGGACAUUCUAAUCGCUGUCAAAAUACUGCUGACUUUCAAACACACCUCUGCCACCUGCUAGCUACAUCAAGAGAAAUUACGUCAAAAUUCAGCUUGGGGGAGAGCACCCCCAUUUAUCUCGAUAAGUAUUUCUAUCUAUCUUUAUACUUAUACUAUAUUAGAAUAUAAAUACACAUAACUAUGAAAAACCAAAUAAAGAUUUUAUGCUUAUAUAUAUUUUGCUUAGUGUGUUUAAUAAAUAAAUAAAGUGGCUAUGCUAAUCUGUAUCUAAUAAAACUUAAGCAUGGAUAUGAUGAAUAGUUGCUCUGCCUAAUUUGCAAAUUUGAAGUUCUCUCUCAAGUUUAGAUAUAACUGUUAUAAUUUAAGGCUUGCUCUAGACCUAAACUUGUGGGAUGAAAACUUGAUCUGAAGUCUAAGUUGUUAACGGAUACGAUAUGGGAACGUUGAGCUGCUGUUCAUCUGUUCCUAGAGAUGCUAGAAUUCUGGAGAAUUUUAUCUUUAAAAAAUCUUUAAAAUAACACAUGAUGAGUUCCUGUAUGAUGAGAGUUUAAAUUCCUACCACAGCCAUAUAUACAUGCUUGCUAGACCUUGAGCCACACAUUUACUAUUUACUGCUUAUGAGCAUUGAGUGUGGUCAAGCUGUGUAGACCCUUAGGAGCUUGUCAUGUGGUUAAAUCAAGAUUCACUUGCACGUUCACUCAUACAUGCUACUUCUACUCCGGAAGUACCAUCCACAUAUAUCCACUCAUUUCCAUCUCCAAAACCACCCAAAAGUAUUCUACUCCUAAUCCGGGAGAGAAUAACCAAAAAUAUUUCUGUUUCCCCUUGUGAAAUGAAUGCUCAAGUUAUCUUGUUACUACCACUUGCUAUAUUAUCUCAAGAGAUGAAUGUUUAAAAAAAAGAGAAAAAGAAAAUAAAAGAUACGAGGAAAUAAAAAGGAGCAAGUGCUCGGAACCUCGAAAGAAAAGAAAAAGAAGAGCAUCUCAUUCUCCUCAUAAAGUUUCAAAAGCAAGGAAGGUAUGUAUCCCCUCGAAGAGCAAAGUAGAAUUAGACUUCCACCACCAUUGUUAUCACCAUCAUCAACAUACACCAUUCAUUCGCCACACAUGCACAUCUUGAUUUGGCUUAUUGAUUUGUUUCUUUGGAUCCAUGGUUUGACUAUGCAAUAAAUGUCUUGUAAGUAUGUAUACUUUAUCUCCCACCUUUGAGCUUCAGAUAUUAAAGCCUUAUUAGAAUAGGGUGAGAGAGAAGACAAUGUCACUAUGCUUCAUACCACAAAUACUACAUAUCUUGAGAGAAGGCAUAUACCAUCACUGCCUUGGUAAGGAUCCAAAAAUACCACAAAAGAGAGACCUGAGAGAAUCAUACAAGGAAUUUCUGAGUUUUAUUUGAAAAUCUGCAAAAACCCCAGAGCUAUAGCUGAUCAAGAAUAAGAGACAUGGCACUUGGCUAGACUGUUCUAUCUUUUAACCACUCAACACAGAAGUGACGGUUACAAGUCCUAUGGUGUAGGUAAAGUAAGUAAGUUUUAAGUCUUAACAGUUUAUUCUAACUCAGAGAUGAGAUUUUGCUUAAAUGUGUGUGUACUUCUAAGAAAUGAAACCACUACAGAAACUCUUGAGUUCAUCCUUGCUCAGGGACGAGCAAGAGGUAAGCUUGGGGGAGUUUGUUGACGGUCCUUAAGUAUCAAAUUUAAUUAUCAAAUAAACAAAGAAAAGGAUCCAAAUGAAAUCAACAUCUAGACUUAGGGUUUUAUCUGACAGAAUUCCACGAGUUUUGGUGUUUGUCUAUUUCUGCAGGGGGUUAUCAGGAAAUAAGGAAGAAAGGCCCACAUGUCGGGAUUACAUAGAGAUAUCAACCCACCGUGCAAUUUUCUACCAUCUAGAAGACUCCAGAAGCCAUGGGAAGGAAGCGG